GCGACCCUUUUGCUUUGAUGGCCAUAAAUGGAUCUUCCUCAUCACAAAGCGUUGCCAAUCCAAAGUCAGACAACUUGGCCGUAAGAGAGUUAUCAAGCAUAAUAUUACUAGGUUUUUAUGUUUCCAUGAACAAUCUUGAACCUUUUCUCUUCAUGUAAAUACUUCAAACCUCUUGCUAUUCCCCGACAGAUAUCAAAUCUAGUUUUCCAAUCGAGUUUUGUCGUGGAAUUUGGUUCUACAAAUCAAGAUUAUUGAUAUUAAGUUAUUGAUAUUUGCAAGUACACUAUCCUUGUACUAACAGAAGAUUCAAAUAUACAAUUAGAAGCUCUCACAAACAUUAAGUAACGGAAUUCUAUUACUACUGUACGUGUUUUAGUUCUCAACAAUUAUAUGAAUUUCACAAGGCAAUGCAUUAGGUGAAAAUUAAGAUAAAACUUGAGAACCGAAAGAGAUGGCAGUAUUACCGAACAACGCAUGGUGAAGGGAGCCUUUAUGCAUAUAGUCAUAUACUAGCAGAUGCAGGUCUUUAAUAGAAUAGCCAUCCAACAAUUGAACAAGAUUCUCAUGAUGCAAAGAUUUCAGUUGAAGAUUUCCCUUUGUAAUUCAUCUUUUCCUUGUUGCUUUGAUUGAGGAGAAAUCUUCUUCACUGCUAAUUUUAUCUCGUUCGGCAAUUCAGCCUGUAUACACGUGAAAUCAAUUUACCAGAACUCUGAAAGAAAAAAGUGCAUGUUGAGGAACAAAUGUUUCAGAAAAGAAAAUCUGACCUUGUAUACUAUUCCAAAGCGUCCCCUUCCAAUCUCCAUUUUGGGGCUAAAUUUUCGAGUAGCAUCGAUUAUUUGUUUGAGGGUGAAAUAUAUUCCAUCUCUUUUUACCUCAAUAGUUAUUUCUAUUUGAAGAAAAAAUCAAAGUAAGAAUUCUUAAGGUUGUGUGGUGCAUAAUGAUCUUAGAUUAGCAUGGAGAGGUACCAUCCAACUCGCUUUUCCGCAGCCAGCCCAUUUUCCACAUGAAAGCCAACAGAAGUAGAGGAGCAAAUACUGAACCUGCAGUAAUCCCUGCAAUUUGUGAAGGAGAUAGUUUCUUGCCGCCAACUUUGAAGUCUGAAUACAAAUAGUGGAAGACAAAAGAAAAAAUUAUUUAUCCAGAUAAAGUGUAAUAGAAAUCUUUGCUCAACAAAAUUAAGAGAAUGCAAUCUUUACUUGCAGUUACGGAAAUGCCUGCACAAGGGGUCCAUUUAGAGACAGUGCAGCAGGUGAAUAGGAAAAACCUGGCACCGGAAAGAUCCUUUGCCAGCCCAGAAAAAAUGGAUAGUCAAUAGAUGAUCAUCUCCUACAUAUGCCGUGAAAUUUUGAGUCGUAUUUGAAACACUGCCGCGUUUUCUUUAAUGUUGAAGUCUUUUAGUUCUCUCUUCCCCUAUAUCAAAAAUGGAUGUAAUGUUGAAUGGUGGAAACUUUUGAAAGAAGCUGCAGAAAAUAUAGCGGUUACCUGUAUAUAUACAUCAAAAACACGUUUCCCUAAAUUCGAGUAAUCUUCAUCACUUUUGUAAACAGUUUCAGCGAAGUAAAGCUUGACAGUGUAAUUUCCUUCAAAUAAACAGAAGCCGUAAUAUGUUAGAGAAAGAGGGCAGAGGCGACUUGAGUUGUAUAACGUGUCCAGCAGAAUCACAAUCUCCACAUUCCACGUUUUUUAUGUAAUCACUGGAAUCAUAAGUCUCCGAACCAAAGUCUCCAGAACAAGAAUAAGCCCAAUUUUCUUUUGGGGGUUUAUAGUAAUUUGUUGCUGUACUGUCUGCUUCAAACUCUUUCCCAUAAAAAACUGUGCCUCCUCCUCCACAAUUUAUAUAUAAGGAAUCGUCUGCAAAAAAUGAUAAUCAGUACAGAAAAUCUGUCCUGCGCAAAAUUCAGAGCUUCUCAAUAGAACUUACACUUUGGGUUUUCCCCGACAUUUAUCUGUCAAAUCACGUAUAGAAUUCCUAGAAAUAGCAAACAACAUUUGUAAGAAAUAGCUCAGGAUUAUUUGUUCUAAAUUAAUUUCACCAUACGGAGGAUAUUACCAUACCUGUUUGGUUCACUGCUUGAGUAGGAACAACAUGCAAGCAGUUGGUGCACAUGGUACAAAAUGAUCAGAAGUUGGAAUUUCAUAGACAAUAAUUUUCUUGCAAGUGAAAAAAAAGGAAGAAGAAAAUGAAGUUGCCGUUAUUACAUGUUCAGCUUUCGUUCUCCUUUCUUCGGACCAUCACGUCGAAUUGUAAAAUUAUUAUAUGACAAGUCCCUGCAACGUUAUUGUUUACAUAUCAAGAUUUUAUUGAGGAAAUCUACAAAAGGGAAAACAACCCAUCUGAGCAAAGAGCACAAAGCCAUGACAUACGCCUUAUCUUCAAUGGUAUGAGGAAGCCAGGAAGGUACUGUGCCAUUAAGCAUAUUUCCUGUAAGAAACCUAAACAAAACCAACCAGAAUGAAAACCAUAUAUAUAUCCCAUGUACUUUUUAACAGAGUGGCAGAACGAACUUAUUAUAAGACAUCGAGUUCAAGGAAUCUCUUUUGCAUACAUCUUACUUAAAUUCAGCUUUUUCAUGGAAUAUGGUAUUCCACCAGUUAAGCUAUUAAAGCUCAAGUCUCUGCAGGAUCAAAAAAAUGAAAGCAAACGUUAUCAUACAUAUUUGAUAUAUAGUUGUGCUAUGGUAAAUUAUUGCAUAGUUGAUUCUGUAAACACAUAGUCAACACUUCUAUGCAUGGCCUAAAGGCCCUAAACAAUGAGCAUUUAUAGAGCUGAUGAAACAAAAUAGCCACGACAGAACUACAAAUCUUUUACAAAAGAGGAAAUGAAACUUACAGGUAUUUUAACGAUGACCAAUCACCAAUGUACAGGGGGAUUUUACCACUUAUUGAGCAAUUCCUUAUCAUCCUACACAAAUCAUUGAAGAAGUUGGUGUUUGGAUUUAUCCAAUGCAUACAUAUCGUUAAGAGUCACAUACAGAAAUAUUGUGACUUCAUGAUUCUUUCUGUUAUGCCUAUAGUCGUAAUUAAUAUAUAUAUAUAUUAUUUAAACCAAAAAGUUUUUUUUUAUUCUAAAUUUAAAAAAACAUGAUUUUUUUCUUGAGAAUAUAAAAUAUAUAUAUUAAUGGGUUUCAAAUUCUAUAUUAAAAAAACAUAACUUUUUUCAUGGGAAUAUAUAAUAUAUAUACAAAAGGGCUUCAAAUCACACAUUGAAAAGAUACUAUAUUAUCUUUUUAAAUUGAAGUAUUUAAACCAAAAGGUUUUUUUAUUCCACAUUGAAAAAACAUGAUUUUUUUUCUUGAGAACAUAGAGUAUAUAUAUGAAAGAUGUUAUCCUUUUUAGUUGAAGUAUUUAAACCAAAAUGUUUUUUAUCCCACAUUAAAAAAUAUAACUUUUUUUCCUGAAAACAUAGAGUAUAUAUAUUAAUAGGUUUCAAAUCCCAUAUUUUAAAAAAAAAAACCGGGUCUCGUCUAGGUUCGCCCGGGUCAUGGGACGACCCAACAGCUGACCCAACAACCCAUCACCGGCCUUCACAGACUAUCCUCCACAGACCCGAACCAGGCCCUCCAGAUCCACCGAUAACACAACCCCUCUGCUCUUUCAGCUGCCCCCUUCUCUGCUAAACCGAGACCCAGCUUUCUCUCCUUCACUCAGCCACCUCUGCCUCUCUGUAAUUCGUCCAUAGAUGCCAUUUCAAAUCAACCCCUUGUUUCCUUGUUUUUCUCAGCCGUUUCCAGCACUGUUCCUGAGUCUAUUUUGUAAUUUGUAGAUUUUGAAAUGUGUAUUUAAAUUAUUGUAAGCAAUUUUAAUUUUUGUUACAUUGGAAACUUGAAACUGGGAGUGGGUGAGUAAAUUAGAAUGUUUGGUUGGGAGUGUGUGUUUGUGGGUAUUUUCUUUUAUGUUUUUUGAAUGUUAAAAAACAAAAAGAAUUAAAUAUAUAUUUUUUAAUUUGCAUAUGAUAAAAUCGUAUCCAUUUGACAUGAAAUUUCAAGAAUAUAUUUUGGUAUGUAACUAGUUUUAUAUUUUUAUUACUUAAAGCCUUGAUAAUUAUUUAUGUGAUUUUCGAGUGUGAGCUUUAAAGAAAAGCAAAGGAAGGAAAAACUCACAGGUAUCUUAUUCCCGUCAUACUUGCAUUUUUUGGGAAAGGGAAACCGGCCGAGCUUCUUACAUCACUAACCACCCUGGAAGAAAAACCAUCCAGAAUAAAAACAUGCAUUUAUUUCAACCCGGUUAAAUUAAAUUAUAGAGCACUUACAAGUAUCGAAGAUUUGACAAGUUAAAAAGAAGUUCAAGAGGCAGCUCUCCUUCAAAAUCAUUCCCGGAGAGGAACCUGUCAUCAGUACACAAAAACACAAAUCAUUGAAUGAUAUUCUUCGAUCAUCGACAGUUUCUCAAUCAAAUAAUAUUACAGAAAGUACAAGUAAUUUCUUACAGGUAAUUGAGUCCAGUCCAAUUCGCAAUGAACCUUGGUACUUGACCCGUCAAACGGUUCCCAGCUACGCUACUGCAGCCAUAGUUAGUUGCUUUUCCUUGGAACAAUAAUUAAACAGAUUGUUGGUUGAAAGAAUAUGAUGAGUUGCACUUACAACCACCCCAAUUGAUCCGAAGUAAAGUUGGCGUAAUUUCGCGGCAGUUCUCCACUCAAAUUGUUGGAGCUCAACCCUCUACAACAACAAAUCAAAAGGAUUGUAAUCCACCCUUUUUCUAUUUUAUUUCUCCUAUUACAAUCAAAAGUUGACAUUAUUAUUCUUCUUUUUGAAACUUACAAAUAACUAAGAUAUCCCAAUCUUCCAAGUUCUGAUGGAAGCUGACCACUGAGUUCAUUGAAGCCCAAGUCCCUAAUUAAAUAAGAGAUAUGAACCAAACCAAACUCAAAAAGUUAAGAGGAGAAUGAAAGAGUGAGUGAGUGAGUUUCUAUGCAUAUGUAGGAGAUUAGAGAGGUUGCCCAAUUCUUUAGGGAUAAGAGCACAAAACUUGCAUAAGCAAUGGAAAAAGAAUUUAAUUAACAUUAUAUGAUACUGAAAAGACUGUGAUUACAUGAUACUUACAGAACAUAGAGGGACGUCAAAUUCCCUAAAAAUCGAGGUAUGGAGCCAAUGAGGAAGUUACCGGAGAGAUCGCUAUGCAUAUGUAUUACCAUAUUAGUUCAUUAUUGCUAAAAAAUAAAAAUUCGCGUUCUAAAAUAAGAACCAAUAAUUUAAAUUUUAAGAAGACACACUAAGAACUGAAAUUAGUUAUUAAAUAUGAUCCAAAAGCUAAGUAGCUCUUUGCUUAUAACCCUGCAGACAACCCAACAAGCAUCAACACAGUUAAGCAAUUAGUGAAACAAGGCUUUUAUCCUAAUUAAAUAAAAAAAGAGAGAACCAAACAGAACUCAGAAGUCAACUUUUGUGACCAUUAACACCUUGCCAUGAACAUUUAUAGUAUCAAGACCCCAAACAGCUUGCCUUUUUUUUUUUCAUUUCUAACAAAGCUAAUUUUACUUGAAAAUGUUUCACCAAAAAUACUAUUAAAAAAUCGUAAUUAUUACAAGUUUAAUCUAUCAAUUGUAUAUUCAGUAACUUCUUCUUAUAAUGAAGCAAAUUUGGGUUCUUAACUCAAAUUUUCACCAUUAUAAUAUAAUUAUAUAGUCCUAACACAACUUCUCCGAAUGAAAAUGAAAUUUUAACUAUUGGGUUUUUGGAACUUAUCGAUGGAAUCUAAGUAUUUAAUGGAAUAUAAUUUAAAAGAAGUGAUUUUAGAGGGAAAAAAAUGUUAGAUAUAUAUAUAUAUAUAUUCUGACAACGCAUGCUGAGACUAUAUUUUCACAGAAGAUAUAUGUUAAUUGUAUGCUCUUUUUUUUUACCAUUAUAUAUUGUUUUUUAAAAUAACAGCAAUGGUAUAAAAUCAACCCCAAAUAUCCAAGAUGUUCUCCUAUAAUUCAUAUAAAAAUGGAUGUUCUUCGAUGCCCAAGUCGAACUUUUUGGUUAGUGCCAAUUUUUUUUUUAAGAAAUUCUUGAUUAUGGAUAGUUUGCUUUUAACUAUAUUAGAAAUAAUAGAUUUAGUCUUAAUUAAAGCAUGAAAUCUAAAUAGAAAAAACAUAAUAAUCUAUAAAAAUUGGACAUGGGAUGUUUAUGAAAAAAAGUCAAUAUUAAUAAAAUACAUAUAAACGCCCACAAGAAUAAGAGCACAAAACUUGCAUCAGCAAUGAAAAAAAAUUUAAUUCACAUUAUAUAAUACUGAAAAGACUGUGAUUGGAUGAUACUUACAGAUAUCCGAGGGACGACGUCAAACUCUCCAAAAAUGAAGGAAUGGAGCCAUUGAGGAAGUUAUCAGAGAGAUCGCUAUGCAUAUGUAUUACCAUAUAAGUUUAUAUAUUAUUACUCAAAAGAUAAUAUAUUUAAUGCAUGCUGAGACUAAAUUAAUUUUCAUAGAAGUUAGUAAUUGUAUGCUUUUUUUCUUACCAUUAUAUAUUAUUUUUUAAAAGAACAACAAUGGUAUAAAAUCAACCCCAAAUAUCCAAGAUGUUCUCCUAUAAUUCAUAUAAAAAUGGAUGUUCUUCGAUACCCAAGUCGAACUUUAUGGUUAGUGCCAAUUUUUUCUUUUAAAUCUUGAAUUCUUGAUUAUGGAUAGUUUGCUUUUAACUAUAUUAGAAAUAUUAGAUUUAGUCUUAAUUAAAGCAUGAAAUCUAAAUACUUGAUUAGGAAAAACAUAAUAAUCUAUAAAAAUUGGACAUGGGAUUUUUCAGAAAAAAAGCCAAAAUUAAUAAAAUACCUAUAAACACCCACAAGAAUAAGAGCACAAAACUUGUAUCAAUAAUCAAAAAAGAAUUUAAUUCACAUUAUAUGAUAUUGAAAAGAUUGUGAUUGGAUAACACUUACAGAGAUUCGAGAGAUGACAAACUUCCCAAAGAUAAAGGUAUGGAGCCAUUGAGGAAAUUAUCGGAAAGAUCGCUAUGCAUAUGUAUUACCAUAUAAGUUCAUUAUUACUCGAAAGAUAAAAAUUCACAUCCUAAAAUAAGAACCAUUAAUUUAAAUUUUAAGAAGACACACUAAGAACUGAAAUUAGUUAUUAUAUAUAAUAAAAAAGCCAAGCAGCUCUUUGCUCAUAAUAAUGCAGUCACCCAAACAAGCCUCAACAUGGUUAAGCAAUUAAAAAAUAAAACUCGGAAGGGGGAAAACAUCCACAAUAAAUUAAUGGAAAAAGAAAAAAAGAUUACAAAUAUGAAAUGUUGAAAAUCAAUACAGAUUUCUUUACUAGCUCCCUUGUUUUUAGAAGGCACUUAUUUUAUUUAUAUUUUUUACUAUUUCAAACCGACAUCUAAAUUAUACUUGUAAAUAUCUUUUCUCUUUAAUGAAACAGUAAAAAAAACUCAUACUCCUAUUUAAUUUAACAUAUCUACAUUUAUUAAUAUUAAAUAUUAAACAUUAAAAGACUAUAAAAUUAUUUGAGAUAAUUAUAUUCGUAAAAUUAACAUUGAUUUUCCUAUAUUCGUGAAUACUUGUCAAUUUACAAAAUAUAAAUAUAAUUUUUUUAAAAUAAAUUCAACCAUCAUUAAUAUAUAUGUGUAAUAUAUAUAUAUAUAUAUAUAUAUAUAUGGUUACCCAAUAGUAGAUAAAGUAUAAUGCAUAGUCUGUUUUAGAAAUUGAUAACUUAUCCAUUUAGUCACUUUUAGCACUGGAAAAUAAUAGUAAGAACGUAUUUAACGAACAUUGGCAACAAAAUAAACUGCAGUAGUAGUAUAUGACCAUGGUAUUGGAUCACUUACAGAGAGGUGAGUGAAGACAAGUUCCCCAUGGUGACGUCAGGGAUGCUACCAUAAAGUUGAUUGUGGGACAAAUCACUGUUUUGGUAAUAGGAUUGUUAUCAAUUAGUUGAGGUCAGCAUACUGAUUCGAAUGAUUAUCAUCACAUGUCAUAUGAUACUCACAUUUCUUUUAGGAAAUUGAGACUAGCCAAGGCUGUAGCGUUGAUUUGUCCGUCUAAUUCGCGGUUUGAGAGAUCUCUACCUCCCAAAAAUGGCGUCAACAUAGCAACCAGUGAGUUUUAAAGAGGAUGCAUUGCCUUACAAAGAUAAAAAAAAUUGGAUGAAGUUGAUGAGGAACUUACAGGCCGGUGACGUGACAAACUGCGUUGUUCUCAUAACUGCAAUUGCAUUCGAUGCCUCGAUAAUUAUUGUCACAAGGCGAGCUUAGCAGCAAACCCCAGCCUAACGUGAUCAUCAAGUCAUCCAAAGCCGUUUCUGCCAAACGUUUUAAACAAAGAAACACAUAUUUUGUUUAGCAAGAUUCAAACAGGCCUAGCUAUUUCUACCUAGCUUCAAAUCCGAACUAAGAGAAGAAAAAAACGAGUGCUAAUUUUAUGGAUGUGUGAAUUGACUCCAUAUAAUUCCAUGUUGAAAAUCCAUCUAGAUUUCCUUACCACCUCCCUUGUUUAUAAAAUCCUCGUAAAAAUCACUUCAUCCUUAACCAAUCACUUCGCUUGAUAGUUAUAGGAAAAGAUGGAGAAGCAGGAAAUAUCUAAGAUAUGCAGUACGUAGGCUAGCACUACGGAACUCUCUGCCAGGCUGUGGAAGCACUAGCUAGAGAGUGCAAAUGGAAGAGAGAAAUAGCAGUAUCUUGUGCACAAGGCUUUUCGUUGUUUGGGUCACAAAGAUUAAGACCCUUCCUUCCAACUCAAGAUCAGUUUCUUGCAAACAUGAGUGAGUUUAUAGUCUAAACAGUUAAUUGAGUUUAUAUUCUUGAAAACAAAUUUUCUUCCUUCUUUUGUAUAUAGCAGGAAAAGGAUAUAUAUGUAGAUGGAAAAGUAUAUCGUGCGUGUGUACCUUCAUCGUCAGGCAACAGCGGGCUUUCAGAGGAAUUUGUUGAUUGACAAACUACAUAGCGAAAUUGACGAAGAAGAAGAAGAACGGCAAGAGAGGAAACAAGCUUAGGAAAGAGCUUAUUAAGAUAAAGUUUAGCCAUUACUUUAGCAUGCAAUGCGCUUCCCUUGAGAUGACAUACAUUCUUUAUAUAGAUAUUGUUUUACCGUUCAAACAGUUAUUAACUCUGAAUCAAUUACCUCACGUUACCAAAUUGUCCCUAUCCAAAUAUCAAAAUACCCGAGAAAAGUAACUUGCAAUAUUAUGCAUGGAGGCCUAACAAUUUUGGCUCAAGUAAAUUGCAAAAUGAUUCCAAAGCAGCAUCUUUUUAAAUUGAUUAUCUCGUAGUUUUUAAAACGGUGUAAAAUUUGCAUAUUUGAAUUCAAUUCAAUGUCUGAGAUUUGUAUUCAUUCAUGCAUAAUUAAUGGGUAGUAAUUAAUCAAAUAUAUAAUAUAUAAUUAUGAGUUAUUAUGCAUUAUUAAUCCAACACUAUUUUUGUAUCUAGUAUCCUCUCCCGAGUAAUGUGAGCUUGUGUUUUAUGUCUUUUAUCUCACAAUUCAUAGAAAAAUAUCCAUCACACUUUUUUUAUAUCUAUAUAAUAAUGGAGAGAAUUAUAUAUAAAGCAGCCCUUCUUCCACUUUGGACCACAAGUUGUCACUGAGGCCGCACAGAAGCCCACAAAAUUGUUUAACAAAAUAUGAGAGAAACAAAAACAAAAACUGUUUGCAUGGUUUGCUUCACACAAAAACAAAAUAUGAGAGAAAAUCACAGGACACAGCUUGCUUUUCUGAGAUUUACUUUAAAUAUAGCAAUUAAAAGUACCGCAGAUAUAGUGGUGUAGCCAUAAUAUUUUAAAUGAGGGAUAAAUUACUUAUAAAUAUUCAAUAUUAUAUAUUAUAUAGAUAUAUGUUAUAUAAAGAAAUCUACUAAUUAAUUUAAAAUUUGUAAAAUAAAAAAACUUACAUUAUAAUUGUUCUCUUCGAGAUUUUAUAUUUUAAAACUGCUUCAUAAUAAUUUUAUUUUUAAUCUCAUUAAAAAUAUAUUUCUCAAUAUAUACAACAAACUUUUAUUUAUUUAUUUCUAAAUCUUUCAAGGAUUACGGAAGUUCUUGGUAAUAAUUCUAUGCUGAUAUAUGAUUUAUAACAUCUAAAAUUAUAGCUUAAAAGGAUUGUCAUAAAUUGAUAUUGUUCUUAUUGACUUGUUUUGUACAAAUUUAUUAAAAAUAAAUAUUAAAUGUUUUCUUUUUAAUUUAUCUAUUAUCUUUCUAAUUUUUUUAGCUGUCUUUUACUUCACUUUUAAUCAUUAGUAAAUUCGUCAUUUUUAUUUUUAACAUAAAAUUUAUAGCAAAAUAAUUAUCAAUUCAUCAAAAUUUAUUUUAAUUCAUAUUCAUUAGCAUAUAAUAUUAUUCAUACUUAUAUUAAUUCAACAAAUAUAUAAAUUAUUAUAAACUCUAAUAUUUUUAAUAACUAAUUAGUAUAGAAAAAAGAAACUAACAAGUAGUUAAUAAAGAAAAUUAUUUUGAAAUAAAAUAAAAUAAAGGAUCAAUUACGUACCUUCUCUUGCACUCAUGUGCUCCGCCACUGCGUAGAUAUUUGUUUAAGGUAUAUUGUGCUCCAAUCUUAAUUAGUUUAUAAAAACUACAAACAAUAAUGAAUGGGUAUCAGCAUACAAAACCUUUUAUCUUAUUUAAUUUAUCCCUGUAUAUAUAUACCCGAUUUGUCCAAACUCAAGCAUAUAAACCAUAAAAAAAAACAUAUCCAAAAUAAGUUCACAUCUUAAAUAGGUUUAAUUUAGAAGGACUAAAUUAAGUAAAUAUUGUUCAUAAAUCCUAUUUUGACGCAAACCAAUCUUAAUUCCAAUAAAGCCCAUUUAAAUGGUAGAGUUUUCACAUAAUUUUACUAAGAUUUCUACUAUUAAAUGGUAGAGUUUUCACAUAAUCCUACUAAGAUGGAAUACAAAGAGUCAUAUGCUGCGAAAAGAAAAGAAAAAAAAUCAAGAAAAGAAAGCUUGUCUUGAUAAUUAUAAUACAUAGUUAGGUUUAAAGUUGAUGAGAUAUCUAUUGUUAACUAAUAUUUUUUGAGUUUUAAAAUAGUUAGGUUUUAAUUUGAUAAGAUAUUUAUUGCUGACUAAUUUCUCCUUUAUACAUUGCUAUUAUCAAAGAAUCACUAGAAACUUAAAAGCUUAAAGUUUUAAUUAUUACGUACUAGAACAUCUUUUCAAGUGAACAUUUAUCAUUAUAUAUUUUGUUUUAUAUUAAUAUGUUUUUUGUAGAAUUGAAUUUUUUUUUACAUUGAUAAAAGAAUUAUAAUGUAAAUGAUUGGAUUCACGGAAUCUGAAGUAAAAAUGCAUCUUUUAAAAUUGAUGGUGAAGUCUUUGUUCGUGUUCAGCAUCAAUUUUUUGCCUCGUCAAGCAGAGAAAGAUUAAUAAAGCUAAAGCAUAUCAGUACGAAUACCGCAAGUUGAUCAUAGAUAUCUCUACAUUUCUUGGGUCCAAUAUGUGAACCUUGAGAAGUAAUAAAGACUUGACAUGGUUUUCUAUAAUAGGUUAAGCCUCUUAAUUAUUUUUAAUUUUUUCUAUGCCCAUCCAACGGCUCUCCCAAAUUGCUUGAUACAUCAUAAAAUGACUUGAUUUUGUAAUGUAUAUGAUUGAACCCAUGCAAUCUAAACAUUGAAAAGUAAAAAAGAAUCUUUAAAAUUUGGUCAAGUCUUUGUUCGUGUUCAGUAUCAAUAUUGGACCCACGGAAUGUGAUCCUUGAGAAGUAAUAAGGUCAAAAUAAAUAAAUAAAUAAAUAAAGACUUGACAUGGUUUGCUGUCUUUUCUAUGCCCCGCUAACGGCUCUGCUAAAUGAAUUGAUUUUUUGACAUUAUCAGAAAAAUAAUAAUCAACAUGAUCGAACCCAUGGAAUCUGAACAUUGAGAAGUAAGAAAUAAUGCAUCUUUAAUAUUUAUGGUCAAGUCUUUGUUCAUGUAAUUCAGCAUCUUUUGUUUUCCAUAUUAUGUGGAUCAAAAUUGCAUUGUCAAGCAGAGAACAAAUAAUAAAGCUAAAGCACCACCACAAGUUGAUAGAUUACUUUUUUUUAUAGGUACUCUACCAAGGUAUUGUUUAAACUAUAUUUUAUUUCAAAAUAAAUAAAGUAUAUAGCCUUCUGCGCUUGUAAUUGCUAAACCAUUUUGUAUUCAGAAUAUAUUAUUUAUGCUAUUCUCCCAUGAAAAGUUUUGGCUGUGAUAUUCAUACACCAAUUGCUGGCUCAAUUUCAUACACCAUGGAAGACUUGGUUGAUAUGGUCGAUGACGUGGACACCUAUGGUGAUGGGGAAGAAGACGUUGCGGAUGAUGAGGACCUUUGGGGACUGCAGCAACGGGUUGGAAAAAUCAGAUCUGGCAAAGGAUGGAGACAAUUAUCACGUAUUGAUAUUCAAAUACUCGAAAAACAAAUUAGGUGGUGUGCUGCCUCAAUCAGAAGAUUUGAAUAACUUUCAUAAUAAUUUUUUAAUAUCAUGAAUUAAUUAUUUGAAUUUGAUUAGUUACUAAGUGGUGCAUAAAUAAUGUUUUUAAAAUGCUAAAAUCAUAUUUAGAUUAGUCCAACGAUUUAGAAAGGUUUAUUCACCUUAAUUUACAUUAAAAUUUAUCUUCAUUUUUAUUAUUAUUUUAAAGUAUUAUAAGUUUUAUCAAUUUUAAUUCACAUCAAGAAAAUAUAAUUUUUAAUUAAAACAAGAUUCUAAUAAUAUUUUAUUAAUUAAACAUGAUUCUUUUUAUAUAUAUUAAUUUUCGAUGCUUAACCUUUAGCCUAUGCAUGUUUGUAUAACAUCAUAAUUUAAAUAAUCUUUAAAAAUUAAAUAAGUGAAUAAGCUUUCAUGUAUGCAUUUUUUCUCAGUGCAAACAUGAUUUUUUACCAUAAGAAACUCAGCCAGUAUAAUUAAUUAGAAGAGAGAAAUUCUCCAUCUAAUAAAAAGAAUGAACUUACGCCUUCGACCACAUUUUUUCCUCCGCAUCUCAUCACAGAGAUUUGUUAGACAUGCUUCAAGAAUAUCACUCUUAUUGCAGAAAAUUAUGGUACCACAUACCUAGUCGGGUGUCUGAAAAGCACCAAGAUCAUGAAAUUAAACCAAGAAAAUAUAUAAAUAUCAAUGAGAAAUAUUCAGGAGUGAUUUAUUAAAGUCAAUAAAUUUGUCAAAAAGAAAGCUAGCAAAAUGGAUAGGAGUUUGGUCCGUCCCUUACAUGUUUACAUACUGCAUCCCAAGUGUGGCACCCCCAAAAAAAAAAAAAAAAACAAAAGUUUGUUUUUGCGACAUUCGACUGGCGAUUUUCGUUUUGUUCUGUUUUGCUGAUUUGGUUCUUUGGAGUUGCCACCUAGUAUUUUGAUCACUAGGAACCCUAACUGGUCUUUCAGAGGUUCUAAGGUAAGGGACUGGUUGCGUAAAGGGAAGGUAUUAGCACCCCUAGUACGCCCUACCUAAGGUAAGCUGCUUGGUGUUUGGUUUGCCUUAUAAUUGCUAUGGUGUUGGUAUUUUUUUAGGCUCGUCAAUUGAUUUUGGAUAGAAAUCUAAGGAGAUUCCAUGUGCUUUAAAAGCUCAUUUUUCCCUUAGUAUUUCAAAAGUUUACGACUCAUAAAUCGUGGGAUAAUAAAAAAAAAUUAAAUUUUGAAAUGUCCUCGAUUAUAAUCAAGGCUUCUUUCAAGAAUGUGUGCGGAUUUAUUACUCCCAAUAAUAUUUUGGAUAUUCAUCCUUUUAAGGAUUUCUUUAUCCAAACAUUAGCGGUAAAUAAUAAAUAAAUUCCUUUUCCAAAAAUAAGAUUUUUAUAGUUUUUUGAAUAUUGGCCAAUACCCUUUGGAAUUUUACAAACACGUUGUAAAAUCCAGAAAUGCAAGAAAAUAAUUUGUGUUUAAGAAAUUUAUGCGAAAACACACUUUCGAAGCUUCCAAUAUAUUUGUUUUAUAAAAAAAAAGAAUAUUCAAAACAUGUUAGAGUAUUGGCCGUAUGCAACACGCAAGAAAAUAUAUAUUUUUUAAAACAAUAUUUUUUUUUGACGAAAUCGGGUAUUUUUAAUACUGAAUUUGUAUCUCCACAGCAUAAAAAUACAAACUAAUAUUAAGUCAUUAAAAAGAUGUACGAAAAAAAUCAACAAUAUUUUUAAGGAAUUUUUAGAAUUUUUUGAAAGCAAAAAAAAAAUUUAUCUUUGAAAAUUUUGGGUGCCACGACGAAAAUCAGAUAUUUUAAAUACUGAAUUUAUACCUCCACAGUAUAUAAAAAAAAUACAAACCCCCUUAGAAAUAUAUAUAUAUAUAUAUAUAUAUAUAUAUAUAUAUAUAUAUAUAUAUAUAUGAAAGGAAAAUAACAACAUUUUUUUUUAGAUUUUUUAUAAAUAUUAUAUAUAUAUAACAUAUACACACAUAUAUAUAAUAUAAUAAUAUAAUAUAAUUAUAUAUUAAUUAUUAAGGGGGCUGGGCCGGCCCAACUAACUGGGCCGGGCUCAGCCCCACAAGUCAUUGGGCCGGGAUCGGCCCAAGAAAGUGACUGGGCCGAUCUCGGCCCAAGAAAGGUAACUGGGCCGAUUCGGCCUAAGAAAAAUAACUGGGCCGAUUCCGGCCCAAUAAAAAAUAACUGGGCUGAUUCCGGCCCAAGAAAAAAUAACUUGGUCUGGGCCGGACCCGACCCAGACCACCGGGUUGGGCCAGAAUCCUUCUGGCCCAUAUACAUGUUUCUGGGCCAGAACCCGUCUGGCCCAGAAGAGGAAACAGAACGGGGGGGGGGGAAUUAAUUCCCCCCCCGUCCCCUGCAUGCAGAACAAUUCUGCAUGCAGGGGACGAAACCUAACAGAAGAAAGAAAACAAAAUGCAGGGGAGAGAGAGCGUACCUGGCGAGGCUGGAGACGGUGGUUGGCUGACGGGGCUAUGGUGGCGUGGCUCGUGGAUGGCGGUUCCGGGCGGCGUUGCUGCCGUUUCCAACAGUGGCGAAAAAUUCUUCUUCCUCCCUUCUCCUUCGGUUUUUUUUCGUUCUCAGUUGCUGUUUGUUCUCGGUUUGGUUUUGGUUUUUUUGGUUUCGGUUUCCUUCUUCUCGGUUUGUUUCUGUUCUUCUCUCUCUCUUCUGGUCGCUCUCUCUCUCUUUCUCUCCUUGGGUCUCUCGGGUUUUUCUUCUUUUUUUUUUUUUUCUCUUCGGUUUUCUUCUAUAUUUAUAGGGGCAGAACGGGUGGGGGACCAUGGUUAGUGCGCCUUCAAUCACGCAUGGCUGGUCGGUUCUUUCGGUGGUGGUGGUGGGGGCGAGGAGAGAGACGCGAGAGGUUUUUUUCUUUCGUCUUCUGUUCUGCUAAAACGGGGGGAAGGAGGAAGAUGAACAGUGUCGUUCAAAACGACACCGUUCUGAUCUUCCUCCUUUUUUUUUUUUUUUUUUUAUAUAUAUGAAACGGCGUCGUUUUGGGUAAAACGCGCCGUUUCAUUUAAAUGGCUAAACUUCAAAUCAGUCCUUCAAAUUCGGUCCCCGCCCCUCUUGUUGGCCGCCUUUUUUACUUUGGUCCUUGGUCUCUGAGUUAUGCAAUUGAGCCCCUAAUUGAUCAAUAAACUUCCAAUUUCUUCAAUUAAGCCCCUGAAACAAUUCCAAACAGCCCCCUCUAUCUUUGCGCCUUCUCCAAAUUGGUCCCUGGUUUCGGAUUUUCAUAAUUAAGUCCCUAAUUGGCCCUUAAACUUCAAUAUUUAUGCAAUUGAGCCCCUGUUUUGACCCAAUAAAUUCCUAAAAAAUAUAUUUUGGCCCCAGAACUUAAAUUUCUCCAAAUUAAAGCCCAAAUUGACUUAAAAAUCAAUUUUUCUUGGAAUCAAAUCUUCUAUAAAUUCAAAUAAAAAUCCAAUUAAAUCCAUAAAAAUCCAAUUAAGUCCAUAAAAAUCCAAUUAAGUCCAUAAACAUCCAAAUUUGGGCUUUUCUCCUCAAAAUUCCAAUUUUCCUUCUCAAUAGGGCUUUCAUCCUUCAAGAAUAUACUGUCAAAAAUUUAAUCCUUGUAUUUUUAAAUUCCUUGACCAAUUUUCUGACUGUUUUCCGAGCGCUUCUGCCUCCUGUUAUUUUUCUAACCUCUUUUGGCUAUUUAUUUUAUUUUUCAUGGGGACCCAAAAAUGGGUUACAACAGAUGCCCCCUCUUUAUAAUACUUACGGAGCAUGGGUUUUGCGCAGUAAGUGUUAUAAAGAUAAACCCAAAACGGAACUCCCGAAACUGAUCUGGUCGAAGCUUGAUUGAUCUGAAACUUUGUCCUUUAUAACAAUCCUCCUUAGCUCCAAAAAUCAUGAUCGAAACUUAGUCAUCUCGAGAUCUUUAUCCAGCGAUCCUCUGAAUUCUUAUUUUAGUUUGAUCAACAUGGAAAUCCAUCCGAGAUCCCAUCUAGUGAUCUCCUUUAACCUGGAAUCCCAUCUGGCGAUUCCUUUACUCAUAACCAAUACAAAAAAUGCGUGUGUGGCUCAUUAUGAUGGGUGACCUACCCGAAAAAAGGAAAGAGUGGUCUCAUUCUUUGGGUGACCUACCCAGAAAAAAAAAUGAGAAGGUCUCAUUCUUAUGGUGACCUACCCAGAAAAUAUGGUCCAUUGUGAUGGGUGACCUACCCAGAAAAAGGAAGAGUGGUCUCAUUCUUUGGGUGACCUACCCAGGGGAAGGAAUGGCCAUUCUUAUGGGUGACCUACCCAGAAAAAAAAAAUGGAGAAUGGUCUCAUUCUUAUGGGUGACCUACCCAGAAAAUAUGGUCUCAUUGUGAUGGGUGACCUACCCAGAAAAAAGGAAGAGUGGUCUCAUUCUUUGGGUGACCUACCCAGGGAAGGAAUGGCCUCAUUCUUAUGGGUGACCUACCCAGAAAAAAAAAAUGGAGAAUGGUCUCAUUCUUAUGGGUGACCUACCCAGAAAAUAUGGUCUCAUUGUGAUGGGUGACCUACCCAGAAAAAAAAUGGAAGUGGUCUCAUUAUGGGUGACCUACCCAGAAAAAAUGUGAUGAGUCUCUUGUGAUGGGCGACCUACCCAAAAAAAAAUAUGAAGUGCGUCUCAUUGUAAUGGGUGACCUACCCAGAAAAAUGUUGGUGAGGGCUCAAAGGCACUCGAAAAGAGGUAGGGUUUAGAAAACGCACUACCCGAGAAGUGAGGGCUCAAACGGCGCAUUCGAAAAGAGGUAGGGUUAGAAAACGCACUACCCAAAAAGUGAGGGCUCAAACAGCGCACUCGAAAAGAGGUAGGGUUAGAAAACGCACUACCCAAAAAGUGAGGGCUCAUACAGCGCACUCGAAAAGAGAUAGGGUUAGAAAACGCACUACCUGAGAAAUGGUGAUGAAAUCCCGAUCUGACAAAUGUUGAAAGCAAUAUAUUAUGGUUAAUAUGCAUGUAUGUUUUUGUUACCUAUCUUGGAAACAUAGGUCCCCCUUUCGUCGUAAACCUCUUUGCUCUUGUUUCAAGCUUUUCUCAUGAACCGAAAUAUCCUUCAUGUCCUUUUAGUGAAGAGAUCUUUGGUUCCUUAUGGGGCCCUUUCUUGCUCCAUUGAGUUUUGCGCCAAAGGAAAAAAUUGGUUUUGUUCAUGAAAACUGAAACUUUUAAUGCAAUUAGCAAAUUUUAUAAAAGAUGCUUUUUUAGAAGUUUUUAUUAUGAUACCUCUUUUUGAGCUUGGGUUUACUAUAGACCCUUAUGUGCACUUCGUGCACCUUUUGCCCCCUAGUGUGAUGUGCAACUAUAUGUCAAGCAGAUUUGAUUUGUUUCAUCAAUUGAUGGAGCCAUCUUCUUAGUCAUGCCAAAAAAAAGUUCUUUUAAACAAAAGAUUUCAAAUGUUAUGAGAUCAUAUGUUAUAUAUAUAUAUAUAUAAAAGGACUCUUUACAAAGAGAAUUCAUGGCCGAAAUUUAUUUUAUUGAACGGGAAAUUACGAAAUACAUCAAGCGUAGUAUUUCUUUACAGAGUCGGAAUUCACAGGCCUAGCUAGAUCUUCUCCAUCCAUUCUAGACAGUAACAAAGCUCCUCCUGAGAAUGCUUUCCUCACCACGUACGGCCCCUCGUAGUUAGGUGCCCAUUUACUCUGAUCUUCUCCAGGUAAAGGUAAUAUUUUCUUUAGUACAAGAUCUCCUUCGUGGAAUCCUCGAGGUCGAACCUUCUUGUCAUAGAUUUAGCCAUCCUUCUUUGGUAGAGUUGAUGAUGACAGAUCGCGGCUAUCCUCUUUUCACUGAUCAGAUUCAACUGUUCAUAUCUAACCUUUGCCCAUUCUACCUCUUCCAGCUCAGAGUCUAACAACACUCUCAAUGAUGGGAUUUCCAUUUCUAAAGGCAUCACCGCCUCCAUUCCAUAUACCAACAUGUACGGGGUGGCUCCUGUUGAGGUUCGAACUGCGGUGCGAUAUGCAUGAAGGGCAAAUGGCAACAUCUCAUGCCAAUCCUUAUAGGUGACUACCAUCUUCUGAAUAAUCUUUUUGACAUUCUUGUUAGCAGCUUCUACCGCACCAUUCAUCUUUGGUCUAUAUGGCGAAGAAUUGGAAUGCUUGAUUUUCCAUUUAGUGCAGAGCUCUAUUAUCAUCUUGCCGUUGAAAUUCUGGGCGUUAUCAGUUAUAAUCUUUUCUGGUGGACCAUACCGACAUAUCAAAUCUCUCUCAAUAAAUCUUCACCACUUUUUGCGUCACAUGAGCAAAUGACCCAGCUUCUACCCAUUUUGUGAAGUAGUCGAUAGCCACGAGAAUAAACCUAUGACCAUUGCUGGCUUUUGGGUUUACCGGUCCAAUCACAUCAAUUCCCCACAUCGCGAAAGGCCAUGGAGAUGUUAAAUUAAACAGAGGAGCCGGAGGAGCAUUGAUUUUGUCACUGUAUACUUGGCACUUAUGACAUUUCCGGACAUAAUCGAUACAAUCCUUCUCUAAUGUCAUCCAAAGUACCCGGCUCUUUGUAUCUUCCUGGCCAUCAUGUCCACUAGCAUGAGUUGAGCAAAUCCCUUCAUGGACUUCCCGUACUGUGCUUUUUGCCUCAAAUUCAUCCAAACAUCUCAACAAAGUCCCGUCAGAUGAUUUCUUAUACAAAAUCUCCCCAUCAAGAUAAAAAUCCAUUGCCAACCUUCUCAAGGUCUUCUUGUCGAUUUUGGAUGCCCCCAUGGGAUAUGCCUGGUUUUGGAUGAAAUUCUUGAUAUCAUAGUACCACGGGUUUCCAUCCACUUCUCUUUCGACUGAGCAACAAUGAGCGGGUUAUUUCUGAUAUUGAUGUGUACUGGCUGUACCUUGUGCCCAAAGUCUAUCUUGGCCAUAGAUGCUAGUGUGGCCAAAGCAUCUGCAAACUGGUUCCCUUCCCUUCCCAGAUGGGUGAACUCUAUUUCCUCAAAUUCUUUAGCUAGCUUAGACAGGUAUUCUUGGUAAGGCCUUAACUUCUCUUCUUUGGUUUGCCAUUCUCCUUUUACUUGGCAAAUGAUCAGCAUUGAAUCUCCAUACACAUCUAUCUUUCUUAUGUUCAUCUCUAAAGCAGCCUCUAAACCAAGAAUGCAAGCUUCAUACUCAGCCGUGUUGUUGGUGCACCCGAACUGCAGCUUAACUGAAACCGGAUACUGCUUCUUAUCAGGAGAGAUUAUCACUGCCCCCGCUCCGUUACCACAUACAUUUACAGCACCAUCAAAGUACAUAACCCACCAAUCUGAUUUCUCUUCCUCGAUUGCAAACACAUCUUCAUCGGAAAGUCAAAGUUUAACGGCUCAUAAUCUUCCAUAGCAUGGUCAGCCAGGUGAUCGGCAAUAACACUCCCUUUUACGGCUUUCCUUGUCAUAUAUACUAUGUCAUACUCAGCCAAAAGAACUUGCCAUCUUGCAAUUCGGCUAGAUAGAUAAGGCUUUUCACAAAUGUACCUUAAGGGUCUAACUUGGAAAUUAACCAUGUAGUGUGAUACAACAUAUACUGACGCAAUCUCUUUGUAGCCCAUGCUAGUGCGCAGCACAGCUUUUCAAUCACAGUAUACCUAGACUCAUAUUCCGUGAACUUCUUGCUUAGGUAAUAAAUGGCCCUUUCCUUCCUUCCGGUUUCAUCAUGUUGCCCAAGCACACAUCCCAUUGCUGUUUCGGUUACUGUUAGGUAUAAAAUCAAUGGCCUUUCUGGUACGGGAGGAACAAGCAGAGGUGGAUUUAGCAAGUACUGCUUGAUUUUCUCAAAAGCUUUAUCACACUCUUCAUUCCAUAUUCCAGGGUUCUUCUUCCUCAACAAACGAAAGAUCGGGUCACAAGUCGCGGUUAAAUGGGAUAUAAACCGAGCGAUGUAAUUCAACCUUCCUAAGAAACCUCUCACCUCCUUCUCAGUCUUGGGGGGUGGCAUAGAUUGAAUAGCUUUUACUUUUUCAGGAUCCACUUCUAUCCCUUUGUCACUCACCACAAACCCCAACAGCUUACCGGAUUUCACCCCGAAUGAACACUUUGCUGGGUUAAGCCUCAACUUAUAUUUCCUUAAUCUUUCAAAUAAUUUCUUCAAUACUUGGACAUGAUUCUCUCCCUCUUUAGAUUUAGCAACCAUGUCAUCCACGUAUACUUCAAUCUCUUUGUGCAUCAUGUCGUGAAACAAAGUCACCAUAGCCCUUUGGUAAGUGGCCCCAGCAUUCUUUAAACCAAAUGGCAUGACUUUGUAGCAAAAGGUUCCCCAUGGUGUUACAAAGGUCGUCUUCUCCCUAUCCUCUGGCGCCAUUCUUAUCUGAUUGUAGCCUGAAAACCCAUCCAUGAAGGAAUAUGUGGAGCUGCGUGCUGCAUUAUCAACUAACAUAUCUAUGUGUGGUAAAGGGAAAUUAUCUUUAGGGCUAGCCCGGUUUAAAUCCCUAAAGUCCACGCAAACUCUGAUUUUACCUUCCUUUUUGGGUACCACCACUAUGUUUGACACCCAUUGUGGAUACUUCACUACUUCCAAAAAACCAGCGUCCCAUUGUUUUUCAAUUUCCGCCUUUACUUUGAUUAAGACCUCCGGAUGAGUUCUCCUUAACUUCUGCUUAAUCGGCUUGCAUCCUUCCAUCAGUGGUAUUCUAUGCACUACAAUGUCCGUAUCCAGACCAGGCAUAUCCUCGUAGGACCAGGCAAAGACAUCCACAUAAUCCUUGAGCAGUGCAAUCAACUCUUCCUUUGCUUCGAGGGUGAUCAAAGUCCCUAUCUUCAGCUCUCGCUUGAUUUCUUCAUUGCCUACAUUUAUGGUUUCAAGUUCCUCUUUAGCGGGCCUCCAAGCCUGUUCGUGUUGUUCUAUUAAUUUUGUGAAUUCCCAUAUGUUUUCCUCUCCCAUUCCUCAUCUUCUACAGCCACUAUGUAUUCUUUAAAUUUUGGCCAUUCAUUCUCAAUGUAAAGUGCAGGUGUUGUUGUGGAGGAUCCGCUUUCAGAGUUCCUGAAAGCGGAAAGUGAUGUGUAAAUGCAUAGUAAGACAUCAAGAUGAAUUUUGAAAAUGCAUGAUCUCAUUAAAAAUAAAAGAUUGGCUCACAACAAAAUAAAAUCUCAUUGACAUCUUGAGCCUCGAUUGUCAAUGAAUAAAAACAAAACAGAAAAAGGCAAACAACAUAGAUAAAAAUAUAAUCCAACCAUCAUUGUUGAUUACAUUUUAAAAACCAAUGGAGCUUCUUGGGUCUCCCAAUUCUGGAACUUCUCCCCUUCGGCUAGCUUCCGGACAAAAGUCUUGACGGUGACUUCUUCCAAAGUGUGGAUGGUCAAUUGUGGCAGCUCUUCAAUCCUCCUUUCGACUCGAUUUUCUCAGCAAUGUCCUUGACUUGAUUUUCCUCCAGAGUGUUUAUGUUCAUUGAAGAAAGCUUCUGAAAGAGGUCUCCAUGUCCCCCAUCAGGUUGUAUCACAUAUGCGGCCUUUGGAAAUGAAAUCCUGAUUGGAGGGAUGGCUAAGUUUUCUUCUACAGGCUUCCUUCCUUCCAUCCUAGCCAUUCUCUUCUCCCUUCUUGCACCAGCAGCUCGUUUGUAAUCCUCUUUCUUGGGCUUAUAUCCAAGCCCAAACCUCUGUUCUGCAGCUUUCAAUUUGAUUAUACCCCUCCAUUCAGGCCUUCUUUGCUCCAUAUCGUAUGGGAAAGGAAUCUUGUUUUUCAAAAAGAUUUUAGCGGCCAUUUUAGUGGCUUCAGAGAUUUCUGGCUUCCUCAACACAGUGUUCUCGGGCACCCACUCGGUAUUCACAAUCUCAAAUGCAUGAAGGUUUCCGUCCCUACAAUCUUCUGCUUCAAUGAAUGGAACCGCCACAUUUCUUACCAUCGAUAUAGUCUCCUCAGCCUUAACAGUAACCAGGACACCGUUGGCAAUGUACUUUAAACAUUGAUGUAGCGAAGAGGUGACAGCUCCCGCAGAAUGUAUCCAUGGCCUCCUAACAACAUGCUAUAGGAAGGGUGGAUAUCCAUCACUUGAAGGGUUACUAGAAAGACUUGUGGACCCACAGCUAGUUCAACAUCAAUUGACCCUACAACUGGCCUUGAUGAGCCAUCAUAUGCUCUUGCCGUUAUCACACUGGGUUGCAUAUGUGAGGGAUCUAUUGGCAUUUCAUCCAGCACAUGCCUUGGUAACACAUUCAGGGCCGAGCCGUUAUCAAUGAGAACCUUGCCGACGAGGCAAUCCUUGCAUCGGACCGUGACAUACAAGGGCUUGUUAUGUCCAGUUCCUUCAGCAUCGAGUUCAUCUUCCGUGAAAUACAAGUAAUUGGCAGCAUGGAUCCUCCCUACUAGAUCCAUAGUCUUUUGCUCAUAUCUUGGGGCACAUAGGCCUCAUUCAGUACUUUUUGCAAAGCAUUACGAUGUGGCUCCGAGCUGAGUAUUAAAGACAUGAUGGAGAUCUUAGCAGGGGUCUUUUCAACUGAUCCACUAUACUGUACUCACUAUGCUUCAUCAGUUUCAAGAACUCAUUUGUUUCUUCCUCAGUCACAGGUUUAUUCACCUCAAACUCUUUAUCGAGGUCCAGCACCUCCUUGCCUUUAGCCUUUCUUUGUCUUUCUAGCUCUUCAGGUGUGUAACAACGACCACUCCGAGUUAGCCCACUUAUCUCCGUCGAACAGCGGCAAAGGAGCUUCAAUAUUCGAGGUAUAACCAUAAUCUCCAGGCAUCGCUCCAUAGUUUACUUUGCUUGCAUAGGAGGGCCUAGUUAAUACCAGUUUUGAGCGACCAUUAGCUGUUGAUUGGAUUCUACAUUUCUCUAUCAUCCUACCUCUUCAUUGUCACUUAUGUCCUCAAUCCUCAACUCUCCUAGAGCCAGCAUUCUUGCAACUUUUUGAUGAAAUUCAUGCAUUCAUCAAUGUGAUGCCCUUCCUUUUUAUGGAAAGGGCAAAAGUUACUUUCCCCUGUGCAGUACUCAGUCGUUUCUUCCAAAUGUCCAGACUGUACCAACAUCAGUAUAGCUUGGCCAUGGUCACUUUCAACACCCUCUUUUUGCUACCAAUCUCCAUGGUAUUCACUCCUCCCCUACCAUCAACAUGUUUAGGUAAAGGGUUUGAAUUCUGAUUAGGUGAAUCCUCAAAAGUGACCCAUCCCACUUUGAUCAGUUGUAACCUUUCUUUUAAAAGCAAAGCAAGCCUCAAUGCUAUGGCCUGCGUGACCAGCAUGGUAUUCACAAGUUACCUCGGGGUUGUACCAGGCAGGGAAAGGUGGCUGCAUAGGUGGUAUGGGUAGGGGAGCUAUCUGCCCAAUACUCAACAGCUUGGCAUACAACUCUUUCAAGGUUAUUGGUAAAGGAGGUAGUUGUUCUUCUGAUGGUUGCUUAUCCUUUCUUUGGUAAUUGUGGUGGUUAUUUGCUGGGAAUUUUACUGGAUUGGGCUGGUUUGGAGUGGGGGGUUUGGAAAAGUUAAUACUAGUGACUCGAGGGGUAGGUAUUUGAUAGUUUUUGCUUCUCUUUCGAGGUUGUUCACCUCAAUUUCUUUCUUCCUUCCAAUGAAACCUCUCUUCUCUAGAGGUUCUGCAAUUCUUCCACUUCGGAUCCCUUGUUCAAUCCUCUCGGCGAUCCGCACGACAUCAUAGAAAUGUUGUGCUGAACUACCCAUAAGGUGUUCAUAGUAUGGAGCCCUGAAAGUAUUGGCAAACAAAGUCACCAUUUCUGUCUCUAUCAGCGGAGGUUGUACAUUGAUAGCUUGGUCUCGCCACCUUUGAGCAUAAGCCCUCACGGACUCUUGACUUCCUUUCUCCAUGCUAAUCAGACUGGUCCUAUCAGGAGCAAUCUCUAGGUUAAACUUGUAUUGCUUUAAGAAAGCGUCCGCCAAGUCUGUCCACUUCCUGAUCCUAAUAUUGUCUAACCUCAUAUACCAACUGAGGGCCGAUCCGGUCAGACUAUCCUGGAAGAAGUAAAUUAACAUUUUGUCGUCGUGGAUAACCUCUGCCAUUUUGUUAUAGUAGGAGCGGAGAUGGGUCUUCGGGCAUUCCAUCCCAGUAUACUUAACAAACUCCGGCACUCUAAACUUCUUUGGAAUGACAAUAUUAGGUACUAAACAUACCUCAGCGGCCCUAAUUGGGUCAAACAAAUCAUUUCCUUCAAUUGCCCUUAGCCUCUCUUCUAGGGCAGUCCACUUAUCAUCUCCUUCAUGAUUAGAGAAUUUAAAGUCAUGUGGAUCUUCGUUUGUUAAAUCCAUUGUAAUAGGGAUUUGGAUGGGCCGAGCAGGACUCUGCUUAGUUGGUGUAUUUGCCCCUAUGUUUAUAGGUGCGACAGGAAUUUGAGCUGCUGCUGGUGCUUCAUUAGGUUGAGUAGAUGUUCCCUCUCCAUCUCUGGCUCUUAAUAAUUGCUCUAACAUACUUGUUAAGUGCGCCACAUCAUUCCGAACUCCUUCGAGUUCUCUUUGGUACUGAGAUUCUGGUUGUGACCUUCCUUCGUUUUCCAUUCUUGCUCUUUGUCGAGUGUUGUGGAUUCUAGGAGGGGGACCUAUGUUUCUUAAUCUGCAAAUGCAUGCAUAGAUGUAUGAGAAAAUGUAUUGUGAUGGAUGCAUGAUGAUGCAUUAUUGGGUAUGGAUGCAUCCUUUUUUGUGAACGAAUAACAACCAUCACAUUAUAAGCCUUCUCUUGUCACAUUGCUUUGAUAGGAGUUCUGCCUUUCGAGUCGUUUGCUUGAAUCAUGUUCACCAAGAGACAGAUUUUUGCAUAAGAAGAUGGGUCAACGCCCUUUUCAUUAAUGCUUGGAUAAAAAUACAUUUAGAAAUAAAAGAAAUACAACAUGCUAAUCCCUUUCCUCCCUAAACUCUUUGGCCAAAGGUAAGAAAGCAAAACCACGGUUCUCAAUCUUCCCUAGAAAGGCAUCGGUUUCAGCUAGGCUUCGGCGAUAGCGAAUGAUGUCUCCCCCCACAUUCCGCGAAUUGAUUCUGACCAUUCGAGCAUGUGCAGCAGCUUCGUCCAUUUGCUCAUCUGUUUUGGUCAUUUUUUCUAUGAGCAACAUGUUGGUUCUGUUUAAAGCAGUGUUGUUGGCGUCGAUUUGAUCUUUGUGCUUCUCCAUUGCUACUAGCUUUUCAUCUAAAUACUUCAACUUUUCUCGUUCUUUGUCAAGCUUUAUCCUCAUGACUUUUAUCUCAUUCUUCUUGACUGCUAACUCUGCUUUAACAUCCUCGAAUCCUCCCUUUUCGCUUUCCAACUCCAUAUAUUUCUUAUUCAAAUCCUCAUACUUCCUAAUCCUAUCCAUCAGCUCGAAUUGCACUUGUGCAAAUUUUUCUUGGUAAUAUUCUGCACUUUCUUGGCAAUCGCUAAAGUCCAUCUCCAUUGCUUGAAGUUCAGAGCAACUUUGCAUCCAAUCCAAACUCAUCCCUUUAAGCUCCUUCUCACUUCCUUCCUUAGCAAUCUUCUCCUCAACCAACUUUAACUCCAGCUUUGUUAUUUUCUCAUCUCUAGACUGUAUUUGCUCAUCUAGAAAUGUUCUCAUUUUAUCCUGUUCUAGCAUCAUUUCUUCCAACAUUGCUUUGUCUUUUCUGCUCUUGCUCAAUUCUAUUCGUAGUCUCUCCACUUGCCUUCUCAAGUCUUCUUCAUUACUAACUCUCUUUCUCUUGAUAGGCUCCUCUUCAGUUGGAGAAGAUUUGACUUCUACACAAGGCAUGGCUGAAGCAGCUGAAUCAUCUUCAAUGUUCACCCUUUUUCUCUUAAUAGGCUCCGCUACAUCUUGAGGAGAUUUAGCUUCUACGCGAGGGGUGGCUGAAGUGGCUGAGUCUCUCCAUUUUACAUAUCCUUCGCUCACACUUGGAUCUCUUAACCCUUCCAUCUCCACCAACACUAGAUGCUUCCAAUCUUGCUUGAUGAUCUCCAAAACCUCUUCUGCCAUGGGAUCUUUGAACAAACCAGAGAAUUGAGCAAUUCCCAUAGUCCUGGGAACGAACUGCAUGCCCCCAAGUUGUCUUACCACUAAGGCAGGAGCAUAACUCACAUAACCCGUGAUCCCCACCAAUGGUACCCAACGCCUUUGUCCACAACUCAUUAGGACCUUCACUGACGUUACCCAUGGGGCCCUCCACUUAAACUCGCUAUUAGGUAAACCUUCUAAUUUAUCAACCCAACCCUGGUUGUCUAGAUCUCCCCAUUCUUCUUCUUCUACUAACUUGAGGGGUUUUUGGGUGAACCACCAAAAAUUAUUGAAGACAGGUUUCUUUGUCUCGAUAUGGCUAACCAUCCAAAUAUACAACAGUUGCGUGCAGCAUCUCAUUGCUCCUUUUCCGGCCCUCCUACAAUGGUUAAGUGUCAAAAUUGUUUCGGCUAAAAUAGCAGCCACUGGAUUGAUUCGUGUAUUCUCAUAUUCCACGUAAGCAGCAGCGGCCUCCAAACUCACUAAACCAAUCUGACUUGGGAACAACACAAGGCCAAAUAUACCUAGGGCAAUCAAUCUCUCUUUUUCUACUCCUGACUUCUUUUCCAAUUCUAACAUCCUCCAUUUCAAACCGGUACCAUUCUUCUCUUGAAACUUUUCCAAGUUGGAGAUUCUGAGCAGCUUUGACAGUUCAGGGAUGAUCUUGUCGGAUCUUAAAGGAGAAUAAAUCCGAUACAGGUCGUUGGGAAACUCGGUCAACAAUCCAUAUUCAUCAACCGUGGGGCACAAGUCUGUUAUAACCCAUUUUUGGGUCCCCAUGAAAAAUAAAAUAAAUAGCCAAAAGAGUUUAGAAAAAAUAACAGAAGGCAGAAGCGCUCAGGAAACAGUCAGAAAAUUGGUCAAGAAAUUCAAAAAUACAAGGAUUAAAUUUUUGACAGUAUAUUCUUGAAGGAUGAAAGCCCUAUUGAGAAGGAAAAUUUGAAUUUUGAGGAGAAAAGCCCAAAUUUGGAUGUUUAUGGACUUAAUUGGAUUUUUAUUUGAAUUUAUAGAAGAUUUGAUUGCAAGAAAAAUUGAUUUUUAAGUCAAUUUGGGCUUUAAUUUGGAGAAAUUUAAGUUCUGGGGCCAAAAUAUAUUUUUUAGGAAUUUAUUGGGUCAAAUCAGGGGCUCAAUUGCAUAAAUAUUGAAGUUUAAGGGCCAAUUAGGGACUUAAUUGUGAAAAUCCGAAACCAGGGACCAAUUUGGAGAAGGCGCAAAGAUAGAGGGGGCUGUUUGGAUUUGUUUCAGGGGCUUAAUUGAAGAAAUUGGAAGUUUAUUGAUCAAUUAGGGGCUCAAUUGCAUAAAUCAGAGGCCAAGGACCAAAGUGAAAAAGGCGGCCAACAAGAGGGGCGGGGACCGAAUUUGGGGACUGAUUUGAAGUUUAGCCAUUUAAAUGAAACGGCGCGUUUUACCCAAAACGACGCCGUUUCAUUAAAAAAAAAAAAAAAAAAAAAAAAAACAGAACGGUGUCGUUUUGAACGACACUGUUCAUCUUCCUCCUUCCCCCCGUUUUAACAGAACAGAAAACGAAAAAAUUCGAAAAUCUUCCCGCGCCUCUCUCUCUCCUCGCCCCCACCACCUUUAGCAUUGGCCGACCAGCCGUUGCACCGCACUAACGAUGGUCCCCCACGGUUCUGCCCCUAUAAAUAGGGAAGAGACGGAAAGAAAAAAAAAAAAAACCGAAGGGAGGAGAGAGAGAGAGGAGGCCGAAGAGAGAGAGAGAACCGAACACCGAAGAGAGAAGGAGCCGCAGCGCCGCCCGGGAAGCCACGCCACCGCAGCACCGCCUCCUCCACGCCAGGUCACCUCUUCCCCCCCUCUCGUUAGUUUUUUAUUUUUUUCCCUGCAUGCAGAAUGAACAUUCUGCAUGCAGGGAGGAGGGGGGAAUUAAUUCCCCCCUGUUAUGUAGCUGGGCCAGGUGGAUCCUGGCCCAGCAUCAUUUUUUUGGGCCAGACUAAGUCUGGCCCGGCCUUGUAUCUGACGGGCCAGACCAGGUCUGGCCCAUACCAGCUCUCUGGGCCAAGUCCGGCCCAGAUAUUUGGGCCGGCCCAGCCCGAAUUAUUUUUUAUUUUAUAUAUAUAUAUUAUAUUAUAUGUGUGUAUAUAUGUAUAUAUAUAAAAUAUAAUAAUAAUAAAAAAAUAUUUUGAAAAAUCUUAAAAAAAUAUUGUUGAUUUUUCUGCAUAUUUUUGUCAAAAAUGUUUUAAUUUUGGUUUGUAUGUUUAUACUGUAAAGAUACAAAACCAGUGUUAUAAAUACCCGGUUUUCGUCAAAACAUCAAAGAUUUUCAGAAUAAAAAAUGUUUUUGCUUUCAAAAAAAAUUCUAAAAAGUCCCUAAAAAUGUUGUUGAUUUUUCUGCAUAUUUUUAUCAAAAUGGUUUAAUUUUGGUUUGUAUUUUUAUACCGUAAAGAUAUAAAACCAGUGUUAUAAAUACCCGGUUUUCGUCAAAAUAUCAAAGAUUUUCAGAAUAAAAAAUAUUUUUGCUUUCAAAAAAUUUCUAAAAAUUCCCUAAAAAUGUUAUUGAUUUUUCUGCAUAUUUUUAUCAAAAUGGAUUAAUAUUGGGUUGUAUUUUUAUACCGUAAGGAUACAAGCUCAGUAUUAAAAUACCCGAUUUUCGUCAAAGCAUAAAAAAAAUAAUAUUUUCCAAAAAUUGUUUUUGUUUUAAAAUACGGCCUAGUCUCUUCAAAUAUAUAUAUAUAAAUAUUAUAACAUCGUAUUUUCACACAACAAAGAAAAUUUUCAAAAACAAUAUAUGUAUUAACAUGCAUUUUGGCUUUAAUAACCAGUUUAUUCAAGCCAUGAGAACUAGGCCAAUAUUUCAAAAAUUCUAAAAAAUCUUUUUGUUUUAUUUUAGUAUUUGGGAUUACGAAUUUAUACGUAAAACGUAUUCCUAAGUAUUAUUAAUAAAAUUUUGGUAUGGACGUUAUAACGGUUAAGAUUUUUACCCGAUAAGAUAAAGAUCUCCUUACCGAGGAGGAUUUUUCUUAAACUAUAGACAGACCAACCACUAGGAAAACACAAUAACACUUUAGUUUUUUUUUUAUCAGACAUUAAAACAAUGCAGCUUACCUUAGGUAGGGCGUAUUUGGGGUGCUAAUACCUUCCCUUUACGCAACCAGUCUCCGUACCCGAUCUCUAAGACCAGUUAGGUUCCUAGUGACCAAAAUACUAGGUGGCGACUCCAAAGAACCAAAUAAAAAUAAAAUAAACAAAUUUUCGCCAGUCGAACCCGCAAUGGAUGCGUAUAUUUUUUUUGGGGGGGGGUGCGCUCGGUCAACAAUCCAUAUUCAUCAACCGUGGGGCACAAGUCUAUGCUUCCAAAGGAAAAACAUAUGUAGUCUGGAUCCCAAAAAUGAACUAAAGCUCGCACAGCUAGGCUUAAAACUUCUACCUUUGCAAUUUCCAUCAAACGUCCGUAUUUCCUAAAAAAUGCAUCUUUAUCCACAUUUUGAAAAUGAGUCGUUAACUUGUUCACCUCAUUCAAUACGCAAUUCAGGUUCUUGAUUGGUGACAUCUUCUUAGCAUCGCUUCUAAGGCAGUCUCCUUCAGUCAAUUGUGACAGUUCAGAAUUUUUUCCAUAUUCUAAGAUGGAAGAUUUAGUGAUGAUGGCCAUUUCGUUCACAAGUCCUGCAAUUCAAAAUGCAUUGGGGUUUAGACUUUGUUUGGAUGCAAAAGAUAUGUUGGAACAUACACCCUAAGGAUAGGUUCUAAUUUCUCUAUGUGAGACAUAGGGUAGGUUUACUAUUGGGUCUCUAAAAGAGGGUCUCUUGCUGUUCCAGUGAUCAGCCUUCGUAAAGGCGAUAUGGAGGUCUAGCAGAUAGUGGGAUGGUACGUGUACCAAUCACAAUCAGUCUAAACACUCAGCAAAGAGUUGGGGUUUACACAAACUUAAACCUUGACUCAAGUCAUAAGGCAAGCUGCUAGUCCCCCACUUAAACUUAAAGUUACAUGUGUGUGCACUCCAAAACAUAAUAACAAUAAUAAAGUGAUGCAUGACUAUGCCAUGUAUGAUAGAAUGUAAAGAUAUAUGCUAAAGCUUUUAAACAAAGCAUCAUAAAAAAAAAACAAAAACCAAUAACACAUAACAUAAACAAACAAACAAAUCAAGCUUAGUCCAAGGGUCCCCAGUGGAGUCGCCAUCCUGUCGCACCCCCAAAAAAAUAAAAAAAAAAGUUUGUUUUUGCGACAUUCGACUGGCGACUUUCGUUUUGUUCUGUUUUGCUGAUUUGGUUCUUUGGAGUCGCCACCUAGUAUUUUGGUCACUAGGAACCCUAACUGGUCUUUCAGAGAUUCUAAGGUAAGGGACUGGUUGCGUAAAGGGAAGGUAUUAGCACCCCUAGUACGCCCUACCUAAGGUAAGCUGCUUGGUGUUUGGUUUGCUCUAUAAUGCUAUGGUGUAGGUAUUUUUAGGCUCGUCAAUUGAUUUUGGAUAGAAAUCUAAGGAGAUUCCAUGUGCUUUGAAAGCUCAUUUUUCCCUUAGUAUUUCAAAAGUUUGACUCAUAAAUCGUGGGAAAAAAAAAAAUUAAAUUUUGAAAUGUCCUCGAUUAUAAUCAAGGCUUCUUUCAAGAAUGUGUGCGGAUUUAUUAUUCCCAUAAUAUUUUGGAUAUUCAUCCUUUUAAGGAUUUCUUUAUCCAAACAUUAGCGGUAAAUAAUAAAUAAAUUCCUUUUCCCAAAAUAAGAUUUUUAUAGUUUUUUGAAUAUUGGCCAAUACCCUUUGGAAUUUUACAAACACGUUGUAAAAUCCAGAAAUGCAAGAAAAUAAUUUGUGUUUAAGAAAUCUAUGCGAAAACACACUUUCGAAGCUUCCAAUAUAUUUGUUUUAUAAAAAAGAAUAUUCAAAACAUGUUAGAGUAUUGGCCGUAUGCAACACGCAAGAAAAAUAUUUUUUUUUUAAAACAAUAUUUUUUUUUGACGAAAUCGGUAUUUUUAAUACUGAAUUUGUAUCUCCACAAAUAAAAAUACAAACUAAUAUUAAGUCAUAAAAAAUGUACGAAAAAAUCACAAUAUUUUUAAGGAAUUUUAGAAAUUUUUGAAAGCAAAAAAAAAAUUAUCUUUGAAAAUUUCGGGUGCUACGACGAAAAUCAGAUAUUUUAAAUACUGAAUUUAUACCUCCACAGUAUAUAAAAAAAAAUACAAACCCCCUUAAAAAUAUAUAUAUAUGAAAGGAAAAUAACAACAUUUUUUUUUAGAUUUUUUACAAAUAUUUAUAUAUAUAUAACAUAUACACAUAUAUAUAUAAUAAUAAUAUAAUAUAAUUAUAUAUUAAUUAUUAAGGGGCUGGGCCGGCCCAACUGACUGGGCCGGGCUCAGCCCCACAGUGACUGGGCCGAUCGGCCCAGAAAGUGACUGGGCCGACCGGCCCAGAAAGGUACUGGGCCGAUCGGCCCAAAAAUCUGGGCCGACGGCCCAAAAAACUUGGUCUGGGCCGGACCCGGCCCAGACCGCCGGGUUGGGCCAGAAUCCUUCUGGGCCAGAACCGGUCUGGCCCAGAAGAAAAAACGGGGGGAAUUAAUUUCCCCCCCCCCUGCAGCACUGCAUGCAGGAGAGAAAAUAACAGAAGAAAGAAAAAAAAUGCAGGGGAGAGAGUACCUGGCGAGGCUGGAGACGGUGGUUGGCUGACGGGGCUACGGUGGCGCGGCUCGUGGAUGGCGGUUCGGGCGGCGUUGCUGCUGUUUCAGUGGCGAAAAAUUCUUCUUCCUCCCUUCUCCUUCGUUUUUUUUCGUUCUCAGUGGCUGUCCUAUUCUCGGUUUGGUUUUGGUUUUUGUUUCGGUUUCCUUCUUCUCGGUUUGUUUCUGUUCUUCUCUCUCUCUUCGGGUCGCUCUCUCUCUCUUUCUCUUCGGGUCUUCGGUUUUUUCUUCUUUUUUCUCUUCGGUUUUUCUUCUUUAUUUAUAGGGGCAGAACGAGUGGGGGACCAUGGUUAGUGCGCCUUCAAUCACGCAUGGCUGGUCGGUUCUUUCGGUGGUAGUGGUGGGGGCGAGGAGAGAGACGCGGGAGGUUUUUUUUUUCGUAUUCUGUUCUGCUAAAACGGGGGGAAGGAGGAAGAUGAACAGUGUCGUUCAAAACGACACCGUUUUGAUCUUCCUCCUUUUUUUUUUAUAUAUAUAUAUAUAUGAAACGGCGUUGUUUUGGGUAAAACGCGUCGUUUCAUUUAAAUGGCUAAACUUCAAAUCAGUCCUCCAAAUUCGGUCCCCGCCCCUCUUGUUGGCCGCCUUUUUCACUUUGGUCCUUGGUCUCUGAGUUAUGCAAUUGAGCCCCUAAUUGAUCAAUAAACUUCCAAUUUCUUCAAUUAAGCCCCUGAAACAAUUCCAAACAGCCCCCUCUAUCUUUGCGCCUUCUCCAAAUUGGUCCCUGGUUUCGGAUUUUCACAAUUAAGUCCCUAAUUGGCCCUUAAACUUCAAUAUUUAUGCAAUUGAGCCCCUGAUUUGACCCAAUAAAUUCCUAAAAAAUAUAUUUUGGCCCCAGAACUUAAAUUUCUCCAAAUUAAAUCCCAAAUUGACUUAAAAAUCAAUUUUUCUUGAAAUCAAAUCUUCUAUAAAUUCAAAUAAAAAUCCAAUUAAGUCCAUAAACAUCCAAAUUUGGGCUUUUCUCCUCAAAAUUCCAAUUUUCCUUCUCAAUAGGGCUUUCAUCCUUCAAGAAUAUACUGUCAAAAAUUCAAUCCUUGUAUUUUUAAAUUCCUUGACCAAUUUUCUGACUGUUUUCCGAGCGCUUCUGCCUCCUGUUAUUUUUCUAACCUCUUUUGGCUAUUUAUUUUAUUUUUCAUGGGGACCCAAAAAUGGGUUACAACACCAAGCAUGUUAUAUUUUCACAUGUCACGUUGAAGUUAUUGUAUGAAAGGUCCCUGCAAGUUAACAAUUCAUAAAAUCGAUUUGAAAUUGAUCUUUAUGAAUUGGCAAUUUAACAAUUCAUAAAUUACACUAAAUUGUCAUUAAUUAAUUAAAAUGAUUGGUCUUUUUGAUAAAAUUCUCUUAAUCUUUCUCAUCUCCCAGAGUUGACUAAAUAUAUUGAAAUUGCAAGUGCACUUUUUACAAAAGCAGUGUUUUUUUUAUGAGUCUUUCACCUCCUCUUACAUGCUUUUCCAAAACUCUUUUUCUCCAAAAUAUCUUUUUAUAAUAUGUCAUUUUAUUAAAAGAAAAAAUAAAACAACUAUUAUCAUGACUAGAUUCCAUAAAUUACUAAAUAAACAAAUAUUGAAUCUGAAGUAAAAACACAUCUUUUAAAAUUGAUGGUGAAGUCUUUGUUCGUGUUCAGCAUCAAUUUUUUGCCUCGUCAAGCAGAGAAAGAUUAAUAAAGCUAAAGCAUAUCAGUACGAAAACCGCAAGUUGAUCAUAGAUAUCUCUACAUUUCUUGGGUCCAAUAUGUGAACCUUGAGAAGUAAUAAAGACUUGACAUGGUUUUCUAUAAUAGGUUAAGCCUCUUAAUUAUUUUUAAUUUUUUCUAUGCUCAUCCAACGGCUCUGCUAAAUUGCUUGAUACAUCAUAAAAUAACUUGAUUUUGUAAUGUAUAUGAUUGAACCCAUGCAAUCUGAACAUUGAAAAGUAAAAAAGAAUCUUUAAAAUUUGGUCAAGUCUUUGUUCGUGUUCAGCAUAAUAUUGGACCCACGGAAUGUGAUCCUUGAGAAGUAAUAAAGGUCAAAAUAAAUAAAUAAAUAAAGACUUGACAUGGUUUGCUGUCUUUUCUAUGCCCCGCUAACGGCUCUGCUAAAUGAAUUGAUUUUUUGACGUUAUCAGAAAAAUAAUAAUCAACAUGAUCGAACCCAUGGAAUCUGAACAUUGAGAAGUAAGAAAUAAUGCAUCUUUAAUAUUUAUGGUCAAGUCUUUGUUCAUGUAAUUCAGCAUCUUUUGUUUUCCAUAUUAUGUGGAUCAAAAUUGCAUUGUCAAGCAGAGAACAAAUAAUAAAGCUAAAGCACCACCACAAGUUGAUAGAUUACUUUUUUUUAUAGGUACUCUACCAAGGUAUUGUUUAAACUAUAUUUUAUUUCAAAAUAAAUAAAGUAUAUAGCCUUCUGCGCUUGUAAUUGCUAAACCAUUUUGUAUUCAGAAUAUAUUAUUUAGGCUAUUCUCCCAUGAAAAGUCUUGGCUGUGAUAUUUGUCGAUACACGACGGGCGACGGCUCCAUAUCAUUUUUAUUUAUUUAACAAAAAAGAUUUUUUAUUUUUAUUGGGGAAAUGAAAAUUAUAUUGGAGUCGUUAUCUAGUAAUUUGAGGGAACUAGAAAUCCCAAAUUAAACACUGGUUUCAGAGAUUCAGGUACUGGGUUAGUUAUGAUUAAGGGAAGGUAGACACCACCCUUAAAACAUCCUUUCAAAAGAAAGGUUACCCUUACUUGUGUGUUUUUUAUUUGAUUUAAAUGCUAUUAUAUUUCGAGUUUAUUUGCAAUUUCGUUUUUUUUAAAAUAGUUAACGUCGGUCCCUAAAAAUAGGAGACGCGUUAAAAAUGACAUCAGUCCCUAAAAAUAGCAGACUCGUCUAAAAUAUUGACGUUUAACCCUAAAAAGGAGAAGUACGUCUGAGUUACCAAAAAAAACUAUGGACAUAAUCCAUAUUGGUAUUUAAACUUUUAACAUCGGUCCUUUUCUGAAAAAGAGACGUGUCGACGAACAGUAUUUGUUUAUAAAAUUAUUUUUAUAUCGUUGAGAAAUGGGUAUCCCAUAUUUGAGAUUUGGGCUUUGGGCCCACGAACGAUAACAUGAUAGGAUGAGUGUUGGACCCGCGUUGUUAUUCCUUUCUUUUUUAUUUUAUUUUUUGUUUGUUUUACAACAUACAAGAAAAUUUAUAUACAAAAUAAAAAAAUGUUAGAAAUCUAUAAAAAAAAAAAAAACAAAUUACCUAAGUGACACAGUAUAGGUAAAAGACUGAAAUACCCUCGGAUCUAUCAGAAAUUUACGAAAAUGCCACUAUGCGGCGCGUGUGGCUCACGCGCGGCUACUGUUGGUGCGGCGAGAUUUUCAGGCGCGAUUUCUGGCCCACCGAUGGUUAGUUCUGGUAGAUCUGAGGUCGAGGAUUCUGUUGUUGGUGGUCUCGACGUCCGUUGAUGGCUUACGAAUGAGAAUCGACGACUUGAAGGUUCGGUGGCCGACGAAGAUCGCGGCCUUUUUCCGGCCAGAUGAGGCGGCGGAAACAAUGAAAACCGCCGGGGUUUUUCUUCACAACAGGGUAGCUACCUUUCUGUGGUGGUUCGGAGGCUUGAGAUGGCCGGAAAGUGGAGAUCGGAUGAGAGAGGGAGUCGCCGGCGAGAGGAGAGAGAGGCUCUGAGAGUUGCUAUGGUGUGAACGCGUAUACGGUGUACCGGUGCCUCUGAACACUGUGCACCGUUCUAUCUCGGAUGAAACGAUCGGAUGGCUGUGAUUGGCUAGAUCUGCGGUUGAUCUGACGGUCUGGAUGAACUUAGCUUUGAUCUGGUGUGUUGCGGUGCACCGAAAGAUCGGUACACCUGAGACGUGGCGUAACCGGUUCAAAUCUUGAAUUGUUUCAAAGGCCGAGAUGUGUCGGGAUAUAUUUGGUAUUUUUCAAAUUGUUUUUUUUAAAAGACAAUAUCCUACUCUCCGGAAGAAAAACUACAAAAAAUGUUAAUGGUAUCAAUCGAUUUUUUUUUUCUUCCUCCCCUCACUCCUUCCGUGCUCACGUGGCUAUUUAUAGGUAAUUUUUUUUGUAUUAUUGUUUUUUUUGUUUUAAUAUAUAUAAUAAUAAAUAUUUAUAUAGGUAAAAUUAAAAAUUUCAACCGCUAACACUAAAAACAUUUGAUAGGUAUCAACCCGAUAAACCGGGUUUUAACCGAAAAAUGAUGGUUUUGACCCAAAAAUAGCCCGACACUCAUUUUUCAUCCCGGUCGACAUGGUUUGACCCGUAUUGACCUGGUGAACUCGGUUUGGGUCGAAAAUGACGUUUUUGACCCGAAACAGCCCGAAACUCAUUUUUAAACCUGGUCGACAUGGUUCGACCCGUAUUGACCCGGUGAACUCGGUUGUGGUUGAAAAUGACGUUUUUUACCCGAAACAGCCCGGAACUCAUUUUUAAACCUGGUCGACAUGGUUCGACCCGUAUUGACCCGGUGAACUCGGUUGUGGUUGAAAAUGACGUUUUUUACCCGAAACAGCUCGGAACUCAUUUUUGAACCUGGUCGACAUGGUUUAACCCGUAUUGACCCGGUGAACUCGGUUGUGGUCGAAAAUGAUGUUUUUGACCCGAAACGGCCCGGAACUCAUUUUUAAAACUGGUCAACAUGGUUUGAAUGAAAAGAUGCGGUUGACUCGAGAAAAAAAAUAUUUUUGAAUUUUCAAAUUUUUGUUAAUUUUUUUGGAUUUUUAUAAAUAAUAAUAAAAAUAAAAUAAUAUUCAAAAAAAUUGUGUGUCGAAAAUUGGGUUACAACAAUAUUCAUACACCAAUUGCUGGCUCUAUUUCAUACACCAUGGAAGACUUGGUUGAUAUGGUCGAUGAAGUGGACACCUAUGGUGAUGGGGAAGAAGACGUUGCGGAUGGAGACAAUUAUCAUGUAUUGAUAUUCAAAUACUCGAAAAACAAUUUAGGUGGUGUGCUGCCUCAAUCAGAAGAUUUGAAUAACUUUCAUAAUAAUUUUUUCAUAUCAUGAAUUAAUUAUUUGAAUUUGAUUAGUUACUAAGUGGUGCAUAAAUAAUGUUUUUAAAAUGCUAAAAUCAUAUUUAGAUUAGUCCAACGAUUUAGAAAGGUUUAUUCACCUUAAUUUACAUUAAAUUUAUCUUCAUUUUUAUUAUUAUUUUAAAGUAUUAUAAGUUCUAUCAAUUUUAAUUCACAUCGAGAAAAUAUAAUUUUUAAUUAAAACAAGAUUCUAAUAAUAUUUUAUUAAUUAAACAUGAUUUGUUUUUAUAUAUUAAUUUUCGAUACUUAACCUUUAGGCUAUGCAUGUUUGUAUAACAUCAUAAUUUAAAUAAUCUUUAAAAAUUAAAUAAGUGAAUAAGCUUUCAUGCAUGCGCGCGCGCGCAUAUGCUUCCUCACCACCACUAUUUACAAACAAGGAAUUAUCUGCAAGAAAACUUAUUCUCAGUGCAAACAUGAUUAUUUACCAUAAGAAACUCAGCCAGUAUAAUUAAUUAGAAGAGAGAAAUUCCCCAUCUAAUAAAAACAUUUUUAUUAACUGAAAAUUCGAAUUAUUUGAUAAUUUAAACCAUUUUUCGAGUUAGUUUCCGAUUUCGAAUCGAUAACUACAAUCAUUCUACACCUAUACACUCUCGGAAAAAGAUCAUGAUAUUCAUUUUUCUCAAAGGGUGUUGGUCCACCCAUGUUCACCCUAUGAACAGUCUCCCCACUGCAUUAAAAGUUUCAGCAUCAUCUGUAAUGAGCUCAUCGGGAACUGAAACGACUUCCAAAGGCAUUUAAGAGGCAAAUGAAUUGCCUUCACACUGAAAUUGCUGAGGAAACACCAAAACUCGCUUUGCUCAUGUUGUGACAACCACUAACAAAUGGAUAGAAAUAUAGACGAAUCCAAUGCCUCCAUGUUGGUUAAUGAAAAAGGUGUACUUUGAGGUUCCAUCAAAGAUUCUUGCUGUUUGAUAGAGCGGUGAAUCAUCCCCAGAAGUGACAGAUAUUGAAGCAUUUGCAAAAGUGUUUUUCGGGGUUGAAAGAAAGUUGGAGGCAGAGUUAUCAGCAACAAAAACACGGUUACCUACUGUAGUAUUGCUGAGUGAUCCGCAGUCUAUAAGAUAAUUGUCUAUAUUGUAACUUAUUUUUGGAUCCCACACAAAAAAAAUAUAUAUAAUAAAAAGAUAAAAUAAUAAUAAAUAAAUAUAUAGCCGGAAGAAAUUAGAAAAACUAACAGGUGGCGGGAGCGCUCAGAAAAUUAUCAGAAAAAUAGAUUAAGGAGGAUAAAAAUACAAAGAUUAAAAUUUUGACAGUAUAUCUUUGAAUGAUGAGAGCCAUGUUGGAAAAUAAAAUUCAAUUUGAAAAGAAAAGUCCAAAAUUGGAUGUUUAUGGACUCAAUUGGAUUUUAUUGAAGGUUUAAUUGAAUUUAUAAAGGGUUUAAUUGCAAGAUAAAUUUAUUUUUAAGUCAAUUUGGGCUUUAAUUGGUCGAAGAAAUUAAAGUUCUGGGGUCAAAUUAUAAUUUUUGAGAGUUGAUUUGGUCAAAUCAGGGGCUUAAUUGCAUAAAUAUUAAAGUUUAAUGGCCACUUAGGGAUUUAAUUGAGAAAAUCCAAAACCAAGGACCAAAUUGGAAAAGGCGCGUAAAUAUAGGGGCUGUAAUCAACGAAAUCAGGGGUCAAAUUGAAGAAAUUGGAAGGUUAUUAAUCAAUUGAGGGUCCAAAUGCACAAAUUCAAAACCAAAGACUAAAGUGAAAAAGACGGACAACUAUAGGGGCGGCGAUUGAAAUUGGCAGGGAUGCAAUUGAAUUAAUUCUUAAAAAUCAAGAUUACAUUGUGAGGACUUAAAAGAACAAAAGAUAAAUUAAGGAUUGAUUUGGAAACGAAUAUGCUAGCACCACCUUUAAAUGAAAUGACACGUUUUGUAUAAAGCGACGUCGUUUCAUGUUAAGAAAAAAAAAACAAAGAGCAAAACGGUGUCGUUUUGAGUGACACCGUUCCUCUUUCUCUUUCCCCUGGACGUGCAGCAAGGGAAGGCAUACGAUUUUCUUCUUCUUUCUUCAUUGAUUCCUGCGAGCCGCGUGCCCUACGAAAGACCCGAAGCCCCACGCACAUUGAUGAUUAGAAAUCAAAGGCGCCACGCCUUGCCAGCCGUGCCCACCAACCAACCCAGCGCUGCCCUGCUCCCCAUGCACAGCAAUAAAGAGGCCCCGCUCCCUUGCCCCUACAAAUGGAGACAGAACGCCAGCACGCGAGGGGGACAAAAAAAAGAGAAGGAGGACGAACCGAAAAAGAAAGAAAACGAACCAAAGCAGGAGAAACAAAACGGAGAGAACGAAUAGGAGAGAGAGAGAGAGAGAGAACGAACCAACGAAAGGGAAAAACAAAUCGAAAGUUUUUAAAAAUUCUAAAAAAUAUUUUUGUCUUCUUUUAGUAUAUGGGAUUAUGAAUUUAUACGUAAAACAUAUUCCUGAUAUUAAAAAUAUAGUUUUCAAAUAGACGUUAGAACAAUUAGGUUUUUACCCAAUACGAUAAGGACCUCCUUACUAAGGAGAAUUUUUCUUGAACCAUAGACAGACCAACAAUUAAAAAUAUAAUAACACCUUAGCUUUUUAUCAGACAAUUAAACAAUACAGCUUACCUUAGGUAAGACGUAUUUGGGGUACUAAUACCUUCCCUUUAUGCAAUCAGUCCCCGUAUCUGAUCUCUGAGACCAGUUAGGGUUACUAGUAACCAAAAUAUUAGGUGGUGACUCACAUUUCAUUUUCCACCGAUAAACGACAAGAGUUUCUUAUCUUCCUAUAUUUGCCAUAUAGAUAGAUAUUAUAUUUAGAUUUGAAGUGGAAUAAUUUUUACCGCGACGCCGCACACGUGCGACAGUCUACAUGAGUGAAUCCACUAGAUAAACAUACCAAACUUAAUCAUGAAAAAAAUAUAUUUUAAUCAUCUAAUCAAAUAUAUUUUUUUAUAGUUUAUUUUAUUCUAUUUUUUUUAUGUUUCUUGUUAUAUGAUUAUAUAAAUCUUGCUUGAGUUGAGUAUAACAUAUAUUUCAAAUUAUUAAAUAAUAAUAUCCUUUUCUAUUAUAAAUUUCGUUAAUUAGCAUUUAAUGUUCGCAGAACAUAUUUGGUUUGAUAAUAACAAAAAAAAGAAAGAUUUAUUCAUCCACUUACUUUAUUCAAAAGAAACUUAGCUUCUUGGUUUUGAUCCGUAUUUAACAGUUUUUUAAUUUUAUUAAAAUUGUUUUUUCUAAUAUAUAAAUAGCAUAUAAUAGUUGUGAUACUUUUUAUUGGAAAAAUAUUGAGUAAUAAAAAUUAGAAUUAAAAUUAAUUGAAACUUUUUGUGCAAAAUACUGUAUUUCAGUGUGUUGUCUUUCUUGUUUCUUGUUUCCGCCUGCAUCAUGAACCUUUCAAAUAAUUCAUAAAUUCAAUCAAGAAUUCCCUGUCUGCAUUUUGCUGCAGUCAGCUGUGGUCACUUUUUGCCAAUUCUGGCUGCAGAGAACUUUGCAGCUACGACGAAAGAUGCAAAAUUCUUUUUGGAAUUCAGUUCUGUUUAGAGAAGAAUCAAGCUAAUAGGUUCAGGUACACUGGGAGAGACAGAAAGCAGCAGCUAUGGUUCAACAAGGCAUGAUCCUUGCUCAAUGAGAAGUGUAGAAAAACUGGUAUAUAAACCACACAAUCUGUGUAACAUGGUGGUCUGCAUGAUCAACAAUGGUAGUUGUCUUCUCAAUUAGAGUAUACAUAUAAGUAGGCAUUGUUUAAAAACCACAACAAAUUGGAAGACUCAUUAUUGAUGCUGCCACUCUCUCAGUUAAAGAUGUUUCUUUAAGCCUUAACGACGAUAUCGACUGAGCUCAUCUGAUUGCUAUAAGAACAAAGGAUAUUGAAUUGUCUCAUUCUGAUUGCUGCAAAACCUCAACAAAUGCUUCCUUCAAAAGCGGGUUUGAAGCUGCGACUCUUUGAGUAGUGAUGUCAAAAUCUUUACCAGAUCUGUAGCCGAAAGAGCAACCAUCAAAAUAUCAGAACACGCAUUAUAUUCUGGACAAAAUGUGAGCAUAUGCUUAUGUUCUUAAUAUCUUUGACCUAUUGCUUGCCCGGAUGACAGAGUUGAGGAUGUCACAAGACGACGAUUAAAUCAUGUUGACAUUCGAUAAACACUGUUCUUUCAUGUCCAUGCAUGGGACUAUCCUCUCUAUAUCCCACACUACCCCCACCUAAGUUGUGGAAGGGAUGAAAUAUAAAUAGCAUCACUUACGGGUCAUAAACGAUUCCUCCAGCUUCUUUGACAAUCACAGCACCACCUGCCACAUCCCUGAGUUCAAGAGUAGAUUAUAUCAAUCAUGCGUCCAGAUGAACUUUUCUUGCGUCAAUCACAAAUACGUACCACGGGCCUCCAUAUCCGGUUUCAUAAAACAAAUCAAUCCUUCCACAUGCAACUCCGCAAAGAUUCAAUGCACAGGAGCCAGUCAUCCUAAGGGAUCUCACCUGAUAACAAGAUAAUCAGAUAUGAAUUUUAAGAAAACCAACACAUUUUACCAAAGCACAUAGCUUCCACAGCAUGUUCUGGUCUCACCUUGAAAAGUAAGCUGUUAAUUCUGUUCGUUGUGGCAUCCACAGUAGACUUGUCACGUUUUGUUCCAGCCUGCUCUUAGAAGAAUUUAGUUUGGUCAGUUCCUAACAUGAUUCCUUAUGAAACAUAAAGGAGUGGACUUGAAGUAGAAAGGAGUUUUAACCAGAUUCCACACAGAGCAUAACAGGGGUGAACUUAAAGCACUCCUUUUGCAGGGUAUUUGCAAGUGCAACAUGGUAAAAACUAAAUACAUUCACAACGCAUAGAUCUGCAUUUCAAAUACAGGGAGUUGGAUUUCUAGAGUCUACGAACAAUAUUUUAAUAUAAACGAGAAGGGUUAGCAUGCCAGAAAAAUCAAUCCAGGGUUAAAACAAGCUACCCUUACUCAGCACUUAACAUUUCUGACACUAUCUGGAGUUAAGACUGAAAUUGAUUGUGCCCAAGGCAAUUUUAACACCCUUCAAACCGAUCCAAUAAGAAACCAAUUGGAGAUGUACAGUUAGAAGGAUAGAAUUGUACCAAAAAAAUAUGAGACAGUAGGGCACCAAUUCAUCUCAGGUUUCAAAACUGAUUCCCGGUUAUAUUUCAGUUUAAGCUAUCUAAACUGAAAAGCAUCUCAGUUUGCAAGUUUGGGCAGACAAAAAUGAUGCUGAAAAGCAUACCUCUGUUGCAAGAAGAGAUUUCACAAGCUCACUUUGAGAUGAUACUGCAAUCGAAACACAAGUACAUAGCUGCUUAAGUUUCAUGGAAAGAUUAGCAUGCAAAAGUAUCAAAAUAUGGAAACUGACAAUAGUCAACUCAGAGACACCUUUUAUGGGUUUUCCAUUCAGAAAUGCACCUUUUCCAUGGACGCCUGUAAAAAGCUGCAUUUAUAAAUCCAAAAUCUUUUAGCAAAUUACUGGAUCACAUUUCAAAUUCUAUAAAAUUUUGACAGAACAUUAACUUCGAUGUUAAAUGGGACACUAUACGACCACAUAUCUGAAGUGAAAGCAAGAAGUGUUCAAGAAGGCAGACAAAAGUUUGAUGGACUAACUGUUUAGAUAUAGCUAGAUACUCGUUUUCCCGAUAUUUAAAUACUGGCAGACUCAACAUCAUAAAGCAGACAUUUAUCUGAGUAGAGGACCAUGAAGCUGAAAACUAGUGGUCACUGGUCAGUGUUCAUUUUGUGAGGAAAGAUGCACUAACAUCCAGCAUACAUGUAGAAGAUCACCAGGCUAUAUGAAAGGAGGUAAACUGUGCAUGUUCUACAUAAAAUUUUAAUCAUUUAAAGUUCAAAGUAAUAUCUGGCCACCUAAAACUAACAUGCAAUAUAUAAAAUCUCACCUCUUCCAUUAUUGGGUUGUAAACAACACCUACUGUAGGAACUUUUCCAAUUGUAAGACCGAUAGAAAUGCACACAAAGGGGAACCUACAUCCAAACAUGUUGCGACAAAUUAAAGUGAUGUUACAUGUAUAAAAACAAGAGGAAAUUGCCUUCACUAAACAAUGUUAAAAAAAAAAAAUAUUGCAUUUACCCAUGGACAAAGUUGGUUGUUCCAUCAAGAGGAUCAACUAUCCAUGUCGGUUCAUCAGUCAGUUCCGUAAUACCACAGGCAGCAGUAGUUUCUUCCCCAAUGAACUAAGAAAACCAGCAAAAGAGAACUUUCAAGAGAAAAACAGAGGCACUUUUUAGGAGACAAUAUUCCCCGUACAGAUCAAUAAUGCUCAAAUUCAUCACCUACAAAGUAGAAAAUACUAAAGUAAGUUGUUAACCUUAUGUGAGGGGUGCUGCAGUUUGAGAUAAUUAAAAAUAAGAUCCUCACAAGCCUUGUCAGUCUCAGUAACUAAAUCCACUUGCAAUUGAGAAAUAAAAUAAACAAUUGUCAGUAAUUACACGCAUAUAGUGAAGUAUGUUUAGCCACAGCACUUUUAUCCGGGCUAAAUUAACACAAAUGGGUUGGCAACUUCUAAUUUUUUAAUUUUCUUCUCUGCUCCACAGUUAUGAUGAUACAGUCCAAUUAACAAAGGAAAUAUGCUAGCAUUACAAAAUAGCAAAAGCACUUUCAAUUUUUUUACAAACUCGAUGACCUCAGCCUCAGCGUGAAGAUAAAAACUUUGUUUCCCAGCAGCUUUACAAACAAGGAUUUUAGCACCUCAUGCACGAUGAAUUCAAUUACCGUUAGCUUUACAGACGUUGAUGCUAAAUUCAAUUCCCAGUUUUGUUACAAAACAAGAUCACCUCAAUGCCAAGAUUAAAACUUUAUUUCCAUUAGCUUUACAAACUGGGAUCUUAAAGUUCCCCCUUGCAUUAUAAAUUCAAUUUGCAAUCAGAUAUAAUCAAUCACUGAUCUGAAUUCAAGAUUAUUUAGCAGCAUUUGAUCAACAAUUCUCCUUUCUUUAGGGGAAAAAAAUUGCUAAGCACUACACAGACUCUACAUUCAAGAUCACAUGAAGCAACAAGAAUGUCCAAGAUAAGACUACCCUGAUUAACGACCAACAAGAAAAAGAGAUACAAAAAGAACCCAAGAAAAGCAAAGAUGUGGGUACCAGUCCUUUAUGCUCCACAUGCUUGGUCUGGUAGAAUCCUUCACGGAUUAUCUACAAAGCACACAAGAAAUGGAAAAUGAGACUAAAUUUGAGACCCCUAAAAAAGGAAAAACAAAAUCUAAAAUUUAUAUCUCACCUCUCCAGCUCUCUUUGCUGCCUCAACAGCAGUCUGCAAGAACUCUGAAAGAGAAUCUAAAACAUCCCAAAUAAAAAACAAAAUGCAAAAAUCAUCAAGAUCCCAUACUGAAAAUGAACCAAGAAAUCAAAAACAAAACAAGAAAGAAUGCAAUAAAAAAACUUGACGGGGUCCUACCAUUCUGUGCCAUGUUUUAAAAUUUGUAUGUAGAAAGAAGAGAGUGACAGAGUGAAGUAGAUUGUGGUGGAGGUGAUGGUGAUGAAAGGCUCUGUGUCUCUGAGUUUUUUUACGUCUAAAAGGAAGUAGCAGGCAAACCACAAAAUGGACCGUUUGAUUUCUGUUUUUCUCUCUCUUUAUACAUAUAUAUGCUAAAGAAUCUGCCUUUUCACCCAGUCUGUGUACGUUUUGCAUCAAAUUCCUGGUGAAAAAGGAAGUCCUUUAAUGGUGCCUUUUGAGUCCUUUUAACCCUUUUUUAUGGCUACUCUUCCCCUACGUCAUAUUGUUACUCUUGAGUUUUCCUAAGAAAUUAAGAAAAUAUUAACAUGAGAAAAUAUUAACAUCCAAAUGAUGGGGAAAGAGAUUUGUUCAAUUUUGAAUGAUGGAGGGCAUCAUUGGUGAGCCUAGGAAGAUAGGGACCAAAUUGAAACCUCCCUAAUAACUGGGGGUAUAGUUGUAGUACAUAUGGAGAGGGAGACCUAAAUGGCUUCAAGUAGGUUACCAUGGGGAAUGAACAUACGGUGUGUUGUAACCCAAUUUUGGAUUCAUCAAGUUUUUCUUAAAUAUUAUUUUAUUUCUAUUAUUAUUUAUAAAAAUCCAAAAAAAUAAAAAAGGUUUAAAAUUCAAAAAAAUAUUUUUUUCUCGAGUCAACCGUAUCUUUCCAUCAAAACCGAGUUCACCGGGUCGAUACGGGUCAAACCAUGUCGACCAGGGUAAAAAAUGAGUUUUCGGGCUGUUUCGGGUCAAAACCAUCAUUUUCGGCCAAGACCGAGUUCACUGGGUCGAUACGGGUCUAACCAUGUCGACCGGGAUAAAAAAUGAGUUUCAGGUCAUUUUGGGUCAAAACUGUUAUUUUGUGGUCAAAACCCGGUUCACGGGUUGAUACCCAUUGAAAGUUUUUUUUUUAAUGUUUCGACAUAAUUUUCGGUAAUUAAAAUUGAUUUUUAGCGGUUGAGUCGGGCUUUUUCUAAUACUGAUUUGAGUUUUUAAUUUUAUCUAUAAAUAUUUAUUAUUAUAUAUAAUAAAACAAAAAACUUUUUUGUCAUAUUAGGUAAUGUUAGGUAGAGUACUUUUUCUUUUUUUCUUACAAUUAGGCAAAUUUAGGCAGAAAUCAAUUAUUAUAUUACUGUUCACUGCCUAUAAAUAGGCAGUGAGCAUCGCCAGAAAAAAAAAAAAAAAAAAAAAGAAAAAAAGGAGGGAACGGGAAAACAAAGCCAGAGAAGAAGAGAAAGAAUGGUUACUGUGCAUAUUUUUUGAGUUUUUCUUCGCAGGAGUAGGAUAUUGUUUUCUUAAAAAAACAAUUUAAAAAAUACCAAAUAUAUCCCAACUCAUCUCAGCCAUUGAAAUAAUCCAAGACUUAAUCCCGUUAAGCCACGUCAUCCGGUGUACCGAGAUUUCGGUACACCGCGUCACACCGGAUCUAAACCCAGACUCAUCCAGACCGUGCGAUCGACCUCAGAUCUAGCCAAUCACAGCCAUCCGAUCAUUCCAUCAGAGAUCCAACGGCGCACAGUGUUCGGUGGUACCGGUAUACCAUGCACGCGUUCACACCGUAGCCUAAUCUCGGACUCUCUCUCUCCUCUCGCCGGCGACGUCCUCUCUCUCAUCCGAUCUCCACUUUCCGGCCGCCUCCAGCCUCCGAACCACCGCAGAAAGGUUGAUCCACUGGUGUAAAGCAAAACCCCGGCGUUUGUAACCGUUUUCACCGCCUCAUCUGGCCGGAAAAAGGCCGCGAUCCUCGCCGGCCACCGAAGCUUCAAGUCGCUGAUUCUCCCUCGUCAGCCAUCAACGGACGUCGAGACCACCACCAUCAGAAUCCUCUCCCUCAGAUCUACCAGGAUCGACGGUUCGUUUCCCAGAAAUCUCGCCGGAAAACUUCGCCAGUGCCAACAGUAGCCGCGCGUGAGCCACACGCGCCGCCAGUGGCAUUUUCGUAAAUUCCUGAAAAAUCCGAGGGUAUUUCAGUCUUUUACAUAUACAGGGGUACUCAGGUAGUUUUUGUUGAAUUCCUAACAUUUUAUUUUAUGUAAAUAUUUGUAAAUUUUUAUUGCAUGUUGUAAAAUAAAAUAAAAAAAACAAAAAAACAAGUAUAAAAAGAAUAACGACGUGGGUCCAACGCCCAUCCCAUCAUGUUAUUGUUUGUGGGUCCAAAGCCCAAUUUUCAAAUAUAGUUAUACCCAUAUCUCAAUAAUAUCAAAAUAUUUGUUUUUAUAAACAAAUAUUGUUUGUGGACACGUCUCUUUUUAUAGAAAAGGACCGAUGUCAAAUAAAAACUUUAAAAACCAAACAAAUAUGGAUUAUGUCCAUAAUUUUGUUUUUUUGGUAACUCGGACGUAAAUCUCCUUUUUAGGGUUAAACGUCGAUAUCUUAGACGAGUCUCCUAUUUUUAGGGACUGAUGUCAUUUUUAACGUGUCUCCUAAUUUAGGGACCGACGUUAACUAUUUUAUAAACAAAACAAAAAUUACAAAUAAGCUCAAAAUAUAAUAGCAUUUGAAUCAAAUAUAAAAACACACAAGUAAGGGUAACCUUUCUUUUGAAAGGAUGUUUUAAGGGUGGUGUCUACCUUCCCUUAAUCAUAACUAACCCAGUACCUGAAUCUCUGGGACCAGUGUCUAAUUUGGGAUUUCUAGUUCCCUCAAAUUACUAGAUGGCGACUCCAAUAAAAUCUAUUUCCCCCAAUAAUAAAACAAUCUUUUUUUGUUAAAUAAACAAAAAGAGCGGAGCCGUCGCCCGACGUCGUGUAUCGACACGGUGAAGCUGAAUAAUGACGGCUUCCAAUAGAGGACAUGGUUCACAAAAACAUGGACAUGCUCUCUAACAGGGUUCCUAAAAGCCGAGUAUUGGAUUGAACUCGAUUCUUGUCUCUUUAUUUCUCUCUUCCUUUCAAUACAUGUAAUUUUACCACAGAUCGAUGGAUACUGAUAUUGUCAUCAGGUUUGGGCUAUGAGAGCUACAAUUUAUGUAAAAUGAUUACAAUAAACAACCAAGCUCUUUCAUGACUACUCUCUAGGCUCACAUAUCGUGUCAUCCCAACUGCAUUAGAACGAUCCAAUAAUAUAUCUCCCAACAGCUGUCACAAUUAAAGAAGCCUUUUUAAUAAAUAGUACAAUUAUCAAUGACAAUAACAAAGCACAUUUUAAUGAAAGCAUUUUCCUAGGUUCAGAUGCCUAGAGAAUUGCUUCAUUGAAUGUUCUAAUGAUAUAUGAGCGGGAUAUAAUUAAGUUUCCCUACCUUGACAGCUUGUCGUCUUGUAAUGUAAUUGGUGGAUUCUAGCAGCUUCGAAUUAAAUUCAGCAAAAAACUGAAGUCCAUACAAAGUUAGACAAUGUCAAGCUCUGACCAACAUUUAGCAAGCAUGGCCACAACAGGAAAUAAAGACACAUUUAGAAUGUUGCAAUUCAUGUUUUUGUCAUAGAUAUGUAGCUACCAACAUGCAGUUUAAAAAAGCAAAGAAGAAUGCUAUAAAAAUGAGGAGAUAAAGCUGCUCAAUUCAUCAGAGUCGAGUAAUAGAUUCUACUUUAUAUGCCCCAUCAUUGCAGAGCAACAAUAUUUUGAGAUUAAUGCAUUACCAGAAAAAUAAAUUUGCAAACCGUCUUUCUCUAAUCUCACCAAAGGUUUUCCGGCUAAGACUUUUGUUGGCCUUCAAAUUCUUUGAAAAAACUAUAGAGGAUCAGGCAUGCCCCAUUAUACAGUGUCAGUGCGUGCAUAACUGAGGCAAUAUCUGUAUCUAUAGGUAUAUAGGAUUUGAAUUUGGGUGUUCAAAAAAAACCAUUAGAGCUUAAAACCUUUACAUUGCUUUUAUAGGAUUUUGGUUUAGAUUCUGCUUUAUGUCUCCAUCAUUGCACAGUCACGAUAUCGUGUUAUUAAUGCAUCACCAGAUAAUUAAAUCUGCACAUCAUCUUUCUCUAGUCUCAGCCACAAGUUUUCUCACCAAAAUAUUCGUCUGCCUACAAAUUCUUUAGAAAGAGGAUUGGGCAUGCCUAUCAACCACCUUGUGUGUGUGGGAUGACCUAAGGCAUGCAUAGCAGAAACAAGUAUAAACCUGUACAAGUAUGCAUCUAAACAUAAGUGACAGCAGAACUCACCCAAUCAUAGUUCUUAGAAAGAAAUUCAGCUACUGUAGAUUUAUGUCUUGUCAAUAGUUCCUGCAACAAAACAAUAUAAAAGUCUCAGAUUCACACUUCAACUAAUAGCAAAUACAAGGCCGAAACAUAAAAACUUCAUAAACAUGCAAUAAAGACAUAAACAGCAUAUUAUAGCAUACUCUAAUCCAAACCUCAAUCAGACAUCAAGAAUCACCCUAAAAAACGCAUUGUUUUCAUAAAGAUUGAACCUUUCUCAUCCAAAGCAAAAAAAGAAAAGCAACCCAGACCCCAAACAAUCUCAAAUCAAUCAAAAUCCACCUAAUUAAAAGAAAACAACAGAAAAAGAACACAAGCACACAUAAAAUAUAUAGAAAUGAUAAGAAAGAGACUGCCAACCUUCUCUUCUCGUUUUGAAUCUGAUAAAGAAGCUGAACUCUGAUCAGCAUAGAUUAAAAGAUCGCGAGUCUGUCUAACUAUAUCGACAGGAGUCGUCGGCUUUGACUUGAAAAGUCCCUUCAUCCUCUUCGAAUCACCCACUAACUGCCCCGAUUUCGAACUCAAGAGCACUGGAUGUCCCGAUUUCGAAUUACUCAACAGCCCAGAAUGUCCCUUUGUCGCUACUGCCGCUGCCAGCGCCGGUGAUUGUGGCGGUGGCAAUACUCUCCUCACCACUACCUCCUCCCGGGCUGCUGCUGCUGCGGCAGCUGGUUUUGAAACGCAGACUCCUAUCUUUCCUCCCUUUAUAAACCCCACAAAAACACAAGAAAGCGAUUUUGCCUUCUCAGCUGGUUUUGACACGCAGACUCCUAUCUUUCCUCCCUUUAUAAACCCCACAAAAACACAAGAAAGCGAUUUUGCCUUCUAUUUACGAAAAGGGUUCGCGGUUUACUUGAUUUCAGCCACCAAUUUUGCUUUUGGAUUAUUGGGUUUUUAUGGGAUCUUGGUGAAAAUGUGUGCUUGAUUCGACGGUUAUGGUUUUUUGGGCUUUGCAUAAACAGAUUGCCAGUCGUUACCGUGUCACUAACCGCUAAAUACUUACAGUACAGUGCUAUUUUUUCUUACGUAUUCAUUUUCUCUAUUAUUAUUAUUACUAUAAAAAAAAAAUUACAAAAGAGGGGAAUUCACUAUGACCGUCUCACAAAAGCACUGUUUAUUAUAGUUUUAAAAAUAAUAUUUUAAUAAAAAAUCCAAAAAAAUAAAAUUCAUCAACGGUGUGAUAGUUAGUUAAACAGGUCAGCUAAAAUUUUCAAGAUCAGCUGAUUUUUUUUUUCCAACUCGAAUGGCUCUAGUCAUGGAUUAGAUUAACUGGGUCUAAGUUGAUUUAUCUGGUAGUCUAGGUUUUAAAACAAUAUUGUUCAUAGUUCUAGAUCAUGAAUUUAAUAAAUUAAUUUAAUUAUAUAUAUUAUUAUUUUAAUUAAAAAAAUAAAUUGUCAUUUUAAAAAAGAUUUUCAAAGUCAGUUUUUAUCUGGCAUUUAGGUUAAUAUUUGACCUGUCAAAUUCACUAUAUUAUAUUAAAUUAACUCUAACAUGGUUUUGAUUUUAAAUUUGAAUUAAAUAAAAAGAAUUCAAAACUAAAUCAUUUCUCCAAAUUUAAUAAUAUUAUCAGAAUAUUACUCGUUGCCUAAACAUUUUUUUAUACAUUAAUUUUUUUUUUGUUCGGCUAGUAGCAUAACGUAAUUAACCAGUAAUCGAUCUAAUCCAUUUUUAAAAAAUUUUAAUAUUAACAGCUAUAUGUGCAGGGAAUAUCAUGGGGUAAGUUCAGAUUGUAAUAAAAAGUACUUGUUCCAUUCAAACUUCUUAGGUUUGGAAAGAAUCAUUGGGAAAUUUAUUUGUAAUUAGUCUUAUUCAUAAAAGUAUCCUAAGACAAUAUCAUUUAGCUUCGACAUUGAUGCAAUAUUUAUACCAAAAAAGUCUCUUUAGAAAUUUAAUGUUUAUGUAUUGUAAAUUUAUUUGUAUUUAUUUUUGCUAUAUAAAAAAGUAAAGUAUACCAUAUCUAUCUAUGUAUCUAAGUUUUUCAUAAAUAGACAGUACAAUACUACUGCUCAUCACUUAGAUAGAUACUAGUUAAACUUGGAUUGAUUAUGGGUUGAUCUGAAGUAUAAUUAAUUUAGAAUCUGGAACAGUUCAAGUUAAAUAAAUAAAUAAAAAAUUUAGUUGAUCUCAUAAAAAAAUUCAAUUUGAAUGGUUUCAACACCCAUCCCUCAAUUUUUUUAAAUUUGUUUUUAAAAAAAUAUUGUUUUUAUCAUAUUUAGAAAAAAAACAUUUGACAAUUGACUUAUGAUCUUUUUUACUCAUAAUCUAUAUCUUAUUCUAGUCCACUCUAUAUCAAGUUUUACAAUUAUAUUAGAUUUAUUAAUUUUUUUAAAUUUUAUAAUGGAAUUAUUUUGGAUCCAUAUCCAAUAUAAAAAUACGAUCUAAUAUUUAAUAUUAAAAUUGUAGUUGCAUAAAUCUAAUGAGUUUGUAAAGUAGAUAAUAUCAUAAAAUUAUCCUUUAUAUAGGCUAUAUAUAAAGGAUGACAAAUGAUAAUAUUAUUCAAUUCAUGAAAUUACCGCCUGCCAUAACAUCACAAAUAAACCACAACAGACAAAGCAAACACACAUAUUUUCUCAUGGAGUCUCUCACGCACACAUCAAUGUUCUCUUGUCACCACCACAUAAAUAGACCCAACAACACUUAUGUUAUAGAAUAUUAAUUAAUAAAAUAAAAAAGAAGAGGCAGGAGGUUUUCAUCACCAAACUUAACAUUACCUAUUGGCUAAGAAAUUGGCUCUAUUUCCAACACCCUGGAACAUGCACCGUACAGUCCUCCAAUAUUUGUUGAUGGAGUAUCAUCGCUUUCGGAAAUCUCAUCGAUUCUUUUCUCACCUUCAAGUACACUGACGAUUUCGGAUAUUUUAGGCCUUAGAGUGGGAGACAGUUUAACACACUUCAUUGCUAACAGCAAAACAGUCAGAGCCUGCUUCCUAUCGUAACUGGAUGCCAAUCUCUUGUCCACCAAGUCAAGGAUUCUUCCCUUAUCGUACAAAACACCAGCCUGCAAUUACAAAGCAAGAUUGGCUUAGCUCCGAGUAUUAAGAAAAUAAUCAAGUAAAUAUUCCUGAUUAUUUUCUAUUCAAUAAAAAACAAAUCAAGGAAUUAAAUCAUUCUAGGUAAUCAAGAAAUUAUUUCAAUCACCCAAUUAAAGGAUACAAUCAACUCUAUUUUCUAUAAUUUAUUUUAUUUUUAUUUACUUAUGUGUCUUGUUAUAUAAUUAUAUAAACAACAUAUGAGUUGAAUAUAAUACAUAUAUCAAAUUAUUGAAUAAUAAUAUCUUUUUUUAUUUUAAAUUUCUUCUUAGUAUUAGAGCGAUCUCUAAAUAUUAGCUUUUGUUUUUUCAUAAGUUGAAUGUAACACAUAUAUUAAGUUAUUUGAUGUUGACAGAACAUGUUUGGUUUGAUAAUAACUAUGAAAAAAAAGAAAAACAAAGGAUUUAUCCUAUAAGACCCACUUACUUUAUCCAGAAGAAACUCAGCUUCUUGGUUUGGUGUGUAGUCUGCACUAACUUUUCCGCUAACUAUUUCGAGUAGGACAAUUCCGAAACUGUAAACAUCAGCUUUAACAGUUAUUGCUUUUCCCAUUGAAUACUCAGGUGCCAUGUAAACUCUGCAAUAAGAGAUUAUUUAUUGGUUAGCUCUGAAUUAAAAGAAUGAAAGUAGUUGUCAAUCAAUGAUCAUAAUACUUACCGCGACCCUUUUGCUUUGAUGGCCAUAAAUGGAUCUUCCUCAUCACAAAGCGUUGCCAAUCCAAAGUCAGACAACUUGGCCGUAAGAGAGUUAUCAAGCAAAAUAUUACUAGGCUUUAUGUUUCCAUGAACAAUCUUGAACCUUUUCUCUUCAUGUAAAUACUUCAAACCUCUCGCUAUUCCCAGACAGAUACCAAAUCUAGCUUUCCAAUCAAGUUUUGUCGUGGAAUUUGGUUCUACAAAUCAAGGUUAUUGAUAUUAAGUUAUUGAUAUUUGCAAGUACACUAUCCUUGUACUAACAGAAGAUUCAAAUAUACAAUUAGAAGCUCUCACAAACAUUAAGUAGCGGAAUUCUAUUACUACUGUACGUGUUUUAGUUCUCAACAAUUGUAUGAAUUUCACAAGGCAAUGCAUUAGGUGAAAAUUAAGAUAAAACUUGAGAACCGAAAGAGAUGGCAGUAUUACCAAACAACGCAUGGUGAAGGGAGCCUUUAUGCAUAUAGUCAUAUACUAGCAGAUGCAGGUCUUUAAUAGAAUAGCCAUCCAACAACUGAACAAGAUUCUCAUGAUGCAAAGAUUUCAUGUUGAAGAUUUCCCUUUGUAAUUCAUCUUUUCCUUGUUGCUUUGAUUGAGGAGAAAUCUUCUUCACUGCUAAUUUUAUCUCGUUCGGCAAUUCAGCCUGUAUACACGUGAAAUCAAUUUACCAGAACUCUGAAAGAAAAAAGUGCAUGUUGAGGAACAAAUGUUUCAGAAAAGAAAAUCUGACCUUGUAUACUAUUCCAAAGCGUCCCCUUCCAAUCUCCAUUUUGGGGCUAAAUUUUCGAGUAGCAUCGAUUAUUUGUUUGAGGGUGAAAUAUAUUCCAUCUCUUUUUACCUCAAUAGUUAUUUCUAUUUGAAGAAAACAUCAAAGUAAGAAUUCUUAAGGUAGUGUAUGGUGCAUAAUGAUUUUAAAUUAGCAUGGAGAGGUACCAUCCAACUCGCUUUUCCACAGCCAUUUUAGCAUGAAGGCCAUUUUCCACAUGAAAGCCAGCAGAAGUAGAGAAGCAAAUACUGAACCUGCAGUAAUCCCUGCAAUUUGUGAAGGAGAUAGUUUCUUGCCGCCAACUUUGAAGUCUGAAUACAAAUAGUGGAAGACAACAAGAAAAAAUUAUUUAUCCAGAUAAAGUGUAAUAGAAAUCUUUGCUCAACAAAAUUAAGAGAAUGCAAUUCUUUACUUGCAGUUACGGAAAUGCCUGCCACAAGGGGUCCAUUUAGAGACAGUGCAGCAGGUGGAUAGGAAAAACCUGGCACCCUGAAAGAUCCUUUUCCAGCCCAGAAAAAAUGGAUAGUCAAACGAUGAUCAUCUCCUAUAUAUGCCGUAAAAUUUUGAGUCUUAUUUGUGACACUGGCGUUUUCUUUAAUGUUGAAGUCUUUUAGUUCUCUCUUCCCCUAUAUCAAAAAUGGAUGUGAUGUUGAACGAUGGAAAUUUUUGAAAUAUAGUUGCAGAAAAAUGGAUGUGAUGUUACCUGUAUAUAUACAUCAAAAACACGUUUCCCUAAAUUCGAGUAAUCUUUAUCAUUUUGGUAAACAGUUUCAGCGAAGUAAAGCUUCACGGUGUAAUUUCCUUUAAAUAAACAGAAGCCGUAAUAUGUCAGAGAAAGAGGGCAGAGGCGAGUUGAGUUGUACAACUGUGUCGCAGCAGAAUCACAAAUUACUCCACAAUCCACGUUUUUUAUGUAAUCACGGUUUGAAUCAUAAGUCUCCGAUCCGAAGUCUCCAGAACAAGAAUAAGCCCAAUUUUUACUUGGAGCUGAAUAAUAAUUUGAUGUUGAAGCGUCUGCUUCAAACACUUUCCCAUCAACAACUGUCUCUCCUCCUCCACAAUUUAUAUAUAAGGAAUCGUCUGCAAAAUAUGAUAAUCAGUACAGAAAAUCUGUCCUGCGCAAAAUUAAUUAGAGCUUCUCAAUAGAGCUUACACUUUUGUUUUCGCCGACAUUUAUCUGUCAAAUUACGUAUAGAAAUCCUAGAAAUAGCAAACAAAAUUUGUAAGAAAUAGCUCAGGAUUAUUUGUUCUAAAUUAAUUGCACCAUAUGGAGGAUAUUACCAUACCUGUUUGGUUCACUGCUUGAGUAGGAACACCAUAUAUAUGCAAGCAGUUGGUGCACAUGAUACAAAAUGAUCAGAAGUUGGAAUUUCAUAGACAACAAUAUUCUUGCAAGUGAAAAAAAAGGAGGAAGAAAAUGAAGUUGCCGUUAUUACAUGUUCAGCUUUCCUUCUCCUUUCUUCGGAUCAUCACGUGGAAUUUCAAAAUUAUUAUAUGACAAGUCCCUGCAACAUUAUUGUUUACAUAUCAAGAUUUUAUUGAGGCAAUCUACAAAAGGGAAAACAAACCAUCUGAGCAAAGAGCACAAAGCCAUAACAUACGCCUCGUGCUCAAUGGUAUGAGGAAGCCAGGCAGGUACUGUGCCAUCAAGCAUAUUUCUUGUGAGAAACCUAAACAAAACAAAUCAAUAUGAAAACCAUCACAUGUUUUUUAAUAGAGUGUCAAAACGAACUUAUUAUAAGAUGGAUUGAUCGAGUUCAAGAAAUCUCUUUUGCAUACAUCUUAGUUAAAUUAAGGUUUUUCACGGAAUCUGGUAUUCCACCCGUUAAGCUGUUAAAGCUCAAGUCUCUGCAGGGUCAAAAAAAUGAAAGCAAUCGUUAUCCUACAUAUUUGAUGAUCAUUUGACAUCUUAUUGAUAAUUGAUUCUGUAAAAACAUAAUCAAAAUCAUCAACAUUUCUAUGCAUGGCCUAAUGGCCCUAAACAAUGAGUAUUUAUAGAGCUGAUGAAACAAAAUAGCCCUGACAGAACUACAAAUCUUUUACAAAAGAGGAAAUGAAACUUACAGGUAUGUUAACAAUGACCAAUUACCAAUGUACGAGGGGAUUUCACCACUUAUUGAGCAAUUCCUUAUCACCCUACACAAACCAUUGAAGAAGUUGGUGUUUGGAUUUAUCCAAUGCAUCCAUAUCUUUAAGAGUCACAUACAUAAAUAUUGAGAAUAUCAUAGCAGACAAAAAAAUAAAAAUAUAAAACACAACAUUGUGACUUCAUGAUUCUGUUAUGCCUACAUCCAGGAUAAAUUUACUAUAGUCGUAAUUAAUAUAUAUUUUUUUAAAUUCUCAAACCUGAAUCCCAGAUACAACUAGUCUUCACAGCAUGUAAUAGCUCAUAAAAAAAACUCAAGAUCAUAUAAAGAAAAAUAGGCCUAAAAAAAUAUUUAUGUAAAAGAUCGGUCAUAAUCCAAAUUCUAUAACAAUAACGCUCCUAGACAAAUAUAAUUCUAAGUGUAAAUGGUUUUUAUUAUUCAAUUUGAAUUCAUGCCAUAUCUCAAAACAUUUUGGCUUUGCCAAUUUGAAAUUAGAACAAAGGUAAUGCAUUUGAGUAUGCAAAUUGCGCAAAUACAUUGCACAUUAAAGAAAAGAAAAUUUCAAGUUAGUUAUUAUGUGAUUUUCGAGUGUGAGCUUUAAAGAAAAGCAAAGGAAGGAAAAACUCACAGGUAUUUUAUUUUCGUCAUAUUUGCAUUUUUUGGGAAAGGAAAACCGGAGCUAUUUACAUCACUAACCACCCUGGAAGAAAAACCAUCCAGAAUAAAAACAUGCAUUUAUUUCAACCCGGUUAAAUUAAAUUAUAGAGCACUUACAAGUAUCGAAGAUUUGACAUGUUAAAAAGAAGACCAAGAGGAAGCUCUCCUUCAAAAUCAUUUCCGGAGAGGGACCUGUGUUUAGUACACAAAAACACAAAUUAUUGAAUGAUAUUCAUCGAUCAUCGACAGUUUCUCAAUCAAAUGGUGGGCAUUCAGCAUUGAGAAAUCAGCUCAAUCAAGUAAUAGUGGUUACAUUCAAAUGUUUAUAAUUACAGAAAGUACAAGUAAUUUCUUACAGCCUCUUGAGUUCAGUCCAAUUCGCAAUGAACCUUGGUACUUGACCGGUCAAACGGUUCCCAGCUACGCUACUGCAGCAUGAAAUAAUUAAUUAAGGGACCACUACACUAAACAGAUUGUUGGUUGAAAUAACAUGAUGAGUUGCACUUACAACUGCGUCAAUCCCACAAAGUUGGCGUAAUUUCCCGGCAGUUCUCCACUCAAAUUGUUGGAGCUCAACCCUCUACAACAACAAAUCAAAAGGAUUGUAAUCCACCCUUUUUCUAUUUUAUUUCUCCUCUUACUAUCUUCCGUGGUUUUACAAGGUGGUAUGAUAUUAUUAUUCCCAAUCUUCCAAGUUUUUGAAACUUACAAAUAAUUAAGAGAUUCCAAUCUUCCAAGUUCUGGUGGAAGCUGACCAAUGAGUUCAUUGAAGCCCAAGUCCCUAAUUAAAUAAGAGGAGAAUGAAAGAGUGAGUGAGUGAGUUUCUAUCCAUCUGUAGGAGAUUAGAGAGGUUGCCCAAUUCUUUAGGGAUAAGAGCACAAAACUUGCAUAAGCAAUGGAAAAAGAAUUUAAUUAACAUUAUAUGAUACUGAAAAGACUGUGAUUACAUGAUACUUACAGAAUAUUAAGGAACGACAAAUUCCCUAAAAAUCGAGGUAUGGAGCCAAUGAGGAAGUUACCGGAGAGAUCGCUAUGCAUAUGUAUUACCAUAUUAGUUCAUUAUUGUUAAAAAAUAAAAAUUCACGUUCUAAAAUAAGAAUCAAUAAUUUAAAUUUUAAAAAGACACACUAAGAACUGAAAUUAGUUAUUAAAUAUGAUCCAAAAGCUAGCUCUUUGCUUAUAACCCUGCAGACAACCCAACAAGUAUCAACACAGUUAAGCAAUUAGUGAAACAAGGUUUUUAUCCUAAUUAAAUAAAAAAAGAGAACCAAACAGAACUCAGAAGUCAACUUUUGUGACCAUUAACAUCUUGCCAUGAACAUUUAUAAGUAUCAAGACCCCAAACAGCUUGCCUUUUUUUUCAUUUCUAACAAAGCUGAUUUUACUUGAAAAUGUUUCACCAAAAAUACUAUUAAAAAAUCGUAAUUAUUACACUACAAGUUUAAUCUAUCAAUUGUAUAUUCAGUAACUUCUUCUUAUAAUGAAGCAAAUUUGAGUUCUUAACUCAAAUUUUCACCAUUAUAAGAUAAUUAUAUAGUCCUAAAAUAACUUCUCCGAAUGAAAAUGAAAUUUUAACUAUUGGGUUUUUGGAUCUUAUCGAUGGAAUCUAAGUAUUUAAUGGAAUAUAAUUUAAAAGAAGUGAUUUUAGGGGGGAAAAUGUUAUAUAUAUAUAUAUAUAUUCUGACAACGCAUGCUGAGACUAUAUUUUCACAGAAAAUAUUAAUUGUAUGCUUUUUUUCUUACCAUUAUAUACUAUUUUUUAAAAGAACAGCAAUGGUAUAAAAUCAACCCCAAAUAUCCAAGAUGUUCUCCUAUAAUUCAUAUAAAAAUGGAUGUUCUUCGAUGCCCAAGUCGAACUUUUUGGUUAGUGCCAAUUUUUUAUAAAGAAAUUCUUGAUUAUGGAUAGUUUGCUUUUAACUAUAUUAGAAAUAAUAGAUUUAGUCUUAAUUAAAGCACGAAAUCUAAAUAGAAAAAAACAUAAUAAUCUAUAAAAAUUGGACAUGGGAUGUUUUUGAAAAAAAGUUAAUAUUAAUAAAAUACAUAUAAACACCCACAAGAAUAAGAGCACAAAACUUGUAUCAGCAAUGAAAAAAAUUUAAUUCACAUUAUAUAAUACUGAAAAGACUGUGAUUGGAUGAUACUUACAGAUAUUCGAGGGACGACAAACUCUCCAAAAAUGAAGGAAUGGAGCCAUUGAGGAAGUUAUUGGAGAGAUCGCUAUGCAUAUGUAUUACCAUAUAAGUUUAUUAUUACUCAAAAGAUAAUAUAUAUAUGUAUAUAUAUAUUGAGACUAUAUUUUCAUAGAAGUUAGUAAUCGUAUGCUUUUUUUUCUUACCAUUAUAUAUUAUUUUUUAAAAGAACAGCAAUGGUAUAAAAUCAACCCCAAAUAUCCAAGAUGUUCUCCUACAAUUCAUAUAAAAAUGGAUGUUCUUCGAUGCCCAAGUCGAACUUUUUGGUUAGUGCCAAUUUGUUUUAAAAGAAAUUCUUGAUUAUGGAUAGUUUGCUUUUAACUAUAUUAGAAAUAAUACAUUUAGUCUUAAUUAAAGCAUGACAUCUAAAUAGAAAAAACAUAAUAAUCUAUAAAAAUUGGACAUGGGAUUUUUCUGAAAAAAAGCCAAAAUUAAUAAAAUACCUAUAAACACCCACAAGAAUAAGAGUACAAAACUUGUAUCAGUAAUAAAAAAAAUAAAUUUAAUUCACAUUAUAUGAUACUGAAGAGAUUGUGAUUGGAUGAUACUUACAUGUAUCCAAGAGACGACAAACUUCCCAAAGAUAGAGGUAUGGAGCCACUGAGAAAGUUAUCGGAAAGAUCGCUAUGCAUAUGUAUUACCAUAUAAGUUAUUUAUUACUUGAAAGAUAAAAAUUCAUAUCCUAAAAUAAGAACCAUUAAUUUAAAUUUUAAGAAGACACACUAAGAACUGAAAUUAGUUAUUAUAUAUAAUAAAAAAAGCUAAGCAGUUCUUUGCUCAUAACAAUGUAGUCACCCAAACAAGCCUCAACAUGGUUAAGCAAUUAAAAAAUAAAACUCGGAAGGGGGGAAACAUCCACAAUAAAUUAAUGGAAAAAGAAAAAAAGAUUACAAACAUGAAAUGUUGAAAAUCAAUACAAUUUCUUUACUAGCUCCCUUGUUUUUAGAAGGCACUUAUUUUAUUUUUAUUUUUUACUAUUUCAAACCGACAUCUAAAUUAUACUUGUGAUAUAUCUUUCCUCUUUAAUGAAACAGUUGAAAAAACUUACACUCCUAUUUAAUUUAACAUAUCUACAUUUAUUAAUAUUAAAUAUUAAAUAUUAAAAGACUAUAAAAUUAUUUGAGAUAAUUAUAUUCGUAAAAUUAGCAUUGAUUUUCCUAUAUUCGUGAAUACUUGUCAAUUUACAAAAUAUAAAUUUUAUUUUUUUAAAAAAAUCAACCAUCAUUAAUUUAUAUGUGUGUACUAUAUAUAUGUUACCCAAUAGUAGAUAAUAAAGUAUAAUACAUAGUCUGUUUUAGAAAUUGAUAACUUAUCCAUUUAGUCACUUUAGCACUGGAAAAUAAUAGUAAGAACGUAUUUAACGAACAUUGGCAACAAAAUAAACUGCAGUAGUAGUAUAUGACCAUGGUACUGGAUCACUUACAGAGUGGCGAGUGAAUGCAAGUUCCCCAUGGUGACAGGGAUGCUACCAUAAAGUUGAUUGUUGGACAAAUCACUGUUUUGGUAACAUGAUUGUUAUCAAUUAAUUAGUUGAGCUCAGCAUAAUAUUCGUAAAAUUAACAUUGAUUUUCACUAAAUACUUGUCAAUUUACAAAAUAUAAAUUUUAUUUAAAAAAUAAAUAAAAAUUCAACCAUCAUUAAUUUAUAUGUGUGUAAUAUAUAUAUAUAUAUAUAUAUAUAUAUAUAUGGUUACCCAAGAGUAGAUAAAGUAUAAUACAUAGUCUGUUUUAGAAAUUGAUAACUUAUUCAUUUAAGCCCUAUUUGUUUGCUGGAAAGUAGUUUCUUUUUGAAAAGUGAAUUUCAGGGAAAGUGAAUUCCGAGAAAGUAUUUUUCGAUGUUUGGUAGUGUAAUGAAAAAUAAGUUGGAAAACUCUUUCCAGUGUUUGGUUAUGUCAUGAAAAAUGAGCUGGAAAAUAAGUUAUUAAUAUUUUAUUUUUCUCAAGUUUAUUAAAAUAAUGAGGAACAAAUCUUACAAAUUAAAAAGUUGAAUGAGAAUGAAAUUGAAAAAAAAAUAUAAUUUCAUAAAUUACCUCAAAUAAAAUAAAUAAUAAUCAAAAUAAUAGAGAUCAAAUCUAAAUUUUUUAAAAAAAAAAAAGAUGAAGAAAUUAAAAUAAUAAUAAUCAACAUUUCAUAAAUUAUUUCAAAUAAAACAAUUAACAAUCAAAAGAAUGAGGACCAAAUUUGAUAGAUAAAAAAUUUCAAUAAAAAAAUGAUAAGAAAAAAUCAAAUAGCAAUUAUAAAAAUAAGGACCAAAGAUAAUAUAAAAAUAAAAUUUUAAGAGAUGAAAUUAAAAAAUAAAUAUUUAAAAUAAAAUAUAUAUAGCAAUCAAAAGUUUGAGGAUCAAAUUUGAUAUAAUCAGCAAAUAAUUACAUUUCUAAAUUUUUCACAACUUCCGGAAAGUGUUUUCCCCCCAAAUUUUUCAGGAAAACACUUUCCUGAAAACCAAGCUAAAUUUUUCUUUUACUAAAAAGUAUUUUCCGUUAACCAACUUUUCUAAUGACAAACAAACACUUUCCUGAAAACCAGGUUAAAUUGUUUUUGACCGGAAAGUAUUUUCUGUUAACUAACUUUUCUAAUAACAAAUAAAUAUAAAAAAAUUUAAAAAAUAAUUUGCUGAAAACUACUUUACAGAAAGAAACAUGGCCUUAGUCACUUUGUCACUGAAAAAUAAUAGUAAGAACGUAUUUAACAAACAUUGGCAACAAAAUAAACUGCAGUAGUAGUAUAUGACCAUGGUACUGGAUCACUUACAGAUAGGUGAGUGAAGGCAAGCUCCCCAUGAUGACGUCAGGGAUGCUACCAUCAAGUUCAUUGCUGGACAAAUCACUGUUUUGGUAACAGUAUUGUUAUCAAUUAGUUGAGCUCAGCAUAAUAUUCGUAAAAUUAACAUUGAUUUUUAUAUAUUCAUGAAUACUUGUCAAUUCACAGAAUAUAAAUUAUCUAGUCCUAAACACUUUAUUCUCCGAAUGAAAAUGAGAUCUUAACUAUUAUUUGAUGGAAUACAAUUUAAAAGAAGUGAUUUUAGAGAAAAAAAAUGUUAGAUAUAGUUUCAUAGAACUCUUAAAAACAGAAGUUACUAAUUGUAUGCUUUUUUAUUCUUACCAUUAUAUAUUAUUUUUUAAAAGAACAGCAAUGGUAUAAAAUCAACCCCAAAUAUCCAAGAUGUUCUCCUAUAAUUCAUAUAAAAAUGGAUGUUCUUCGAUACCCAAGUCGAACUUUUUGGUUUGUGCCAAUUUUAAUUAUAAAUGUAAAUAUUUUAAAACAUUAAUAUUAUUUUUUUAAUUAUAAUUAUUAUUUAUUAAUAUUUAUUCAUCAUUUGAGUUUUCUAUGUAUAGUUUGAAUGUGUGUGAAUGAUUGUUUACUUGUUUUAAGAUACAUUUUCUUCAUAUGAUAAAUAAAUUUGGGAUAGAUCUUGAACGUGCUUUUCAAUCAAUAUUAUCAUGAACGUGGGGAUUAGGCCAUUUUCAAGCCCAGGUUUAGAAUCACUCUCUUAGUUUAUAUUAUAAAUUCUCUAACCGUUAAAUUAUGCAGCCGAACUUUUAUCUACGAAAUAAAAUCUUUUUUAAAACUCAAGUAGCUAUGCACAACAAAAUUUCGAGUAUGCAGCUGGGACUCAAUAAUUGCAUCCCCAAAGGCUAUAUAUAUCUAGUCCAAGCUAAAUAACCACAGCCCAAAGACCGAAUAUCCGAUGCAGAAGCUAAAAAUAUCAAUUCUAGGGAUUCCGAAUCGAAUUACAUAGCAAAACUUAAUUUUGUUUUAAAUAUUGUAGUAUAUUUAAAAUAACGAAUAUUUUUGGACAAAUCAGUGCAACAAAAUAAACUGCAGUAGUAGUAUAUGACCUUGGUACUGGAUCACUUACAGAGAGGUGAGUGAAGGCAGGUUCCCCAUGGUGACAGGGAUGCUACCAUCAAGUUCAUUGUUGGACAAAUCACUGUUUUUAAUGUAAUAGGAUUGUUAUCAAUUAGUUGAGCUCAGCAUACUGAUUCGAAUGCAUGAUUAUCAUCACAUUGCAUAUGAUACUCACAUUUCUUCUAGGUGAACGAGACUAGCCAAGGCUUCAGCGUCGAUUCGUCCGUCUAAUUCUUGGUUUGAGAGAUCUCUACCUCCCAAAAAUGGCGUCAACAUAGAAACCAGUGAGUUUUAAAGAGGAUGCAUUGCCUUACAAAGAUAAAAAAAUAAAUUGGAUGAAGUUGAUGAGGAACUUACAGGCCGGUGACGUGACAAACUGAGUUGUUGUGAUAACUGCAAUUGCAAUUGAUGCCUUGAUAAUUAUUGUCACAAGGCGAGCUUAGUAGCAAAUCCCCCCCUAACGUGGUCAUCAAGUCAUCCAAAGCCGUUGCUGCCAAACGUUUUAAACAAAGAAACACAUAUUUUGUUUAGCAAGAUUCAAACAGGCCUAGCUACUUCUAGCUAGCUUCAAAUCCGAACUAAAAGAAGAAAAAAACUAGUGCUAAUUUUAUGGAUGUGUGAAUUGACUCCAUAUAAUUCCAUGUUGAAAAUCUAUCUAGAUUUCCUUACCACCUCCCUUGUUUAUAAAAUCCUCGUAAAAAUCACUUCAUCCUUAACCAAUCACUUCGCUUGAUAGUUAUAGGAAAAGAUGGAGAAGCAGAAAAUAUCUAAGAACUAAAGCACUACGGAACUCUCUGCCAGGCUGUGGAAGCACUAGAGAGUGCAAAUGGAAGAGAGAAAUAGCAGUAAGGUUGGUUAUUUUUUUAUCUGCCACAGCUUCCCAAGUUGAGCAGAGCCUCACACCCAACAUUCCAUCCUUCCUUCCAGAUCAAGUACUGUUCUCUCUUCUUUCUCUCGUUAGCUUGGAUCAGUUUCUUGCAAACAUGAGUGAGUUUAUAUUCUUAAGAAUUUCACAUCGAUCUAUGGUUAGGAUUUACAUUCAUCCAAAGAUGGUUGUUAUUCAAAAUAUGAAAGAGAAGAGGAUCUGCUUGGAUAGGGAUCAGAAGAUAUUGAAGGAAAAGCUCAAAGUUAACAGAUAAACAAAUUUUCUUCCUUCUUUUGUAUAUAGGAGGAAAAGGAUAUAUAUGUAGAUGGAAAAGUAUAUCGUGCGUGUGUACCUUCAUCUUCAGGCAACGUGGCGUUUCUGUCAGAGGGAUUUGUUGAUUGGCAGGCUACAUAGCCAAAUUGACAAAGAAGAAGAACGGCAAGAAAGGAAACAAGCUUAGGAAAGAGCUUAGCCAUUACUCUAGCAUGCAAUGCGCUUCCCACAAGACAUACAUAUUCUUUAUAUAGAUAUUGUUUUACCGUUCAAACAGUUAUUAACUCUGAAUCAAUUACCUCACAUUACCAAAUUGUCCCUGUCCAAACAUCAAAAUACCCGAGAAAAGUAACUUGCAAUAUUAUGCAUGGAGGCUUAACAAUUUUGGUUCAAGUAAAUUGCAAAAUGAUUCCAAAGCAGCAUCUUUUUAAAUUGAUUAUCUCGUAGUUUUUAAAACGGUGUAAAAUUUGCAUAUUUGAAUUCAAUUCAAUGUCUGAGAUUUGUUUUCAUUCAUGCAUAAUUAAUGGGUGGUAAUUAUUCAAAUAUAUAAUAUAUAAUAUAUAAUUAUGAGUUAUUAUGCAUUAUUAAUCCAACACUAUUUUUGUAUCUAGUAUUCUCUCCCGAGUAAUGUGAGCUUGUGUUUUAUGUCUUUUAUCUCGCAAUUCAUAGAAAAAUAUCCAUCACACUUGAUAUAUAUAUAUAUAUAUAUAUAUAUAUAUAUAUAUAAUGGAGAUAAUUAUAUAUAAAGCAGCCCAUCAAUUUAGUGGAGCUGAAAGAUAAGACAGAAUACAAAGAAUCUGAAAAGAAGAAAAACAAACUAUUCAUGUGCCUCACAACUAACCACCAGUCUUCAAUCAUGAUACCAAAGUUGUCAAUUUCAUUUCGGUAAAUAUUUUGUUUUUUCAAUUGAAAUUGAAUGUUUUAGUUUCGGAGUGCCGUUUCAAGGUUGUACUAUUCAUAUAUAUAUAUAUAUAUAUAUAUAUAUAUAUAUAUAUAUAUUCAACCAACAUAAUUAAAAUUCAAGAUAAAUUAAUUAUAGGUUAUGCAAUACAAACACAAUACCAAACAAAUAUAAUUUCAAAAUUUAAAAUAUUUCUAAAUAGUCAAGAUUAAAUAGAUCUUUAACUUAAAGUAAUUCAACUUAAACAAAAUAUCAAAAUAUUAUGAAAGUAAAAUGUUUUAACAAAAAAUAUUUUAAAUAAAAAGUUAGGUCAAUGUUAUCAAGUGGCUAAUGGAAUCUAAAGCAUCCCUUGUUUUGCUCAAAUUCCUACAAAGUAUAAACAUGAAAAAAAACAACAUGAAUAUAAACCAUAUAUAUUAGUGAUAAAUUUAAUUUUAAAAAAUUAAUAUCAUUGUUAAUGAAAAUAAUAAUAAUAAUUUUUAAUAUUAUUAUUAAUAUCAUUGCUAUUGAAAAUAGUAAUGAAAAAUAACUUUUUAUAAUCGGGUGGUUUAAUUAAUGAAAUUGAGUAAGGUUCAAUUUGAUUCAAUGGCUUUUCAAGAGCGGCACAGAUCAUGUGGAAUGAAACUAGAACGUUUCGGGCGAAAUUUAGCCAAAAAAUCCAGAACAAAUAGAAAUUUAAAAUGAGAUAAAAUUUAUUUUAUUUUUUAAAUUAAUAUAGAAUAUUUUGACCAUUCCAUACACAACGAAAUAAAAUUGACAACCUUGCAUGAUACAAUAAGCACGCACUUCUUCUACUUUGGACCACAAGUUGUCACUGAGGCUGUACAGAAGCCCACAAAAUUGUGGUAAAAAAAAAGGCGAUUCUUCGAAGUGGAAGAAGUCCUAAAUACAAGAGAGCCAUGGAUUUAUUUCUGAAAAUUCAGCAGAUUCCAGCAGCUUUCUGAAAAUACAGCAGAUUCCAGAGGUGUAAAGAUCACAACCAUGCAACGAAAUCACCACUCCCAGCUAUACUUGGUUUGCUUCGCACAAAAUAUGAGAGAAAAUCACAGGACACAGCUUGCUUUUCUGAGAUUUACUUUAAUUAUAGCAAUUAAAAGUACCGCAGAUAUAGUGGUGUAGCCAUAAUAUUUUAAAUGAGGGAUAAAUUACUUAUAAAUAUUCAAUAUUAUAUAUUAUAUAGAUAUGUGUUAUAUAAAGAAAUGCAACUUGUAGGCUACAUAGCCUUCAUCUGCAUGCAACUUUGCUUUACAGGCUACAUAGCCAAAUUGACGAAGAAGAAAAAGAACGGCAAGAGAGGAAAGAGCUUAGCCAUUACUACUUUAGCUUGCAAUGCGCUUCCCUUGAGAUGACAUACAUUCUUUAUAUAGAUAUUGUUUUACCGUUCAAACAGUUAUUAACUCUGAAUCAAUUACCUCACAUUACCAAAUUGUCCCUAUCCAAAUAUCAAAAUACCCGAGAAAAGUAACUUGCAAUAUUAUGCAUGGAGGCCUAACAAUUUUGGUUCAAGUAAAUUGCAAAAUGAUUCCAAAGCAGCAUCUUUUUAAAUUGAUUAUCUCGUAGUUUUUAAAACGGUGUAAAAUUUGCAUAUUUGAAUUCAAUUCAAUGUCUGAGAUUUGAAUUCAUUCAUGCAUAAUUAAUGGGUAGUAAUUAUUCAAAUAUAUAAUAUAUAUAAUUAUGAGUUAUUAUGCAUCAUUAAUCCAACACUAUUUUUGUAUCUAUUAUCCUCUCCCGAGUAAUGUGAGCUUGUGUUUUAUGUCUUUUAUCUCGCAAUUCAUAGAAAAAUAUCCAUCACACUUUUUUUUUAAUAUAUAUAUAUAUAAUGGAGAGAAUUAUAUAUAAAGCAGCCCAUCAAUUAAGUGGAGCUGAAAGAUAAGACAGAAUACAAAGAAUCUGAAAAGAAGAAAAACAAACUAUUUAUGUGCCUCACAACUAACCCCCAGUCUUCACUCAUCAUACAAUAAGCACACUUUGGACCACAAGUUGUCACUGAGGCUGUACAGAAGCCCUCAAAAUUGUUUGACUUUGUAUGGAUCAUGGAUCAGUGGUCAACGACGGAACGAAGAAGUCAAGAAGGUUCCUCGAAGCUAUUCUUCUCCCUCCCGCCAGGGCCUAUCCUAGUAGGGCCCCCUUUCGUGGAAUAGCAGCUACCACUACCAAUCAACCAGAAGAAAAUUCAGCAGAUUCCAGCAGCUUUCUGAAAAUACAGAGUUCCUGCCCAUGAGUUGCAACGAAAUCACCACUCCCAGCUAUACUUGGUUUGCUUCACUCAAAAUAUGAGAGAAAAUCACAGGACACAGCUUGCUUUUCUGAGAUUUACUUUAAAUAUAGCAAUUAAAAGUACCGUAGAUAUUUGUUUAAGGAAUAUUGUGCUCCAAUCUUAGUUUAUGAAAGCUACAAACAAUAAUGAAUGGGUAUCAGCAUACAAAACCUUUUAUCUUAUUUAAUUUAUCCCUGUAUAUAUAUACCCGAUUUGUACAAACUCAAGCAUAUAAACCAUAAAAUAAAAUAAAAACAUAUCCAAAAUAAGUUCACAUCUUAAAUAGGUUUAAUUUAGAAGGACUAAAUUAAGUAAAUUAUGGUUCAUAAAUCCUAUUUUGACGCAAACCAAUCUUAAUUCCAAUAAAGCCCAUUUAAAUGGUAGAGUUUUCACAUAAUUUUACUAAGAUCUCUACUAUUAAUCCCUACCAUUUCUAAAUCAAAGAUGGAAUACAAAGAGUCAUAUGCUGCGAAAAGAAAAGAAAAAAAAAAUCAAGAAAAGAGAGCUUGUCUUGAUAAUUAUUGUCGCACCCCAAAACAAUCCUCGCGCGGCAUCGACUGGCGAUUUUUCAUUCUGUUUAACUGAUUUGGUUCUUUGGAGUCGCCACCUAGUAAUUCAUUGGGGGCUACUAGGAAACCUAAUGUACUGGUCUUGUCAGAGAUCGCGGGUAAGGGACUGGUUGUGGUUAGGAAAGGUAUUAGCAUCCCUAACGCACCCUACCUGAGGUAAGCUGCUUUGUGGACUUGAUGUGCUAAAGAAGUUUUAAAAAAUUUUGUUCUCUCAUCGAAUUUUAGAAAAUACAACUUACAUGUAAGUUCUUGAUUCUUUAUCCGUGAUUAAAUCGAAAUAUUAAAUUCUUCUUUAUUCUGGCAAUUUUAUCAUAAAAAAAAAACAUACACACUACAUUCACUUUCAAGCUUCGUGGACUUGAUGUGAUAUUAAAAAUAAAAUUUUAGCCCAAUUCUAAGGCUUUGAUAAAUCAGUUAUUACUUUUCCAGAAUAUAUGUAGAUACAUGUUCUACAUUUCCAUGGAAAAUUCAACAUGAUUUUUAUCUGUCCUUUAGAUAUUUGUGCUAUAAAUUAAAUUCCUUUUUUUUUUUUAUUCAAUAACAUAAAAAAAAAUACAAACACAACACAUUUUUUUUUUUAUUCAUCACUUUUUCUUUUCUUUUCUUUUUCUUUUACAUCACAUUUACAUAAUGCAAAUAAAAAAUCCAAACCAAAUAAAAAAAAUACAUCAAAUAAAUUUUAAAUUACAAAAAAAAAGCCCCUAAACAAUCUAGAAAUAACAGGGAUAGCCUUCAGCAGCCGGAACAGUGUUCAACAAAUUUUCUGGGUGCAGGAACAGUGAUGGCGCGUGGAUCCCACGCACCACCGCCACUGGCGGCGCGUGGGACCACGCGCCACCGUGAAAAACAACCCGAAACAGGGGGGGUCUGCAACGACCUCCUCCCCCUUUCUUUCCUCGCCGGCGCCGACCUGCAAUUACAACAAAAAACCCAACAAAGCAGUCGAUUUUAAAUUUUUCUUAGUUUUUUUCAGAUCUGUUUUUUCUUCUUCUUCUCCAUAUCUGCUUCGGAUUUUUGCUUCUUCUUGUCCGAUCUGGCUUCUCCUUCUCUGUUUCAGGCGACGGACGGCGCUGCUGGAGGCCGAUCUGGUUUGUGGCGGCGUUGAUGAUCACGAGUCUGCGGGGAGAAGCAACUGCUGGGAUGGGUCGGCCAGGAGGGGGUCGGUUCGGUUUCUGUGGACGGUCUGGCCCCUCGUCUGGUCCCUGUCCGGCGUGAGGCUGAGCUCGGGCUGUUGAAGCUACGGUGGAGCUGGCCUGGCCGCUGGUCUGCGGGGAGAAGAUCAGGAAGAAGACAGCGGGGAUGGAGAGGGACGGCGCCGCUGGGUUCUUCGGGUGGCUGAGGAUGAAAGGAAAAAAAAAAAGGGUUCUCUGGGGGGAGGGACUGUCGGCAGGUUGAGGGAAAAAAAAAUCAAAAGGGGAAGGGCUGCUGUUUGGUUUCAAUUGGGAGGCAGAUGGGAGAAGAGAAAAAAUGUUAUCGAGUGUGUGGGUUUGUGGAGACCGAAAAUCAACACCCCGGGGGGGGGGAAGAAUAAAUCAAAGAUGGGGGACCGUGAGGGUGAGAAGGGAGUCUCUGUGUUUUGUUUUCAAGCGGUUGUGAGGAGAAGAUCAAAAUCCCCGGGGGGUGGCCGGCGGCUAAAAAAAAAAAUCAAAACCCAGCAGGGGCUGGCGGCUGGUCCUUCAUGAGGAAAGGAAGAUGGUUCGUUUUUUUUUUUUUUUUUUUUAGGGUUUUCCCCCUUGUGUUGCCUCCCAAAAUUACCAAAUGAACCCCCCUUUUGAGUUUUGAACCAGUAUUUAUAGAAAUUUUGUAGGUUUUUCAAACUUGGUCCCUCAACUUCUUUUUUUUGUAAAUUUUGAUUUUUUUUUUUUUUUGUAUUUUUUAAAAACGAGCAAAUCAACGUCGAUUCUAUGAGAAAAAUUGAUUUUAAAAUGACGCGUGAAAAGUCGAACGCGUUCGAAAACUUGAAAAUUAAAAUUCUUUUAAAAAUUAAUUUUUAAGACGCUGAAAAUGCUAAAAUGACAAGAAUAUAUUAAAAAAAUAUAUUUUUUGGAUUUUGAUUGUUUUUCUCUAUUUUUGGAUUUUUUCGAAAAUAUAUCAAAACAUGGGUCAAAAAUUGGGUAGCAACAAUUAUAAUACAUAGUUAGGUUUAAAGUUGAUGAGAUAUCUAUUGUUAACUAAUAUUUUUUGAGUUUUAAAAUAAUUAGGUUUUAAUUUGAUAAGAUAUCUAUUGUUAACUAAUUUCUUCUUUAUACAUUGUUAUUAUCAAAGAAUCAUUAUAAACUUAAAAGCUUAAAGUUUUAAUUAUAAUUUUAUAUUAUUACUAGAACAUCUUUUCAAGUGAAAAAGACUUGACAUGGUUUUCUAUAAUAGGUUAAGCCUUCUAAUUAUUUUUAAUCUUUUUAUGCCCAUCCAACGGCUCUGCUGAAUUGCUUGAUACAUCAUAAAAUGACUUGAUUUUGUAAUGUAUAUGAUUGAACCCAUGCAAUCUGAACAUUGAAAAGUAAAAAAGAAUCUUUAAAAUUUGGUCCAGAAAAUGACUUGAUUUUUCAUGCCCAUCCAACGGCUCUGCUAAAUUGCUUGAUACAUCAUAAAAUGACUUGAUUUUGUAAUGUAUAUGAUUGAACCCAUGCAAUCUGAAGAUUGAAAAGUAAAAAAGAAUCUUUAAAAUUUGGUCCAGAAAAUGACUUGAUUUUUUAUGCCCAUCCAACAGCUCUGCUAAAUUGCUUGAUAUAUCAUAAAAUGACUUGAUUUUGUAAUGUAUAUGAUUGAACCCAUGCAAUCUGAACAUUGAAAAGUAAAAAAGAAUCUUUUAAAACUGAACAUUGAAACCUUCAAUUAAACUUCUUGUAAGAGCAUGUGAUAGCUAGAGUUUUAUUUACUUAACUGGAUUCACAAAAUACACUUUUCAAAAAAUAAGAUUUUCUCAUAUCCAAAAAUAAAAAAAAGUGUUCAGCAUCAAUGGUUGGACCCACGGAAUGUGAGGCUUGAGAAGUAAUAAAGACUUGGCAUGGUUUUCUGUCUUUUCUAUGCCCCGCUAACGGCUCCGCUAGAUGAAUUGAUUUUUUGACGUUAUUAGAAAAUUAAUAAUCAACAUGAUCGAACCCAUGGAAUCUGAACAUUGAGAAGUAAUAAAUAAUGCAUCUUUAAGAUUUAUGGUCAAGUCUUUGUUCAUGUAAUUCAGCAUCUUUUGUUUUCCAUAUCAUGUCGAUCAAAAUUGCAUUGUCAAGCAGAGAACAAAAUAAUAAAGCUAAAGCACCACCACAAGUUGAUAUAUUACUUUAUAUAUAUAUAUAUAGGUACUCUACCGAGGUAUUGUUUAAACUAUAUUUUAUUUCAACAAAAAAAUAACAUAGCCUUCUACGCUUGUAAUUGCUAAACCAUUUUGUAUUCAGAAUAUAUUAUUUAUACUAUUCUCCCAUGAAAAUUCUUGGCUGUGAUAUUCAUACACCAAUUGCUGGCUCUAUUUCAUACACCAUGGAAGACUUGGUUGAUUUGGUCGAUGACGUGGACACCUAUGGUGAUGGGGAAGAAGACGUUGCGGAUGAUGAGGACUUUUGGGGACAGCAGCAACGGGUUGGAAAAAUCAGAUCUGGCGAAGGAUGGAGACAAUUAUCAUGUAUUGAUAUUCAAAUACUCGAAAAACAAAUUAGGUGGUGUGCUGCCUCAAUCAGAAGAUUUGAAUAACUUUCAUAAUAAUUUUUUAAUAUCAUGAAUUAAUUAUUUGAAUUUGAUUAGUUACUAAGUGGUGCAUAAAUAAUGUUUUUAAAAUGCUAAAAUCAUAUUUAGAUUAGUCCAACGAUUUAGAAAGGUUUAUUCACCUUAAUUUACAUUAAAUUAAUCUUCAUUUUUAUUAUUAUUUUAAAGUUUUAUAAGUUUUAUCAAUUUUAAUUCACAUCGAGAAAAUAUAAUUUUUAAUUAAAAAAAGAUUCUAAUAAUAUUUUAUUAAUUAAACAUGAUUUGUUUUUAUAUAUUAAUUUUCGAUAUUAACCUUUAGGCUAUGCGUGUUUGUAUAACAUCAUAAUUUAAAUAAUCUUUAAAAAUUAAAUAAGUGAAUAAGCUUUCAUGCAUGCGCGCGCGCAGAUGCUUCCUCACCAUCACUAUUUAUAAACAAGGAAUUAUCUGCAAGAAAACUUAUUCUCAGUGCAAACAUGAUUAUUUACCAUGAGAAACUCAGCCAGUAUAAUUAAUUAGAAGAGAUAAAUUCUCCAUCUAAUAAAAAGAAUGAACCUUGCAGAAAUUUGUUAGACAUGCUUCAAGAAUAUCUCUCUUAUUGCAGAAAAUUAUGGUGCCACAUACCUAGUCGGGUGUCUGAAAAGCACCAAGAUCAUGAAAUUAAACCAAGAAAAUAUAUAAAUAUCAAUGAGAAAUAUUCAGGAGUGAUUUAUGAAAGUCAAUAAAUUUGACAAAAAGAAAGCAAAAUGGAUAGGAGUUUGGUCCGUCCCUUGCAUGUUUAGAUACUGCAUUACCAAGAAUGUUAUAUUUUCACAUGUCACGUUGAAGUUAUUGUAUGAAAGAUCCCUGCAAGUUAACAAUUCAUAAAAUCGAUUUGAAAUUGAUCUUUAUGAAUUGGCAAGUUAACAAUUCAUAUAUUACACUAAAUUGGCAUAAAUUAAUUAAAUUGAUUGGUCUUUUUAAUAAAAUUCUCUUAAUCUUUCUCAUCUCUCAGAGUUCACUAAAUAUACUGAAAUUGCAAGUGCACUUUUUACAAAAGCAGUGUUUUUUUUUAAUGAGUCUUUCACCUUCUCUUACAUGCUUUUCCAAAAUAUAUUUUUAUAACAUGUCAUUUUAUUAAUAAAUAAAUAAAACUAUUAUCAUGACUAGAUUCCAUAAAUUGCUAAAUAAAUAAAGAUUGAAUCUUAUAAUAUAGUUAUUAAAUAUAAAUUGAUAAAUUGAUCUAGAAAAACUUAUAAUCUAAAACCUUACCCGAGCUGAAAUUCAUGUUAAACUAAAAAGAAAUAUUGAUUAGGUGAAGUCCAAUUGAUUCACCUCUAUUUUUAAUAAUUAUAUUAACUUAAUUAAACUAAAUCUAGUUAAUUUAAAGAAUUUUCUUUAAUAAAAUAAAACAAUAUUGUUUUACUUAAAAAUAACUUAAAUUAACUGGGAUAUCUCUCAAAUUAAUUUGAUAAUUUAAACCAUUUUUCGAGUUAGUUUCCGAUUGCGAAUCGAUAACUACAAUCAUUCUACACCUAUAUACACUCUCGGAAAAAGAUAAUGAUAUUCAUUUUUCUCAAAGGAAACUGUUGGUCCACCCAUGUUCACCCUAUGAACAGUCUCCCCACUGGAUUAAAAGUUUCAGCAUCAUCUGUAAUGAGCUCAUCGGGAACUGAAACGACUUCCAAAGGCAUUUAAGAGGCAAAUGAAUUGCCUGAAGAGUGAUGGUGAUAACAGGUCUUGAGUUACAUAACUGAAAAUUCUUUAACAACAGAAGCCUUCAACUGAAAUUGCUGAGGAAACACCAAAACUCGCAUUGCUCAUGUUGUAAGUACCACUAACAAAUGGAUAGAAAUAUAACGAAUCCAUUGCCUCCCGGUUGGUUAAUCAAAAGUGUACUUGAGGUUCCAUCAAAGAUUCUUGCUGUUGAUAGAGUGGUGAAUCAUCCCCAGAAGUGACAGAUAUUGAAGCAUUUGCAAAAGUGUUUUUCGGGGUUGAAAGAAAGUUGGGAGGCAGAGCUAUCAGCAACAAAAACACGGUUACCCACUGUAGUAUUGGUGAGUGAUCCGCAGUCUAUAAGAUAAUUGUCUAUGUUGUAACCUAUUUUUGGAUUCUCAUAGAAAAUAAUAAUAAUAAUAAUAAUAAAUAAAUAAAUAAAUAGCUAGAAGAAAUUAAAAAAAAUAACAAGUGGCGGGAGCAAUCAGAAAAUUAUCAGAAAAAUGAAUUAAGGAGGAUAAAAAUACAAAGAUUAAAAUUUUGACAGUAUAUCCUUAAAUGAUGAGAGCCAUGUUAGAAAAGAAAAUUCAAUUUGAAGAGAAAAGUCCAAAAUUGGAUGUUUAUAGAAUCAAUUGGAUUUUAUUGAAGGUUUAAUUGAAUUUAUAAAGGGUUUGAUUGCAAAACAAAUUUAUUUUUAAGUCAUUUUGGGCUUUAAUUGGAAGAAAUUAAAGUUCUUAGGUCAAAUUAUAAUUUUUUAGAGUUGAUUUGGUCAAAUCAGGGGCUUAAUUGCAUAAAUAUUGAAGUUUAAUGACCAAUUAGGGAUUUAAUUGAGAAAAUCUGAAACCAAGGACCAAAUUGGAAAAGGCGCGUAAAUAGAGGGGCUGUAAUCAACCAAAUCAGGGGUCAAAUUAAAGAAAUUGGAAGGUUAUUAAUCAAUUGAGGGUCCAAAUGCACAAAUUCAAAACCAAGGACUAAAGUGAAAAAAGGCGGACAAUUAUAGGGGCGGCGAUUGAAAUUGGCAGGGAUGCAAUUGAAUUAAUUCUUAAAAUCAAGAUUACAUUGUGAGGACUUAAAAGAACAAAAGAUAAAUUAAGGAUUGAUUUGGAAAUGAAUAUGCUAGCGCCACCUUUAAAUGAAAUGACACGUUUUGUAUAAAGCGACGUCGUUUCAUGUUUAAAAAAAAAAAAACAAAGAGCAAAACGAUGUCGUUUUGAGCGACAUCGUUCCUCUUUCUCCUUCCCCUGGACGUGCAGCAAGGGAAGGCAUACGGUUUUCUUCUUCUUUCUUCAUUGAUUCCUGCGAGCCGCGUGCCCUACGAAAGACCCGAAGCCCCACGCACCUUGAUGAUGAGAAAUCGGGGGCGCCAUGCCUUGCUAGCCGUGCCCACCAACCAACCCAGCGCUGCCCUGCUCCCCAUGCACAUCAAUAAAGAGGCCUCGCUCCCUUGCCCCUACAAAUGGAGACUGAACGCCAGCACGCGAGGGGGACAAAAAAGAGAGAAGGAGGACGAACUGAAAAAGAAAGAAAACGAACCAAAACGGAGAGAACGAACAGGAGAGAGAGAGAAAGAGAGAGAGAACAAACCGGAGGGAGAGAGAACGAACCAACGAAAGGGAAAAACAAAUCGAAAGAGUAGGAAAGGAAACGGAGGAGAAGGGAAGAGCAAUAACCCCUCUCUCCACCGCUUGAAGCAGUAACACCACUUCUUAGAGCCGCCAUCCAUGAGCCGCGACACUGCCACCGGCCUCCACCGCAGCACCGCCAGCAAAGCAGUCAGAACAGUAAGGCAUCGCCUCCACCGCACCAGGUAAACCCCCCCCACCUUCAUUUGUUUUGUUGGCUACAUUUCCUCCUGCAUGUAGAACAAAUAUCGUUCUGCAUGCAAGAGAAGAGGAGGGGGAAAAUAAUUCCCCCCAUCCGUGGGUUUUUUGUUGCUGGCCCAACACUGAUGGGUUCUCCUUUUUCUAGGCCAAACGGGUUUUUGUGGGCCAGGUUGAUUCUGGCCCAGCCUUCAUGUCUGGGCCAGGUCUGGCCUAGACCCAAAGAGGCAGAGUGAACUAGUAGACCGAGAUCGGCCCAACCCUUUUGGGGUUGAGUUCGGCCCAGUUAGUUGGGCUGGCCCAACCCAACCCACCUAAUAUUAUAUAUUAUAUAUUAUAAUGUUUUUAUAUUAUUUAUAAAUAUAGAUAUAAAAAAAAUCUGAAAAAUCUUUAAAAAAAUUGUUGAUUUUCCUGCGUAUUUUUAUCAAAAUUGCUUAAUAUUGGUUUGUAUUUUUAUACUGUAAAGAUACAAAUCUAGUAUUAAAAUACCCGGUUUUUGUCAAGACAUAAAAAAAAUGUUUUGUUUUCAAAAUUCUGAAAAAUUCUUAAAAAAAAUUAUAGAUUUUCAUGCAUAUUUUUAUUGCUUAAUAUUGAUUUGUAUUUUUAUACCGUAAAGAUACUAAUCCAAUAUUAAAAUUUCCGGUUUUCGUCAAGACAUAUAUAUAUAUAUAUAUAUAUAUAGGUUUUGUUUUCAUGCAUACGGUCUAGUUUCUCCAAAAAAAUAUCAUAUUUUUAUACAAUAAAGAAAAUUUCAAAAAAUAUACGUAUUAGCAUGCACUUUGGCUUUAACAACAAGUUUGUUAGAGCCAUGAAAACAAGGCCAAUAUUUCAAAAAUUCUAAAAAAUCUUUUUGUCUUCUUUUAGUAUCUGGGAUUAUGAAUUUAUACGUAAAACAUAUUCCUGAUAUUAAAAAUAUAGUUUUCAAAUAGACGUUAGAACAAUUAGGUUUUUACCCGAUACAAUAAGGACCUCCUUACUAAGGAGAAUUUUUCUUGAACCAUAGACAGACCAACAAUUAGAAAUAUAAUAACACCUUAGCUUUUUAUCAGACAAUUAAACAAUACAGCUUAACUUAGGUAAGACGUAUUUGGGAUACUAAUACCUUUCCUUUACGCAAUCAGUCCCCGUAUCUGAUCUCUGAGACCAGUUAAGGUUACUAGUGACCAAAAUAUUAGGUGGUGACUCACAUUCCAUUUUCCACCGAUAAACGACAAGAGUUUUUUAUCUUCCUAUAUUUGCCAUAUAGAUAGAUAUUAUAUUUAGAUUUGAAGUGGAACAAUUUUUACCGCGACGCCGCACACGUGCGACAGUCUACAUGAGUGAAUCCACUAGAUAAACAUACCAAACUUAAGAUUGACAAAAGUACACAAAUGAAACGUCUAGAUCCUACACUGCCCAUCAUUUCGAAAUCUGGAACUUUACUGGGGAAAUAUGGAAAUCUAUUGAGCUUUAAGAUAUAUAGAAACUAAGGACUCUUAUCAAGGCAGAGCACUAGGGUGCCCCUAGUAAUCAAUAGCAGAACAAUAGAAACCAAAAUCCAUGAAGAGGGAUGAAUAAGGAAGUGAAAUCAAAAUCCAAGAUUGCAUAAUAUAGCAAGAGCAAGCAAAGAAGUUGGCGCUUUUCAGUUACAGAUACGGAAGAAAUCUAAAUCCUAAAUAGCAAUGUAUAGAAUUGAACAAGAAAGACAAAUCUAAAGUAGCCAAAAGCAAUACAAGGAAAGGAGCUUGUAGUUGUUGUUACUCACAAAUAAAUGAAGAAAAGAUGGCACACCUUGAACAAAAUUUGAGGUCAAAAGGGGGGGACCAGAUGGGAAAUACUUGUGAGGAGGACAAGGUAAAUAUGGUAUAUUUUGAAAUGCUAAAAGGGCUUUCAGUUCAAAUAAAAAGAAGUCAAAAUACAAGCUGGUGCGAACUAGAACUUUACUGGGGAAAUAUUGAAAUAUAUUUUAAUCAUGAAAAAAAUAUAUUUUAAUCAUCUAAUUAAAUAUUUUUUUUAUAGUUUAUUUUAUUCUAUUUUUUUUAUGUUUCUUGUUAUAUGAUUAUAUAAAUCUUGCUUGAGUUGAGUAUAACAUAUAUUUCAAAUUAUUAAAUAAUAAUAUCCUUUUCUAUUAUAAAUUUCGUUAAUUAGCAUUUAAUGUUCGCAGAACAUGUUUGGUUUGAUAAUAACAUAAAAAAAAAAAAAAUUAUUCAUUUACUUACUUUAUUCAAAAGAAACUUAACUUCUUGGUUUUGAUGCGUAUUUAAUAGUUUUUUAAUUUUAUUAAAAUUGUUUUUUCUAAUAUAUAAAUAGCAUAUAAUAGUUGUGAUACUUUUUAUUGGAAAAAUAUUGAGUAAUAAAAAUUAGAAUUAAAAUUAAUUGAAACUUUUUCUGCAAAAUACUGUAUUUCUGUGUGUUGUCUUUCUUGUUUCUUGUUUCCGCCUGCAUCAUGAACCUUUAAAAUAAUUCAUAAAUUCAAUCAAGAAUUCCCUGUCUGCAUUUUGCUGCAGUCAGCUGUGGUCACUUUUUUGCCAAUUCUGGCUGCAGAGAACUUUGCAGCUACGACGAAAGAUGCAAAAUUCUUUUUGGAAUUCAGUUCUGUUUAGAGAAGAAUCAAGCUAAUAGGUUCAGGUACCACUGGGAGAGACAGAAAGAAGCAGCUAUGGUUCAACAAGGCAUGAUCCUUGCUCAAUGAGAAGUGUAGAAAAACUGGUAUAUAAACCACACAAUCUGUGUAACAUGGUGGUCUGCAUGAUCAACAAUGGUAGUUGUCUUCUCAAUUAGAGUAUACAUAUAAGUAGGCAUUGUUUAAAAACCACAACAAAUUGGAAGACUCAUUAUUGAUGCUGCCACUCUCUCAGUUAAAGAUGUUUCUUUAAGCCUUAACGACGAUAUCGACUGAGCUCAUCUGAUUGCUAUAAGAACAAAGGAUAUUGAAUUGUCUCAUUCUGAUUGCUGCAAAACCUCAACAAAUGCUUCCUUCAAAAGCGGGUUUGAAGCUGCGACUCUUUGAGUAGUGAUGUCAAAAUCUUUACCAGAUCUGUAGCCGAAAGAGCAACCAUCAAAAUAUCAGAACACGCAUUAUAUUCUGGACAAAAUGUGAGCAUAUGCUUAUGUUCUUAAUAUCUUUGACCUAUUGCUUGCCCGGAUGACAGAGUUGAGGAUGUCACAAGACGACGAUUAAAUCAUGUUGACAUUCGAUAAACACUGUUCUUUCAUGUCCAUGCAUGGGACUAUCCUCUCUAUAUCCCACACUACCCCCACCUAAGUUGUGGAAGGGAUGAAAUAUAAAUAGCAUCACUUACGGGUCAUAAACGAUUCCUCCAGCUUCUUUGACAAUCACAGCACCACCUGCCACAUCCCUGAGUUCAAGAGUAGAUUAUAUCAAUCAUGCGUCCAGAUGAACUUUUCUUGCGUCAAUCACAAAUACGUACCACGGGCCUCCAUAUCCGGUUUCAUAAAACAAAUCAAUCCUUCCACAUGCAACUCCGCAAAGAUUCAAUGCACAGGAGCCAGUCAUCCUAAGGGAUCUCACCUGAUAACAAGAUAAUCAGAUAUGAAUUUUAAGAAAACCAACACAUUUUACCAAAGCACAUAGCUUCCACAGCAUGUUCUGGUCUCACCUUGAAAAGUAAGGUGUUAAUUCUGUUCGUUGUGGCAUCCACAGUAGACUUGUCACGUUUUGUUCCAGCCUGCUCUUAGAAGAAUUUAGUUUGGUCAGUUCCUAACAUGAUUCCUUAUGAAACAUAAAGGAGUGGACUUGAAGUAGAAAGGAGUUUUAACCAGAUUCCACACAGAGCAUAACAGGGGUGAACUUAAAGCACUCCUUUUGCAGGGUAUUUGCAAGUGCAACAUGGUAAAAACUAAAUACAUUCACAACGCAUAGAUCUGCAUUUCAAAUACAGGGAGUUGGAUUUCUAGAGUCUACGAACAAUAUUUUAAUAUAAACGAGAAGGGUUAGCAUGCCAGAAAAAUCAAUCCAGGGUUAAAACAAGCUACCCUUACUCAGCACUUAACAUUUCUGACACUAUCUGGAGUUAAGACUGAAAUUGAUUGUGCCCAAGGCAAUUUUAACACCCUUCAAACCGAUCCAAUAAGAAACCAAUUGGAGAUGUACAGUUAGAAGGAUAGAAUUGUACCAAAAAAAUAUGAGACAGUAGGGCACCAAUUCAUCUCAGGUUUCAAAACUGAUUCCCGGUUAUAUUUCAGUUUAAGCUAUCUAAACUGAAAAGCAUCUCAGUUUGCAAGUUUGGGCAGACAAAAAUGAUGCUGAAAAGCAUACCUCUGUUGCAAGAAGAGAUUUCACAAGCUCACUUUGAGAUGAUACUGCAAUCGAAACACAAGUACAUAGCUGCUUAAGUUUCAUGGAAAGAUUAGCAUGCAAAAGUAUCAAAAUAUGGAAACUGACAAUAGUCAACUCAGAGACACCUUUUAUGGGUUUUCCAUUCAGAAAUGCACCUUUUCCAUGGACGCCUGUAAAAAGCUGCAUUUAUAAAUCCAAAAUCUUUUAGCAAAUUACUGGAUCACAUUUCAAAUUCUAUAAAAUUUUGACAGAACAUUAACUUCGAUGUUAAAUGGGACAAUAUACGACCACAUAUCUGAAGUGAAAGCAAGAAGUGUUCAAGAAGGCAGACAAAAGUUUGAUGGACUAACUGCUUAGAUAUAGCUAGAUACUCGUUUUCCCGAUAUUUAAAUACUGGCAGACUCAACAUCAUAAAGCAGACAUUUAUCUGAGUAGAGGACCAUGCAGCUGAAAACUAGUGGUCACUGGUCAGUGUUCAUUUUGUGAGGAAAGAUGCACUAACAUCCAGCAUACAUGUAGAAGAUCACCAGGCUAUAUGAAAGGAGGUAAACUCUGCAUGUUCUACAUAAAAUUUUAAUCAUUUAAAGUUCAAAGUAAUAUCUGGCCACCUAAAACUAACAUGCAAUAUAUAAAAUCUCACCUCUUCCAUUAUUGGGUUGUAAACAACACCUACUGUAGGAACUUUUCCAAUUGUAAGACCAAUAGAAAUGCACACAAAGGGGAACCUACAUCCAAACAUGUUGCGACAAAUUAAAGUGAUGUUACAUGUAUAAAAACAAGAGGAAAUUGCCUUCACUAAACAAUGUUAAAAAAAAAAAUUGCAUUUACCCAUGGACAAAGUUGGUUGUUCCAUCAAGAGGAUCAACUAUCCAUGUCGGUUCAUCAGUCAGUUCCGUAAUACCACAGGCAGCAGUAGUUUCUUCCCCAAUGAACUAAGAAAACCAGCAAAAGAGAACUUUCAAGAGAAAAACAGAGGCACUUUUUAGGAGACAAUAUUCCCCGUACAGAUCAAUAAUGCUCAAAUUCAUCACCUACAAAGUAGAAAAUACUAAAGUAAGUUGUUAACCUUAUGUGAGGGGUGCUGCUGUUUGAGAUAAUUAAAAAUAAGAUCCUCACAAGCCUUGUCAGUCUCAGUAACUAAAUCCACCUGCAAUUGAGAAAUAAAAUAAACAAUUGUCAGUAAUUACACGCAUAUAGUGAAGUAUGUUUAGCCACAGCACUUUUAUCCGGGCUAAAUUAACACAAAUGGGUUGGCAACUUCUAAUUUUUUAAUUUCCUCCUCUGCUCCACAGUUAUGAUGAUACAGUCCAAUUAACAAAGGAAAUAUGCUAGCAUUACAAAAUAGCAAAAGCACUUUCAAUUUUUUUACAAACUCGAUGACCUCAGCGUGAAGAUCAAAACUUUGUUUCCCAGCAGCUUUACAAACAAGGAUUUUAGCACCUCAUGCACGAUGAAUUCAAUUACCGUUAGCUUUACAGACGUUGAUGCUAAAUUCAAUUGCCAUUUUAAAGCUCCCCCGGCAUGUUAAAUUCAAUUCCCAGUUUUGUUACAAAACAAGAUCACCUCAAUGCCAAGAUUAAAACUUUAUUUCCAUUAGCUUUACAAACUGGGAUCUUAAAGUCCCCCCUUGCAUUCUAAAUUCAAUUUGCAAGCAGAUAUAAUCAAUCACUGAUCUGAAUUCAAGAUUAUUUAGCAGCAUUUGAUCAACAAUUCUCCUUUCUUUAGGGGAAAAAAAUUGCUAAGCACUACACAGACUCUACAUUCAAGAUCACAUGAUGCAACAAGAAUGUCCAAGAUAAGACUACCUUGAUUAACGACCAACAAGAAAAAGAGAUACAAAAGAACCCAAGAAAAGCAAAGAUGGGUACCAGGCCUUUAUGCUCCACAUGCUUGGUCUGGUAGAAUCCUUCACGGAUUAUCUACAAGGCACACAAGAAAUGGAAAAUGAGACUAAAUUUGAGACCCCUAAAAAAGGAAAAACAAAAUCUAAAAUUUAUAUCUCACCUCUCCAGCUCUCUUUGCUGCCUCAACAGCAGUCUGCAAGAACUCUGAAAGAGAAUCUAAAACAUCCCAAAUAAAAAACAAAAUGCAAAAAUCAUCAAGAUCCCAUACUGAAAAUGAACCAAGAAAUCAAAAACAAAACGAGAAAGAAUGCAAUAAAAAAAACUUGAUGGGGUCCUACCAUUCUGUGCCAUGUUUUAAAAUUUGUAUGUAGAAAGAAGAGAGUGACAGAGGGAAGUAGAUUGUGGUGGAGGUGAUGGUGAUGAAAGGCUCUGUGUCUUGAGUUUUUUUACGUCUAAAAGGAAGCAGCAGGCAAACCACAAAAUGGACCGUUUGAUUUCUGUUUUUUUCUCUCUUUAUACAUAUAUAUGCUGAAGAAUCUGCCUUUUCACCCAGUCUGUGUACUUUUUGCAUCAAAUUCCUGGUGAAAAAGGAAGUCCUUUAAUGGUGCCUUUUGAGUCCUUUUAACCCUUUUUUAUGGCUAUUCUUCCCCUACGUCAUAUUGUUACUCUUGAGUUUUCCUAUGAAAUUAAGAAAAUAUUAACAUCCAAAUGAUGGGGAAAGAGAUUUGCUCAAUUUUGAAUGAUGGAGGGCAUCAUUGGUGAGCCUAGGAAGAUAGGGACCAAAUUGAAACCUCCCUAAUAACUUGGGGUAUAUUUGUAGUUUUCCUAGAACAAAAAAUACCUAAAAUCUUACAUUUUUUUUUAAAAAAUAAAUAAAUAAAACCCAGCAUCAAACUCAGUGAUUGCUGAUGAAAGCAUUAAAAUCAGAUACCGUGAGAAUACGAAAUGAAUAUGGUGGAAAGUCAAUUCGGAUGAUAAAGGCAUCUCUUUUUUAUGGCAAUAAAAACAUAGUUACAGUAACCAAUCGAGGAUCAACUUACUUAAAGGUUAAUGUUAUGGAGUAAUCUAUAUUAAUAAAUAAAGUUUGAAAUAACAUUAUUUUUUUAUCAAAAAAAAAAAAAGGGUUGUUCCAUUCCACCUAUUUAACUCGGAUGACGAGGUUAGCCUAUGUACUGAACCGGGUCUUAGAAGUAGGAUAAAAAGUGAAAGCAGCAGAGAACAUUCUGGUUUUGGAAUUGAAGUAGAUGCUUGGAAUAUGCUGGAGAUGUUCACUCGUGAGUCGUGACUCACACAUGGAAGCCUCAUCUUUAAUAAUAAAGAAAAUGACUCCUUUCCUAGCAAGAAGAAAAGAAUUUUGGUGUGAAUUCUCUACCCUGUGGCCCACCAAACGAAGCUUCCUAUCAUAUCAUCCUCAGUAGGUUCUGCUGAGGAAUGUCCUUUGAUACUCUGUAUACGGUCAAAUGGCGUCACGGAGGACCCCUAAUGGCGGUGGGAAUCUAGUAACAUGCGACUGCUGCCUACUCUCCUCACUUGAGACUUGGUUCAGACUCCUACCAUCGACAAGAGUUAUAGCUACUUUACGUCCGCACUCCCUCGAACAAGGAAUCGUAACUUGUACACAAGUCUGUGUACAUAUGGAGAGGGAGACCUAUAUGGCUUCAAGUAGGUUACCAUGGGGAAUGAACAUACGGUGAAGCUGAAUAAUGACGGCUUCCAAUAGAGGACAUGGUUCACAAAAACAUGAACAUGCUCUCUAACAGGGUUCCUAAAAGCCGAGUAUUGGAUUGAACUCGAUUCAUGUCUCUUUAUUUCUCUCUUCCUUUCAAUACAUGUAAUUUUACCACAGAUCGCUAUGAGAGCUACAAUUUAUGUAAAAUAAUUACAAUAAACAACCAAGCUCUUUCGUGACUACUCUCUAGGCUCACAUAUCGUGUCAUCACAACUGCAUUAGAACGAUCCAAUAAUAUAUCUCCCAACAGCUGUCACAAUUAAAGAAGCCUUUUUAAUAAAUAGUACAAUUAUCAAUGACAAUAACAAAGCACAUUUUAAUGAAAGCAUUUUCCUAGGUUCAGAUGCCUAGAGAAUUGCUUCAUUGAAUGUUCUAAUGAUAUAUGAGCGGGAUAUAAUUAAGUUUCCCUACCUUGACAGCUUGUCGUCUUGUAAUGUAAUUGGUGGAUUCUAGCAGCUUCGAAUUAAAUUCAGCAAAAAACUGAAGUCCAUACAAAGUUAGACAAUGUCAAGCUCUGACCAACAUUUAGCAAGCAUGGCCGCAACAGGAAAUAAAGACACAUUUAGAAUGUUGCAAUUCAUGUUUUUGUCAUAGAUAUGUAGCUACCAACAUGCAGUUUAAAAAAGCAAAGAAGAAUGCUAUAAAAUUGAGGAGAUAAAGCUGCUCAAUUCAUCAGAGAGUCAAGUAAUAGCUUCUACUUUAUAUGCCCCAUCAUUGCAGAGCCACAAUAUCUUGAUAUUAAUGCAUUACCAGAAAAAUAAAUUUGCAAACCGUCUUUCUCUAAUCUCACCAAAGGUUUUCCGGCUAACACUUUUGUUGGCCUUCAAAUUCUUUGAAAAAUCUAUAGAGGAUCAGGUAUGCCCCAUUAUACAGUGUCAGUGCGUGCAUAACUGAGGCAAUAUAUGCGCACAUAUGUAUCUACAGGAAUAUAGGAUUUGAAUUUAGGUGUUAAAAAAAAACCUUUAGAGCUUAAAACCUUUACAUUGCUUUUAUAGGAUUUUGGUUUAGAUUCUGCUUUAUGUCUCCAUCAUUGCACAGUCACGAUAUCGUGUUAUUAAUGCAUCACCAGAUAAUUAAAUCUGCACAUCAUCUUUCUCCAAUCUCAGCCACAAGUUUUCUCACCAAAAUACUCGUCUGCCUACAAAUUCUUUAGAAAACAAGAGGAUUGGGCAUGCCUAUCAACCACCUUGUGUGUGUGGGAUGACCUAAGGCAUACAUAGCAGAAACAAGUAUAAACCUGUACAAGUAUGCAUCUAAACAUAAGUGACAGCAGAACUCACCCAAUCAUAGUUCUUAGAAAGAAAUUCAGCUACUGUAGAUUUAUGGCUUGUCAAUAGUUCCUGCAACAAAACAAUAUAAAAGUCUCAGAUUCACACUUCAACUAAUAGCAAAUACAAGGCCGAAACAUAAAAACUUCAUAAACAUGCAAUAAAGACAAAUAAUACAAUUGUCAAAUUCGAAUUCCACAAAUAAAAUGCUUGACAGAAGCUUCAAAACCCUAAUGCAUGUUCAUCGCAAUCUUACAUCUACACUCACCAAAAUUCAACAACACUAAUCUAAUUCUUUUAUUGUGAACAAACUAGUUGAAACAAAUCAAUGACACAUAUAGCGCCACAGAUCACACCAAAUUCACAAACCUACAAUCAAAGUUUCCACUUUUAAUCACUCCCUUGACUACUAAAGCUACUAAAAAGCUAAAACCUUUACACCCAACCAACUGCCAGUAAUAUCAGAUUCCUCUCACAGCACACCCAACCACAUUCAAGUUAAACUUGGCCAGCAAACUAACCUCUUUGCAAUCACAUUAGCACUCAGCAAAUUAACUAUUUCUUCCUAUCUAUGUAAAUAUCACAGCAUAUUAUAGCAUACUCUAAUCCAAACCUCAAUCAGACAUCAAGAAUCACCCUAAAAAACGCAAUUUUUUCAUAAAGAUUGAACCUUUCUCAUCCAAAGCAAAAAAAGAAAAGCAACCCAGACCCCAAACAAUCUCAAAUCAAUCAAAAUCCACCUAAUUAAAAGAAAAUAACAGAAAAAGAACACAUAAAAUAUAUAGAAAUGAUAAGAAAGAGACUGCCAACCUUCUCUUCUCGUUUUGAAUCUGAUAAAGAAGCUGAACUCUGAUCGGCAUAGAUUAAAAGAUCGCGAGUCUGUCUAACUAUAUCGACAGGAGUCCUCCGCACUGGAUGUCCCGAUUUCGAAUUACUCAACAGCCCAUAAUAUCCCUUUGUCGCUACUGCCGCUGCCGCUGCCGGCGCCGGUGAUUGUGGCGGUGGCGAUACUCUCCUCACCACUACCUCCUCCCGGGCUGCUGCUGCUGCGGCAGCUGGUUUUGACACGCAGAUUCCUAUCUUUCCUCCCUUUAUAAACCCCACAAAAACACAAGAAAGCGAUUUUGCCUUCUAUCUACGAAAAGGGUUCACGGUUUACUUGAUUUCAGCCACCAAUUUUGCUUUUGGAUUAUUGGGUUUUUAUGGGAUCUUGGUCAAAAUGUGUGCUUGAUUCGACGGUUAUGGUUUUUUGGGCUCUGCAUAAACAGAUUGCCAGUCGUUACCGUGUCACUAACCGCUAAAUACUUACAGUACAGUGCUAUUUUUUCUUACGUCUUCAUUUUCUCUAUUAUUAUUAUUAUUAUAAAAAAAAUUACAAAUUCACUAUGACCGUCUCACAAAAGCACUGUUUAUUAUAGUUUUAAAAAUAAUAUUUUAAUAAAAAAUCCAAAAAAUUAAAAUUCAUCAACGGUGUGAUAGUUAGUUAAACAGGUCAGCUGAUUUUUUUUUUCCAACUCGAAUGGCUCCAUUCAUAGAUUAGAUUAACUGGGUCUAAGCUGAUUUAUCGGGUAGUCUAGGUUGUAAAACAAUUUUGAUCAUAGUUCUAGAUCAUGAAUUUAAUAAAUUAAUUUAAUUAUAUAUAUUAUUAUUUCAAUUUUAAAAAAAAAUUGUCAUUUUAAAAAAGAUUUUCAAAGUCAGUUUUUAUCUGGCAUUUAGGUUAAUAUUUGACCUGUCAAAUUCAUUAUAUUAUAUUAAAUUAACUCUAACAUGAUUUUGAUUUUAAAUUUGAAUUAAAUAAAAAGAAUUCAAAACUAAAUUAUUUCUCUAAAUUUAAUAAUAUUAUCAGAAUAUUACUCGUUGCCUAAUUUUUAUACAUUUUGUUUUUGUUCGGCUAGUAGCAUAACGUAAUUAUCCAGUAAUCGAUCUAAUCCAUUUUAAAAAUUUUUAAUAUUAACAGCUAUAUGUGCAGGGAAUAUCAAGGGGUAAGUUCAGAUUGUAAUAAAAGGGACUUAUUCCAUUCAAACUUCUUAGGUUUGGAAACAAUCAUUGGCAAAUUUAUUUUUAAUUAGUCUUAUUCAUAAAAGUAUCCUAAGACAAUCAUUUAGCUUCGACAUUGAUGCAAUAUUUAUAUCAAAAAAGUCUCUUUAGAUGUUUAAUUUUUAUGUAUCGUAAUUUUAUUUGUAUUUAUUUUAGUUAUACAAAAAAAUAAAGUAUACCUUUUAGAUCUACCUAUGUAUCUAACUGGUCCAAGUUUAAGAGUUUUUCAUAAAUAGACAGUACAAUGCUACUACUUGGAUUACCCUAUAGGUUAAUCUGAAAUCUAAUUAAUUCAGAAUUUGGAGCGGUUUAAAUUAAAUAAAUAAAUAAUUCAGUUGAUUUGAUAAAAAAAAAAUUUUAAGUUAACUUAUUGAUCGGUCAACACCCGGCCCUCAAUUUUUUAAAAAAAAAUUAUAAAAGAAAAAUAUUAUUUUUAUCAUAUUAAAAAAAAAGAUUUGAGAAUUGAUUCAGGAUGAUCUUUUUAACUCAUAACCUCCUGUAUCUUAUCCCGGUCAACUCUAUAUCAAGUUUUACAAUUAUGUUAGAUUUAUUGAUCCUAACAGAAUUAUUUUAGAUCAAUAUCCAAAAUAAAAUUAUGAUACUAUAUUUAAUAUUAAAAUUGUAGUUGCGUAAAUUUAAUGAGUUUGUAAAGUAGAUAAUACCAUAAAAUUAUCCUUUAUAUAGGCUAUAUAUAAAAGAUACCAAAUAAUAAUAUUAUUCAAUUCACGAAAUUACCAGCAGCCAUAACAACACAAAUAAAUCAUAGCAAACAAAGCAAACACACAUAUUUUUUCAUGGAGUCUCUCACGCACACAUCACUGUUCUCUUGUCACCACCACAUAAUUAGACCAAAGUAAUUACAAAAUAAAGAAGAGAAGGCAAAAGGUUUCAUCAUCAAACUUAACAUUACCAAUUAUCUAAGAAAAUAGAUCCAUUUCCAACUGCCUGGAAAUCGUUCUGUACAGUCCUCCAAUAUUUACUGAUCGAGUAGCAUUGCCUUCAGAAAUCUGUUGAGGGCUUUUCUCACUUUCAAGUACACUGACGACUUCGGACAUUUUAGGCCUGAGAGUAGGAGAUGGAUUAACGCACUUCAUUGCCACGUGCAAAACAAUGAGAGCCUGCCUUUUGUCGUAAUUGGAUUCUAAUUUCUGGUCCACCAAUUCAAUGAUUUUUCCCUUAUCGUUCAAAACAGCAGCCUGCAAUUGAAAAGCAAGAUUAGCUUAGCUCCCAGUAUUAAUGAAAUAAUCAAGUAAUUAUUACUUAUUAUUUUCUAAUCAAUUAAAAAAAUCAAGGAAUUAAAUAACUCUAAGCAAUCAAGAAAUUAUUUCUAUCAUCCAGUUAAAGGAGAUGAUCAAGCAUAUUUUUUAUAAUUUAUUUUAUUCUAUUUACUUAUAGGUAUUGUUAUAUGACUAUAUAAACUCCAUAUGAGUUGAAUGUAACAUAUAUAUUAAAUUAUCGAAUAAUAAUAUAUAUCCUCUCAUAUUCUAUUUUUUUUUUUGGUAUCACAGCAGGUUGAUUAUAUACUACUCUAAAUAUUAGCUUUUGUUUUUUUGAUGGACAAUUUUAUGCCAUCAAUCCAAUAAUUUUAAAACACUUUGUUUUCAAACUCUUCAUUAUCUAUCAAAUAUUUAAUUUACUAUUCCUUUUCAAUGAUAAAUCAACUCAUAUAAGGAAAAAUUAUCACAAGUCAUCUAAUGUUGGCAGAACAUGUUUGGUUUGAAAAAAAAAAAAAACUAAGAGGGUUUAUCCUGUCAAAUACACUUACUUUAUCCAGAAGAAACUUAGCUUCUUGAUUGGGUGUAUAUUCUGCACUAACUGUCCCGCUAACUAUUUCGAGUAGGACAACUCCGAAACUGUAAACAUCAGCUUUAACAGUAUCUAUUGCUUUUCCCAUUGAAUACUCAGGUGCCAUGUAAACUCUGCAAUAGAAGAUUAAUUAUUGGUUAAUUAGCUCUUAAUUAAAAGAAUGAAAGUAGUUGUCGAUCAAUGAUCAUAAUACUUACCGCGACUCUUUUGCUUCGAUGGUCAUAAAUGGAUCUUCCUCACCACAAAGCGUUGCCAAUCCAAAGGCAGACAACUUGGCCGUAAGAGAGUUAUCAAGCAUAAUAUUACUAGGCUCCAUGUUUCCAUGAACAAUCUCUUUCUCUUCAUGUAAAUACUUCAAACCUCUUGCUAUUCCCAGACAGAUACCAAAUCUAGCUUUCCAAUCAAGUUUUGUCGUGGAAUUUGGUUCUACAAAUCAAGGUUAUUGAUAUUAAGUUAUUGAUAUUUGCAAGUACACAAUCCUUGUACUAACAGAAGAUUUAAAUAUACAAUUAGAAGCUCUCACAAACAUUAAGUGACGGAAUUCUAUUUACUCCUAUGUUAUAGUUCUCAACAAUUAUAUGAAUUUCGCAAGGCAAUGCAUUAGGUGAAAAUUAAGAUAAAACUUGAGAAUCGAAAGAGCAGGAUGAAAAUUGGUUGAUGGCAGUAUUACCGAACAACGCACGUUGAAGGGAGCCUUUCUCCAUAAUAUAUUUGAAUAGCCACCCCAUAAUUGAACAAGAUUCUCAUGUUUCAAAGAUUUCAGUUUGGGGAUUAUUUCCCCUUGUAAUUCAUCUUUUCCUUGUUGCUUUGAAUUACGAGGAGAAAUCUUCAUCACUGCUAAUUUUCUCUUGUUCGGCAAUUCAGCCUGCAUACACGUGAAAUCAAUUUACCAGAACUCUGAAAGAAAAAAGUGCAUGUUGAGGAACAAAUGUUUCAAAAAAGAAAAUCUGACCUCGUAUACUAUUCCAAAGCGUCCCCCGCCAAUCUUCAUUUUGGGGCUAAAUUUUCGAGUAGCAUCGAUUAUUUCUUUGGGGGUGAAACGUUCUCCAUCUCCUUUAUCUCUUUUAUCUCCUUUAUCUCUUUUAUCUCCUUGAUCUCCUUGAUCUCUUUUAUCUCCUUGAUCUCUUUGAUCUCUUUUAUCUCCUUGAUCUCGUUGAUCUCUUUUAUCUCCUUCAUCUCCUUCAUCUCCUUCAUCUCCUUGAUCUGCUUGAUCUGCUUCAUCUGCUUGAUCUGCUUGAUCUGCUUCAUCUGCUAGUUCGAACGGUAUAGUUUUAUCUAUUUGAAGAAAACAUCAAAGUAAGAAUUCUUAAGGUUGUAUGGUGCAUAAUGAUUUUAGAUUAGCAUAGAGAGGUACCAUUCAAAUCGCUUUGCUGCAGCCAGCCCAUUUUCCACAUGUAAGCCGACAGAAGUAGAGAAGCAAAUACUGAACCUGCAAUAAUCCCUGCAAUUUGUGAAGGAGAUAGUUUCUUGCCGCCAACUUUGAAGUCUGUACACAAAUAGUGGAAGACAGAAAGAAUAAAUUAUUUAUCCAGAUAAAGUGUACCAGAAAUCUUCGCGCAACAAAAUUAAGAGAAUGCAACUCUUUACUUGCAGUUACGGAAAUGCCUGACACAAGGGGUCCAUUUAGAGACAGUGCAGCAGGUGAAUUGAAAAAUCUUGGCUCCAGGAAAGUUCCUUUGCCAGCCCGGAAAAAAUGGAUAGUCAAUAGAUGAUCAUCUCCUACAUAUGCUGAGAAAUCUUUGCUCCAUGUCUUAUUGGUGCCGCUGGCCAUUUCUUUUAUGUUGAAGUCUUUUAGUGUUCUGUUCCCCUAUAUCAAACAGUGGAGGUUUAACGAUGGAAAUUUUUUAAAGAAGCUGCAGAAAAAUAUAGCGGUUACCUGUAUAUAUACAUCAAAAACACGUUUCCCUAAAUUCGAAUAAUCUUCAUCACUUUGGUAAACAGUUUCAGCGAAGUAAAGUUUCACAGUGUAAUUUCCUUUAAAUAAACAGAAGCCGUAAUAUGUCAGAGAAAGAGGGCAGAGGCGAGUUGAGCUGUAUAACGGUGUCGCAGCAGAAUCACAAACUCCACAAUCCACGUUUUUUAUGUAAUCACUGGAAUCGUAAGUUUUCGAUCCGAAGUCUCCAGAACAAGAAUAAGCCCAAUUUUUUCUUGGAGCUGAAUAAUAAUUUGAUGUUGCACUAUCUGCUUCAAACUCUUUCCUAUCAAAAACUGUGCCUUCUCCUCCACAAUUUAUAUAUAAGGAAUCGUCUGCAAAAAAUGAUAAUCAGUACAGAAAAUCUGUCCUGCGCUAAAUUAAGAGCUUCUCAAUAGAACUUACACUUUGGUUUUCCCCGACAUUUAUCUGUCAAAUCACGUAUAGAAUUCCUAGAAAUAGCAAACAACAUUUGUAAGAAAUAGCUCAGGAUUAUUUGCUCUAAAUUAAUUGCACCAUAUGGAGGAUAUUACCAUACCUGUUUGGUUCACUGCUUGAGUAGGAACAAAAUGCAAGCAGUUGGUGCACAUGAUACAAAAUGAUCAGAAGUUGGAAUUUCAUAGACAACAAUAUUCUUGCAAGUGAAAAAAAAGGAGGAAGAAAAUGAAGUAGCCGUUAUUACAUGUUUAGCUUUCCUUCUCCUUUCUUCGGACCAUCACGUGGAAUUUCAAAAUUAUUAUAUGACAAGUCCCUGCAACAUUAUUGUUUACAUAUCAAGAUUUUAUUGAGGAAACCUACAAAAGGGAAAACAACCCAUCUGAGCAAAGAGCACAAAGCCAUAACAUACGCCUUGUCUUCAAUGUUAUCAGUAACCCAGGAAGGUACGGUGCCAUUAAGCAUAUUUCCUGUGAGAAACCUAAACAAAACAAACCAGUAUGAAAACCAUCCCAUGUACUUUUUAACAGAGUGGCAGAACGAUCUUAUUAUAAGACAUCGAGUUCAAGGAAUCUCUUUUUCAUACAUCUUACUUAAAUUCAGCUUUUCCAUGGAAUCUGGUAUUCCACCCGUUAAGUUGUUAAAGCUCAAGUCUCUGCAGGAUCAAUAAAAUGAAAGCAAACGUUAUCCUACAUAUUUGAUAUAUAGUUGUGCUAUGGUCAAUUAUUGCAUAGUUGAUUCUGUAAACACAUAGUCAAAAUCAUCAACACUUCCUAUGCAUGGCCUAAAGGCCUAAUCAAAAUCAAAAUAGAGCGGAUGAAACAAAGUAGCCAUGAGAGAACUACAAAUCUUUUACAAAAGAGGAAAUGAAACUUACAGGUAUUUUAACCUUGACCAAUCACCAAUGUACGGGGGGAUUUCACCACUUAUUGAGCAAUUCCUUAUCACCCUACACAAACCAUUGAAGAAGUUGGUGUUUGGAUUUAUCCAAUGCAUCCAUAUCAUUAAGAGUCACGUACAUAAAUAUUGACAAAACAAUAUAAAACACAACAUUGUGACAUCCAGGAUAAAUUUACCAUAGUCGUUAAUUAAUAUAUAUAUUUUAAAUUCUCAAACCUGAAUCCCAGAUACAACUAGUCUUCACAGCAUGUAAUAGCUCAUACAAAAAACUCAAGAUAAUAUAAAGAAAAAUAGGCCUAAAAAAAAUAUAAUCCAAAUUCUACAACAAUAACGCUCCCAGACAAAUAUAAUUCCAAGUGUGCAUGGUUUUUAUUAUUCAAUGUGAAAUUAAUCUUUAUACCAUAUCCACAAUUCUACAACGACUAUAGUAAAUUCCAGAAAAACUCACAGGUAUCUUAUUCCCGUCAUAUUUGCAUAUUUUGGGAAAGGGAAACCGGCCGAGCUUCUUACAUCACUAACAAACCUGGAAGAAAAACCAGCCAGAAUAAAACAUGCAUUUAUUUCAACCAUCCAGGUUAAAAUUAUAGAACACUUACAAGUAUUGGAGAUUUGGCAUGUUAAAAAGAAGUUCAAGAGGCAGCUGUCCUUCAAAAUCAUUCCCGGAGAGGGACCUGAAAUCAGUACACACAAAGACAAAUUAUUGAAUGAUAUUCAUCGACAGUUUCUCUGCUCAAAUGGUUGGAGGUAGACAUUCAGCAUUGAGAAAUCAGCUCAAUCAACUAAUAUUGUAUGAUUACAGAAAGUACAAGUAAUUUCUUACAGGUAAGAGAGUCCAUUCCAAUUCGCAAUGAAGUUUGGAACUUGACCGGUCAAACGGUUCCCAGCUACGCUACUGCAGCCAUAGUUAGUUACUUUUCCUUGGAACAAUAAUUAAACAGAUUGUUGGUUGAAAGAACAUGAUUAGUUGCACUUACAACCACCGCAAUUGAUCCCAAGUACUAAAGUUGGCGUAAUUUCCCGGCAGUUCUCCACUCAAAUUGUUGGAGCCCACAUCUCUACAACAACAAAUCAAAAGGAUUGUAAUCCACCUUUUUUCUGUUUUAUUUCUCCUCUUUCUAUCUUCCGUGGUUUUACAAGGUGGUAUGAUAUUAUUAUUCUUCUUCUUGAAACUUACAAAUGAUUUAGAUAUUUCAAUUCUCCAAGUUGUGGUGGAAGCUGACCAGUGAGUUCAUUGAAGCCCAAGUCCCUAAUUAAAUAAGAGAUAUGAACCAAACCAAACUAAAUAAGUAAAAGGAAAUUCAAGGAGAAUGAAAGAGCGAGCGAGCGAGUUUCUAUACAUAUAUCGGAGACUAGAGAGGUUGCCCAAUUCUUCAGGGAUUUGAUCUGAUAACUUAUUACUUGACAAACUCCUGAAAACACCCACAAGAAUAAGAGCACAAAACUUGCAUCAGCAAUGGAAAAAAAAUUUAAUUAACAUUAUAUGAUACUGAAGAAAUUGUGAUUGGAUGACACGUACAUAUGUUUAAGUUUCGUCAAAUUCCCCAUAGAUAAAGGUAUGGAGCCACUGAGGAAGUUUCUCGAGAGACGGCUAUGCAAAUAAGUUCAUUAUUACUCAAAUAAGAACCAAUAAUAUAAAUUUUAUGAAGACAAACUAAGAACUGAAAUUAGUUAUUAUAAAUUAUCCUAAAGCUAAGCAGCUCUUUGCUCAUAACCAUGCAUAUAUCCAAACAAGCAUUAACACAAUUAAGCAAUUAGCCAAACAAGGCUACUAUCCUAAUUACAUAAGAGAAGAGAACCAAACAGAACUAAGAAGUUAAUUUUUGUGACCAUUAACCAUAGUUAUAAAACCUGACCCGGGGGUUGACCCAGCCAAAAAGUCGAGUCUCGGGUUACACGGGUUGACCCGGGUCAACCCGAAAAAACAAUAUUUAAAAUUUUCAUAUUUCAUUUGAAAUUUUUUAAAAACAAUCAAUUUGAAUAUAAGUUAUACAUGUUAUAAAUAAUAAAAUUUAAAAUAUUAUUUCAAAAUAUUUUUUAUCCUACAUUGAAAAAACAUGACUUAAUUUUUUCUUAUAAACAUAUAGUAUAUUUACUAAAAGACUUCAAAUCCGACAUUAAAAUAAUAAAGUAUUUUUUUAGUAUUUAUAUACUAAAAUUUGAAAAUGGUUAAUAACCAACUAAAAAAAUAAAAUAAAAAAAGAGGAGUCUCUAACUAGGAGAAAAAACACAUUUGAAAAAAAAAAAAAAAAAGGAUCUCAACUGGGUUUUGUCGAGUUUUUGCUCAUUCCGGUCUUUUAUCUUACCCGGACCGGUUUAACAACCGAGUCAAUCAGGUCCCGGAUCGACUAGCAAGUCUAGUCCGGUUUUAAUAACUAUACCAUUAACACCUUGCCAUGAACAUUUAUAAGUAUCAAGACCCCAUACGGCUUGCCCUUAUUUUAAUUUCUAACAAAGCUAAUUUUACUGAAAAUGUUUCCCCAAAAAUUCUAUUAAAAAAUCUUUACAUUUACAAGUACAAGUAUAAUCUAUCAAUUGUCUAUUCAGUAACUUCUUCUUUAAUUUAAUGAAGCAAAUUUGAGUUCUUAACUCAAAUUUUCACCAUUAUAAUAUAAUUAUGUAGUCCUAAACACUAUAUUCUCCGAAUAAAAAUGAGAUCUUAACUAUUAUUUAAUGGAAUAUAAUUUAAAAGAAGUGAUUUUAGAAAACAAAAAUUAAUGUUAGAUUUGUAUAUAUAUACUCUGAAAAUGCAUGCUGAGACUAUAAUUUCAUAGAAUAACAGAAGUUACAAAUUGUAUGCUCUUUUCUUACCAUUAUAUAUUAUUUUUUAAGAGAACAGCAAUGGUAUAAAAUCAAACCCAAAUAUCCAAGAUGUUCUCCUAUAAUUCAUAUAAAAAUGGAUGUUCUUCGAUACCCAAGUCAAACGUUUUGGUUAGUGCCAUUUUUUUAAAAAAAAAAAAAAAUUAUGAUGGAUAGUUUGCUUUUAACUAUAUUAGAAAUAAUAAUUUAGUUUUGAAGCAUGAAAUCUAAAUCCUUAAUUAGGAAAAAAGUGAGGAUCUUUAAAAAUUGGACAUGGAAUGUUUCUGGAAAAAAAAUCAAUAUUAAUAAAAUACAUAUAAACACAUACAAGAAUAAGAGCACAAAACUUGCAUCAACAAUGAAAAAGGAAUUUAUUUGACACUGAAGAUGAUACUUACAUUAACUAUAUGAUACUGAAGAGAGUGAUUGCAUGAUACUUACAGAUAUUGGAGGGACGACGUCAAAUUCCCCAAGGAUGGAGGUAUGGAGCCACUGAGGAAGUUUGUGGAGAGAUCGCUAUGCAUAUGUGUUACCAUAUAAGUUUAUUAUUACUCAAAUAAGAACCAAUAAUUUAACUUUUAUGAACACGCACUAAGAACUGAAAUUAGUUAUUGUAUAUGAUCCAAAAGCUAAGCUGCUCUUUUGCACAUAAUUAUGCAGACAGCCAUUAAGAAAUUUUUGGAGAGAUCGCUAUGCAUAUGGGAAGUGGGAAGACAUUCACCGUACAUUAAUGGAAAUAUAACGAAAGAUUACAAACAUCGAAUCAAUGCAAAUUUCUUUGCUAGUAUUUUUGGGAGGGCACUUAUUUUCUAUUAUUUUUUUUACCUUUUCAAACACCCAUCUAAAUUAUACUUGUAAUAUAUUUUUCCUCUUUAAUGAAACAAUAUAAAAAAAAUUAUACUCGUAUUUAAUUUAACAUAUCUACAUAUAUUACUAUUAAAUAUUAAAAGAUUAUAAAAUUAUUUGGGAUAAUUAUAUAUAUAUAUAUGCCUUUUGAAUUAACUAUUGAAAUUAAUUAUUUUAAAUAAAGACUUUAAUUUAAUAAUUAAUGAUCAACAUCUGUUGUAUUCUAUCCGACCUUGGAUUGCAUCUGAUGCAGCCAUUGAUAGGUUGUGAUGGAUCAUAAUUUCGAGAUUGCCUUUACGGGCUUGAUCCGAACAAUGCUUUGAUUUCUUUGCUGGUAUUUUUGGGAGUAUGGUUGGAAUUCAUCUACACGCUGACCAGUUUAAUUGUUUAUUUAUAUGUAAAUUGACCCAGGAUAAAAAAGAUUCAUUAUCGGGUCUUCUCCUUUGAAUGUUGCCUCUGGAAUAACAAAAUUAGUUAACACACGACUAUGUCUUUUGUGAUGUGCAAUUUUUAUGUUCGUCGUUUGUUAUGUUAUGUAUAAAUUGUUUUUUGUUUUUCAAAAAUCAAUUCAGGAUAAAAAGAUUUUUUGUUGGGUCUUAUUCUUUUGUCUAUCACGUAAUAAAAUCAAUUAAUAAAAGACUUAAUUUGUCAUGUUUCUACAGUUUAAUUUUGAUGGCAUCAUUUCUCCAAGAACAGGAUUUAUUUUUAAUCAUGUCUUGAAGUUUUUUGUCGUUUAUACAAAAUCAACCCAAUUAAUAAAAGACUUUAAUUGUGUGGUUUUCCUGGGAUGUUGCAUUAACAAUAGGCGAGUAUUGAUUAAUGCACAAUGCCUAUUUAAUUUCUAUAAACAAAAUGUUAUAAUUUGGAUUCUAUGUGUCCUUGACAAUACCCUUCCAAUAUACUAUUCCGAUUAUUUAGUCAAACAGUUGUCUAGUCAAACAUAAUCUAAGCAUAGGAGUUGAUCGCCCAUAGUGACAAUAUUAUUUUUAAUUGUAAAUAUAAAUAUUUUAAGACAUUAAUAUUAUUUUUUAAUUAUAAAUAUUAAUUUAUCAUUUGAAUUUUCUCGUCUAGUUUGAAUGUGUGUUAAUAAUUAUUUAUUGUUUUAUUAUAUAUUUUUUGGAUCCAAUAAAUAAAUUUGGGCCGUAUCCAUGCAAUCCCACACAGGUCUGUUAAAAAUAAAUAGUGUUUUUCGUAACUAUUUCAAUAAAUGUUAUCUUUUAAUUAUAAAAGUAAAUAUUUUAUGAUAUUAAUAUUAUUUUUUAAUUAUAAAUAUUAAUUUAUCAUUUUUAAUUAUAAACAUUCAUCAAAGUGGAGAUUAGGUCAUAUUAAUACUCCUUUCAUUAUAGAAUUCUCUAACCAUUAAAUUAUCUACCCGAACUUUUAUAUCGAUUCUUUUAUUCACGAAAUAACACCUUUUUUAAAACAUCUCGCCAGGGCCUAGACUUCUAGCUAGACAAUAGCUUCCUCAUAUGUCAGACUUCUAGCUAGACAAUAGCUUCCUCAUAUGUCAUGUACUUCUAAACUUAAAUAUGUCUUCCUGCAAUAAAACUAGUUUAAGAGACACUUAACACUAUUAAGCAUAUAUUUAGGCUCUAAUUAUAAUUUAAAGUCUAAGAGUUAAAUUUCAAUAUUUAAAAAGUUAAUUUGAUCAAAUUAGGAGGUUAAGUGAAAAAAUAAGGGUUAAAUUGAAGUUUUUCAAAUUCUAAAUUAAAAAUUCUAAUUUGUAGGGUUUAGCUUAAAUGAUAUGUGGUUCAACUACUAUGCAUCCUUUUCUUUAAUAAUUUUUGUUGAUCUAAUAAAUACUUUUAAAUAAAUGAAUAUAGUGGCAGAAACUAUAUUCUUCUAUAGGCACUUUUGUUGUCCAAACUGCUGUAGUGGCAGUAUAUGAUCAUGGUACUGGAUCACUUACAGACGGUUGAGUGAACUCAAGUUCCCCAAGAUGGGAGGGAUGCUACCAUGAAGUUGAUUCUUGGACAAAUCACUGUUAUGGUAAUAGGAUAAUUAUCAAUGAAUUGAAGUCAGCAUAACUACUUCGAAUUAUUAUCAUCAUAUGUCAUAUGAUACUCACAUUGCAUUUAGGUGAACGAGACGAGCCAAGGCUUCAGCAUUUAUUUCUCCAGUUAAGUCCUGGUCUGGGAGCGUUCUACCACCCAAAAAUGGCGUCAACAUAGAAACCAGUGAGUUUUAAAGAGGAUGUAUUGCCUUACAAAAAUGAAAGAAAAUUGGAUGAAGUUGAUGAGGAACUUACAGGCCGGUGACGUGACAAACUGUGCUGUUCUCGUCAGUGCAAUCGCAUUUGAUGUAUUCAAAAUUAGAGGAACAAGCCGAGCGUGAGAUAUUUGGAUGAAAACCCCACUCUAACUUUAUCAGCAAGUCUUCCAAAGCCUUUUCUGCCAAACGUUUUCAACAAUGAAACAUCAUUUUUUUUAGCAAAAUUCAAACAGGUAGUAUGCAUUAAUUAGGUUGUUAUUAAAAAUCUCAUUAAUGAUGUAAAUUGAACUAAUGCAAAUUGAACUGUCAACAACAAGCAUGAAAUCGUGUGUACCUUCAUCUUCAGGCAAUUAAGGCAUGUCAUAUAAAUUUGUUGCUUUACAGACUACAUAGCCAAAUUGACAAAGAAGAAGAACGGCAAGAGAGGAAACAAGCUUAGGAAAGAGCUUAAGAUAAAGCUUAGCCAUUACUAUAGUUUGCAAUGCGACAUGCAUGGAAUCUACACAAAAAAAGCCCUCUUUGUUCAUAACUUAUUAUUAAUUGGGUCAUCUGAAAGAGAAGAUAUUGAAGGAAAAGCUCAUAUUUAACAGAUAAACAAAUUUUCUUCCUUCUUUUGUAUAUAGGAGGAAAAAGGAUAUAUAUGUAGAUGGAAAAGUAUAUCGUGCGUGUGUACCUUCAUCUGCAGGCAACGUGGCGUUUCUGUCAGAGGAAUUUGUUGAUUGACAGGCUACAUAGCCAAAUUGACAAAGAAGAAGAACGGCAAGAAAGCAAACAAGCUUAGGAAAGAGCUUAGCCAUUACUACUUUAGCUUGCAAUGCGCUUCCCUUGAGACGACAUACAUUCUUUAUAAAGAUAUUGUUUUACCGUUCAAACAGUUAUUAACUCUGAAUCAAUUACCUCACAUUACCAAAUUGUCCCUGUCCAAAUAUCAAAAUACCCGAGAAAAGUAACUUGCAAUACAUUCUUUUUACAUUGAUUUUUGGAACCAAGAUUGAUACAUAAUUAAUUCUAGUGGUUGCCGGAAAUAAUUUUGGUUGUUUUGUCUUAAUUAUGUGCUAUAAAAGAAUGAAAAAAACCUGAUAUUUUUUGCUUAAAAAAUCAGAUGUUUUUUAAUUAAAAUAAACAAUUUAUAAAGUGAAAGGUAAUUAUUCAGAUUGUUUAUUCAUAAACUGGAUAAAUAAAGUGGAUUGAUGAAAAAAUAUUUUGUUUAUCAAAAUAAAAACAAUGUUAUUUUAACUAAAAUAACUUGAAUUAACUGAGUUAUCUCAGAAAUUAAUUUCUUAAUUUAAAGUAUUUUUCGAGUUAGUUUUUUUUAUUUUGAAUCAAUAACAACAAUCAUUCUACACCUACACACUCGGAAAAAAUAAAUUUUUAACUGAUGACUCAACUUUUAAGUAGUAAAAUAAAAGAAUUAUCACUUAAAUUUGAAUGAGAAUUUUAUAUAAAAAAACUCUUCUAUGCCCAGCUAAAGGCUCUGCUGAAUGAUUGAACCCGUGGAAUCUAAACAUUGAGAAGUAAUAAUGCAUCUUUAAAAUUUAUGGUCAAGUCUUUGUUUAUGUUCAGCAUCUUUCGUCAAUCUUUUCCAUUUAAAAAAUCCAAAAGCUGAUAGCUUACCCUUCAUUUCUUGGGUCCAAUCGGAAAGUGAACAUUGACAAGUAAUAAUGCAUCUUUAAGAUUUAUGGUCAAGUCUUUGUUUAUGUUAAGCAUCUUUUGUUACCAUUGUCAAGUAAUAAUAAUAACCACCGUCAGUCCAGGUAAAGAGCAUUCUGUAAUGCUGCUUUGAAAACCAAAAAUUGAAUGUUAUUUUCAAGAUAUAAAUUUCAUUGGAUCUACUUUCGUAUAAAAAACAAACAAACAAGGACUUUAUUUCAUGUGGAUAUAAAUUUCAGCUCAAAUAUUAUAGCUCAACCAUUUUGUAUUCAGAAUAUAUUAUUUAUGCUAUUCUCACAUGAAAAGUCUUGGCUGUAAAAUUCUUGAAAGGAGAACAAUACACAGUUAUCUUCUAAGAAAUACUUUUUAUCAAAGUAGAAAACGUGCAAUAAACACGUUUUAUUUUCAACAAUAUAAAAGUGAUCUCAAAUUACAUUACGUAGGUCACACAAGAUAAAUCGGAAUUUCUUUGUAAGUUCCUGCUGCCCCUACUGCCCCAAAGUCCUCACCGGAUUCACUGAAACCAUCACGUGAUGGCCUGCCCACGUCAAAAAGAUUAUAAUUAUUGAUAUAUAUUCAGGUUUGUUAUCCUGAAAAAAUCAAGAAAAUUAGGAGACAAAGAUUCCUUAAUUUUUAUCAGGGCAUAGGGUAUAGAUGAAAUGGAAGUCAUCACCUAAUAUUUUAAUCACUAGAAACUCUAACUAGUCUCGGAAAUUAAGUACGAGAACUAAUUACGUAAAUGAAAGAUAUUAGCAUCUCAAUUACGCCCUAUUUAAAGUAACCUGCAUUGUUUGAUUAUUUGAUAAAAUCUAUGGUAUUAUCGUGUUUUUUAUUUAUUGAUUUGUCUAAGGUUUUAGAGAAAAGUCUUCAUAGAUAAGGAGGUUCUUAUCUUAUCAGAUAAAACCUAACUGUUAUAACGUCAAUAAAAAAAGCUACUUUUUUAAUAUCGAAAAGAUAGUUUACGUAUAAAUUCGUAAUCCCGAAUGCUAAAAAAACAAAAUAUGUUUUUGGGUAUUUUUGAAAUAUUGGCAAAUCCUACUAAUUUUGGUGUGAUAAUCUAGGCGCUACUUACUUAAUUAUAUGCAAAUCCUAUGUUUCAUGCUUGCUCUAAACAUGUUAAGGUUAACUAUCGUUUUGUCUGAGAUAAGGUUGCGAAGAAAGAGAUUCAAAUUCGUUUUAUCCCCUCUUACGAUCAACUUGCAGAUGUUCUUACUAAGUUGCUUCUUACUGCUCCAUUUAGUACCUUUCGAUUCAAGUUUCAGUCGAUCCUCCACUCUUAGCUUGAGGGGGUAUAUUAUAGAAUGUACCUAUAUAGAAAAUAUUAUAGUCAUAUUCUUGUGUUGUAAUCACCACCAUUAUUAUUGUAUAUUGCCCUACACAUAUAAAUAAAAAAGGUUCGUCAACCAAUAGAUUAAGCCUCCUAAUUAUUCUUAAUUAUAAACAUCUUUUGUUAUGUAUAAUUUUUAUAUUUGUGGUUUGUUAUGUUGUUAUAAAUUGUCUUUUUAUUCAUAAAUCAACCUAGGAUAAGAAGAUCAUUUGUUGGGUUUUAUUAAUUGGAUGUUGCGAAUCACGUAAACUUAAUUUUGCAUAUUCAUGCAAUUUAAUUUUGAUGGCACCAGAUUUACUUUUAAUUGUGUCUGGUAUUUUUUGGUUGUUUAUACAAAAUUGACCUAAGGAUUGGAAGACUUUAAUUUUGUGCUAUCCCUCGAAUGUUGCAUUAAGGAUAGUCGAGUCAAUUAAUGCUUAUUUUCUAUAUACAAAAUUUCAUUUUCAUAUUGUGCUAUAAUCUGGAUUUGUGAGCUUGGGAAUUCCCUCAGCAAUACCCUUUCAAAAUACUAUUCUAGUUAUCAAGUCAAUCAUAUUCUAACUAGGAAAAUCACGACAACAUUGUUUUUAAUUAUAAAUGUAAAUAUUUUAAAACAUUAAUAUUAUUUUUUUAAUUAUAAUUAUUAUUUAUAAAUAUUUAUUCAUCAUUUGAAUUUUCUACGUCUGGUUUGAAUGUGUGUGAAUGAUUGUUUACUUGUUUUAAGAUAUAUUUUCUUGAUACAGGAAGUGAAUUUGGGAUAAACCCUAUGUAGACCUAUUUUUCAUAUUCAUUUCAAUCUAUAUUAUCUAGAGCGUGCUCAAGCCCUUCAGUUGCUCACAAUUCUGCAAGUCCAAUGUACAUCUUUAGUCAAUCUCUUAGCAUAACAAAUGUUUUUAAUUUUUAAAACAAGUAACAAAGCAAUUUACAUUAAAGUAGGAAGUAUAUAGUAAUUUUUAUUUUUUUAUUAUAUAAUACCCUUAAUAAUAAUCUCUGGAAAACUAAUUAGGAUUUCCUUAAUUGACAGAAAGCUAAAUGACAUAUCACUGAGAUGUCAUUUUUAAUAGAGGUAAACUAUUUGCAAGACAUCAGCAUGCUUAGGUAAGCUAAGUGACCCUUUAUUGUCGAAUAUUGAAAGAAUCCUUAGGUGGUUUGAUUUGUGCUCCUGUCAGAAAGUUUGCUUCACAGAAGACCCCUAGCUGAUCUGGAAUUCAGUAAAGGAAUGGCUGCUGUUCUGAGAUGUCAAUCCUACCUAUGAAAUAUCCAGGCCUACCAGUAGGGGCCACUUCAAGACUCCUUACGACAUGGAAACCAGCGCUGGAUAAAACCAAAAAUGAUGUGAUUUUAGGAAAACAAAAUGUUAGAUUUGUAAAUAUAUAUUCUGACGAUGCACGCUAGCUGACAACUCAAGUAGCUAUGCAUCUGGGACUCAAUAAUUGCAUCCCCAAAGAUAUAUAUAUAUAUAUAGUCGAAGCUAAAUAACUACAGCCCAAAGACCGAAUAUCCGAGGCAGAAGCUAAAUGUAUCAAUUACAGGGAUUCUUGAAUCGAGUUACAUAGAAUAUCUUAUUUUUGUUAGUUUUAUUUUAAAAAUUGUAGUAUAUUUAAAAUAAAGAAUAUGUUUGGACAAAUGACUGCAACAAAAUAAACAGCAGCAGCAGUAAAUAAGCAUGGUACUGGAUCACUUACAGAGAGUAGAGUGAAGGCAAGCUCCCCAUGGUGACGUCAGGGGAUGCUUCCAUAAAGUUGAUUGUUAUCCAUCAGUUGAGGUCAGCAUGAUUGCUUCGAAUUGUCAUCAUCACAUGUCAUAUGGCUUCAGCGUGGAUUUGUCCGUCCAAUUCGCGGUUUGAGAGUUCUCCACCACCCAAAAAAGGCAUUAACAUAGAAACCAGUGAGUUUUAGAGAGGACGCAUUCCCUUGCAAAAAUAAAAGAAAAUUGGAUGAAGUUGAUGAGGAACUUACGUGACAAACGUGUUGUUCUCAUAAGUGCAACUGCAUUUGACUUCAUCGGUAGGACGGUAAAAAAAAACAAAAACAAGGUUUUUUAUAUCUAUUUAUCAUUCAUUAUAAUUUAUUUUUUAUUUUCUCAAUUUUCGAUUUUUUUAUUUUUCGAUUUCUCAAUUAUAAUCUAUGGAAGAGAUUAUCACCUAAGAGUGAAAAACAACUUCUUCUGUUUUUACUAGUAUAAAUGGGGGUCACACUAUAAAACAAGGGAGAAAUUAGUUAGAGAGGAUUAGCAUAAAAAAAAUACUAAACAUUCUAUCUUAAAAAACCAAAAAAGAGAGUAAAAAAACCAUGACCCAUCACACCCUCCAGGACACCCACAUUUAAAUAAAACUAACAAGACCAACUCAUCAUCUUCAAGCUCCCACUGUCACCACUAAAGAAAAAAGAAAACUUAAAUUCCCAUAAAAAAAAUUAUGCCUUCCACUGCUGCAAAACAUUCAAAACUCCAUAACUAGCCAUCGAUCCUUUUUUCUCUAUCAAGUAGCAAAAAAACAGAAAGAAAAAGAAACAUGACAGACCCAAUAAGGGGCGGAGCUGGAAUUAUUUAACAAGGAGGGCCAAAACUAAUAUAAUAAGAUAUAAUUUUUUACAUGUAAACCAUACUAACAUAUAAAACAAAAUUAACAUAUUAAAAAAAAAUGAUAUAUAAAAACAAAUCUAACAUAAAAAAUAAAAUUAUUGGUUCCUAAAGAAAAAAACUUAAAUUGAAUUAAAGUUGGGUAUGUUCUCUUUAAAGAAUCUAAUUUGGCUAGAAAGAUCGUGUCAAAUUGUAUAUUGGACCUAGUGAUAGUAAGAUACAUGUGAGAAAAAAUUGAUAAUUUUUGUUGCUACCCAAUUUUUGACCCAUGUUUUUGAUAUAUUUUCAAAAAAAUCCAAAAAUAGAGAAAAACAAUGAAAAUCCAAAAAAAUAUGUUUUUUAAUAUAUUUUCGUCCUUUUAGCAUUUUCAACGUCGUCUAAAAAAAAAAAAAAAAUUUUUCAAGCGCGUUCGACUUUUCACGCGUCAUUUUUAAAAAACAUUGAUUUUCCUCGUUGAGUCGACGUUGAUAUUGCUCGUUUUCAAAAAAUACAAAAAAAAUAAGAAAAAUCAAAAUUUACAAAAAGAAAGAAGUUGAGGGACCAAGUUGAAAAACUUGGCAACAUUUUUGCCUAUAAAUAUUGGUCUUUAACUCACACAAAAGAGGGGUUAAUUUGGGGACAUUGAGAAAAAACACAAAAACCCUAAAGCCCAAACUUUUCUCUCCACUCAAAACAACUGGCCGACGGCGCCUCCCCCCACUGAUUUUGAAUUUUUUUGUUGUUCCCCGGGGUCCUUGGAUUUUGCUCUCCCAAAACCAGAAAGCCAAGGACCCCCCACCAUCGGAGCCACACAUUUGACCCACACGGUUCACCAUACUCUCGCCUUCUCCUCAGUCGGCCAACAGAACAAACGAAAUCGCCCCACUGAUUUUUUUUUUUUUUUGAUUUUUUCACCAGCCGCCGGCCAAAGCUUCAUCUCCUGAACCCACACAAGACAACCCCGUCUCCAGCUUUUCCCUCUCCGCCGAACACAAACUCUCAGCCCCGCAGACGGUGCCCAGUUCAUCUGCCUCCAGCGAGCUCGACCACUGCCCACCAACCAUCAUCGACUUGGACCGGUCUUCACUGAAACCAACCCGGAGCAGCCCGAACACACCGGCCAACCACAGUCUUUCUUCCUCCAGUAGCGCCGCCCGAAGUAGAGGGGAAGAAGAUGAAGCCCAGCGCCCGCCGCGGCGCAAUCCACUAGUCGCCUCACCAUCUUCACCAUGAGCCGUAGCAGCUCCAUCCACGACAGAUCUUCCUUCCCCUUUGCAACAGAACCGUCGCCGAAGAAGAAGAAAGGAACCACGGACAGCAAAAAAAAAUAAAAUUAAAAGCAGAUCUGAAUAAAAAACUAAAAUCAAUUGCUUGCUGUGUGUUGAGGUUUGCUUUGCAGGUGACUGCCGACGACGAAAGGAUGAGUGGAAAAAGCCGAUCCCCCCUGUUGCUGCGUUUUCUCGUGGAGGCGCGUGAACCCACGCGCCGCUAGUGGCGGUGGCGCGUGGGAAGACGCGCCGCCACUGAUUCUCUGCACCAGAAGCCUCCCAGUACUGUUCCCGUGCACUGUUCCUGCAUGUUCUAGAAGCCUUAGGAUGUUUUAGAGGCUGUUUUGUGAUUUUAAAUUGUUUGAUGUUUUUUUUAUUUAGUUUUUGGAUUUUUAUUUGUAUAUUGUAAAUGUGAAUGUAAUAAGGAAAAGAAAAGAAAGAACAAAAAUAUAGUGAAUGUGUGUGAUUGUAUUUGUUUUAUUUUUUAAAUAUAUUUCUUAUUGAUAAAAUUGCAGAUAUUAAAGAAGAAUUUAAUUUUUUGAUUGGAUCACGGUUAAGAAUUAUUAACUUAUACGUAAGUGAUAUUUCUAAUUUCCGAUGAAAAGACAAUUAUUAAAACUUCUUUAACACAUCAAAAAUCGCGAAGCAGCUUACCUCAGGUAGGGUGCGAUAGGGGUGCUAAUACCUUCCCUAACCGCAACCAGUCCCUUACCCGUGAACCUCUGACGAGACCAGUACAUCUGGUUUCCUAGUAGCCCGCAAUCAAUUACUAGGUGGCAACUCCAACGAACCAAAUUCAAACAUUACGCAACAACGAAAAAUCGCCAGCCGAUGCCGCGCGCUGAUUUUUUUUGGGGUGCGACAAUUUUGACGACUCUGCUAAAAACAAAAUAUAAAAAAAUCCAAGCUUAAUCGAAACAAACCCAUAAAAUAUAUCCAAUUUAUUAGAAAAAACGACAUUCCCUAUAACAAGAAAUAAAAAAAAUGGUAAAAUUAGUAGAUCUAGAAAAAACAAAUAGCAUAUAUAUAUAUAUAUAUAUAAACCUCAUCAAAUUCUUAACAAAUGUCGCACCCAAAAAAAAAAUCGAUGGUCUUGCUGAAGCCGUAGCGGAGAUGGGCUUGCUGUCGAUUGUCAGUUGAAGGAGGAGAUCGGUGGUUGCUUGCUGCUGUGGUCGGGUCUGUUCGUUGACCCGGAGAGGGAGAAAGGGGGAGUGGCCAGCUGCUGUGGUGGCCGUCGCGGCUGUGGAGGGCGAUGGGUCGACUGUUGCCCUGUGGCUGAGGGAAGGGAGGCCUGAUCCGGUGUGAGGCUGAGCUCGGGCUGUUGAAGCUACGGUGGAGCUGGCGGCUGCUGGUCUGUGUUGUCGGCUGAGAAGAAAACCAGUGGUGAUGGAAACCGAAGGAGGAAGAAGAUAGGCCGGCUAUUGAAGGAAAUGAGGGGGCUGGGAGUGUCGCCGCUGGUGAGGGAGAAAGGAAGAAAAAAUCAAACUGGGGGGUUUGGGGGGGGGCUGUUUGGCCGGUGUUCAAAAAAUGCAACAAGGUGGGGGCGGCUGUGUUUUGGCUUCAGGAGAAGAAGGCUCGGGAAAAAAAUUCAAAGGGAGGGGGGCGGCAGGCUUGGUAGAAAUAGGUUUAGGGUUAGGUUGUUUUUUUUUAUAUUUUUUUGUUAUUUCAAAAUUGCCCCCCUUUUUUAAUAUGAGUUGAAGACCAGUAUUUAUAGGCAAAAAAUGUUGCCAAGUUUUUCAACUUGGUCCCUCAACUUCUUUUUUUUUUUAUAAAUUUUGAUUUUUCUUAUUUUUUUGUAUUUUUUGAAAACGAGCAAUAUCAACGUCGACUCAAAUACGGAAAAUCAAUGAUUUUAAAAAUGACGCGUGAAAAGUCGAACGCGUUUGAAAAUCUUUUGAAAAAUUAAAUUCUUUAAAUAAAAAUUAAAUUCUUUUUAGACGACGCUGAAAAUGCUAAAAUGACGAGAAUAUAUUAAAAAAUAUAUUUUUUGGAUUUUCAUUGUUUUUCUCUAUUUUUGGAUUUUUUGAAAAUAUAUUAAAAACAUGGGUCAAAAAUUGGGUAGCAACAGAUGCCCCCUCUUUACAAUGCUUACGAAGCGAAAAUCCUCAAAAUUUUGCAUAGUAAGCUUUGUAUGGGUGACGAACCCAAGAAAAUGAUGGUCUCAUUGUAUGGGUGACGAACCCAAGAAAAAUGAUGGUCUCAUUGUAUGGGUGACGAACCCAAGAAAAAAUGAUGGUCUCAUUGUAUGGGUGACGAACCCCAGAAAAAUGAUGGUCUCAUUGUAUGGGUGACGAACCCAAGAAAAUGAUGGUCUCAUUGUAUGGGUGACGAACCCAGAAAAAUGAUGGUCUCAUUGUAUGGGUGACGAACCCAGAAAAAUGAUGGUCUCAUUGUAUGGGUGACGAACCCAGAAAAAUGAUGGUCUCAUUGUAUGGGUGACGAACCCAAGAAAAAUGAUGGUCUCAUUGUAUGGGUGACCUACCCAAGAAAAAAUGAUGGUCUCAUUGUAAUGGGUGACCGAACCCAUAAAAAUGAAUGGUCUCAUUGUAAUGGGUGACACCCAGAAAAAAUGAAGUGGUCUCAUUGUAUGGGUGACCUACCCAAUGGAAAAAAUAUGAAACGGUCUAUUGAUGGGCGACCUACCCAGAUGGAAAAAAUGUGAUAUGACAAGUGUGAAAAAUAGGACUUACCUGGCGAAGUCUGAAGGGAUGACAGAAGAAAGGGCUGGAAAACUUGGUGCUUCCUGAUAAUUCCCGAUCAUAGGGUUUGAAAACUCGGUGUUUCCUGACUGCAAGGGUUGAAAACUCGAGGCUUCCCGAUUGCAAGGUUGAUCUAUUCAUUUCUUUGGGAUUUUCCUAAUGGUAGGGUUCAUCCCAUCGUCCUUUUAUUCCAUGAUCAAAACCGAUUCUUUAUUAUCAUCACCACAAUGCUUCUUUCUCUUUCCACCAUCUUGCUGGACCUCAUUAAGGAUUUUCCUGUAACAAUUCAAAAAUAUGUGCAAAUGUUUUUUUUUUUUUUUUUUUUUUGAGGUUAGAUGAUAUGCAUGCAUCCUUACCUGAUUUGAAAUAUAGGUCCCCCCUCUUUGAUGCUCCAUCGUCAUAGGGUGCCCUUGUUUGUAUCCCAAAGCUUUCUUUGUUCUUCCGAUGCAUUGGCUCAUUCAUGUGUUAGCCAUCCACUCAGCUGUAAAUGCAGUGCCCAUCCCGGGCUGUCUUCGACAAUUACUGCUUGCAUCGUUCAUCAAGCUUGACCCUGCCCCCAAGUGUGGUACUGCUUGAUUCAUCAUGAAGGAUUUUCUCUCCUGGCUUCUUCUGAGAAUUAUCCUCUGAUUGAUUGUGUGCAUCAUGCCAACACCCAUCACGUUUGUUAAUCAGUCAUGAACUUGCCUUCGGUUGAAACACCAUUCAAGUAUGUAUGGUCACCAGCCUUCAUGGAACUGCCAAGUCAUCCAGACAUGUAUCUCAUGCUUUGCAGUAAACAGCUCAUCAUUGUAAGCGCGAUGUAUUUCUCUAUGGAUUCCUCUUAGCUUGUCAAAUCAGAUCGUGAAAAUACCUGCUUUGGCAUCAUCAAUGAUGUUCAUGUUAUCACCCAUAUUCAUGCGGUGAAGUGCGCAUUUGAGCUUCAGAAUAGAUGGUCCCAUCGUAAAUCUUGGUGGUAUGCAUAUGUUCGAUGUUCAUCCAAAUGCACUCACCCGAUAACAUCUGUCCGGAGUCAUAUCCAUGUUUUACAAAGUAACCUAAGAUGAAGAUAUGAAAAUAUCUUUCUAGUGCAGCGUUGCUCAUCAAUUGCUGCUGAAGUGCACUAGAUCAUGGAUUGUCUUUGAACAACAUUGGCCCCAGUAUGAUCUGAAGGUUUGUUCAUCGGUUUAUACUCAAGAAAGUUUUUCUUUGUCAUUGUCAUAACACAAUUUUGGGUUAUUCCCCAAAUUUCACUUUUUUUCAAAAUAAAAAUAAAAAAAUAGAAUAAAUGCUGGCACUGUGGAGGAAGAAGAUAAAAAAAGACUGCAAAAAUAGGCAAAAAUCGAAGGUCAAAUUAAAUGCAAAUUCGAAGGUCAAAUUAAAUGAUUAUUGGAUGAAUUUGCAUAAAAAUUAAGUCCAAUGACAUAAUUAAAUUUUUAAUGGGCCAAUUUGAUUUAAUCAUGGGCCAAAUUAAAUUUUAAUUAUGUUUAAGAAUUAAUUUAGGUCAAAUUGAAGGAUUUAAUUAAGUGCAAGGACUUAAUUAUACUUUAAAUGGGUCAAAUUAAUUUGGGGACUUAAUUGGUGAAAAAUUAAGUUUGGGAGUCUAAUUUGGACUUAAUUGAAAAGAUUAAAAUUUUAAGAGACCAAAUUUAAUUUUUCACCAAGUGAAUUGAUUGAAAAAUUGAGGGACCAAUUUUGAGACCCGAAAAGAAUGGCUUGCCUAUAAAUAGCAGCUUACAAAAUUUGGUAGAGGGGGGGUUCAUUUUGUAAUUUUGGGAAGAAAGAGAGAACCCUAAAAAACUAAAAUUUGAAAGCAGCCGCCAGGGAGACCCCCCCCGUUUUGGGAAAUUUUUUCCUUCUCCGAUCACAGCUGCCAGCUCCCCUUUUGAUUUAUUUUUCCUUCUCCCUCAGUCGGCCACCACCCUUCUUUCAAAAACUACCCGAAGCCAUCACCAUUUUUUUUUCCUUGCCAAAAAUCUCAUCCCCUGUGCACCAGCCUCAUUUUACUCCUCUCAACUCAGCCCUCAUUUUUCUAUGGCGUAGGGACCACAACAACCUCUUCUCCUUCUCAGUUACAGGAACAAAAGGCAAACCGGAGCAGCUCUUGACAACCAUUCACCCCACUCUCUGAAAAUCAGCCGGACAGUCAGCCACAACUCCUCUCUCUCUCCCCGGACGAUCUGACUUCCAGCACCUUCUCCGGCAACCGACACUCCCUUCUUCAUCCUCGGCGACCAGCCACAACAGUGUUGCCAUCACUGGAGACCCAGCAGCACAGACCUCGGCUGUUCCCUCAACAGGCGGCCAACAGCAACGACGAAGCAGCACCGAGAACCAGCCGCCGGAAGAAAUAGCUCCACCGUAGCUUCAACAGACCCAGCUACAACAGUGCCCGCAGGCCGGCCACUGAAUGGAGUCCUGCACAGAAGCAAGUCGUCGUCUUCCUCCAGCGCUCCUUCCACGACAAACUGACCACCUGAAGAAGGAGAAAAUGGCAAACCGAGAGAGAACAUAAGGAUUUGAACAGAUCUGAAAAAUAAUCAAAUAAAAUCGACUGUUUGUGUUCCUUUCUUUGAUUGCAGGUGACGGGCAGCAGGAGAUUGAAGAGGGGAGGAAGCCAUUACAGCCCCCUCACGCCGCCUGAAUUUCUGGGCGGCGCGUGAACCCAAGCGCCGCCAGUGACGGUGGCGCGUGGGAAGACGCGCCACCAGUGUACAACGACCACAGAAGAUGCCCAGAAUUCCCCAGCACUGUUCCCGAAGCUAUUUUGGAAUUUUCAAAUGUUGUUGUGUAUAUUUGGGCACUGUUGUGUUUUGAUUUAUUUGAUUAUUUUUUCUUUGUUAUGUUGUAAACAUGUAAUUGUGGGUGAGUCAGCAUAAUAAAAGGAGAUGUGUGUGUGUGUGUUUUUAUUAUUAUUAUUAUUAUUUAUUAUAUUGAAUUAUAAAAAUAAUAAUAAAGAAAAAACAAAAAAGAAUUAAUUGUUUAAUUUGAACAUGCACAAAUUCUAAGGAUGGAUAAAAUCAUGUUGUAUUUUCCAUGAAAAUGUAAGAACAUGUUUCUACAUAUAUUCUGGAAAUUAAUAACUGAUGUAUCGUAGCCUUAGAAGUGGGCUAAAAUUCUAUUUUUAAAAUUACAUCAAGCUCACGAAGCUUGAAUGUGGUGUGUGUAUUUUGUUUGCAAAUUUUUUAUGAUAAAAUUGCAGGAAUUAAGAAGGAUUUAAUAUUUUGAUUGGAUCACGGUGUAGAAGUACAAACUUGUACGGAAGUUGUAUUUCUAAAAUCCGAUGAAAAGACAAUUUUUAAAACUUGUUUUAACACAUCAAGUCCACGGAGCAGCUUACCUCAGGUAGGGUGUGUUAGGGGUGCUAACACCUUCCCUAACCACAAUCAGUCCCUUACCCACGAGUCUCUGACCAUGACCAGUCUAUCAGGGUUUCCUAGUAACCUCAAUUAAAUACUAGGUGGCGACUCCUAAAGAACCAAUUCAAGCGAUACAACGAGAGACAUAAAUCGGCAGCCGAUGCCGCGCGUGGCAUUUUUCGACGUGCGACAGAAUGGCGACUCCACUGGGGAGGUAUUGACAAUUUGGACUAAGCUUUGUGUACUUGAUGUGUUUAAUUUUUGCCAUUUUUGUCUUGCUUUAUUUUAUGCAUGCAUUUUUAGAAUUGUUUCAUGCAUCACUUGUAUUUAUUUUUGAAAGCACACACAAGCUUCUAAGUUAGGUGGGGAGUAGCAGUCUACCUCAUGACUUUCAGUCGGAGUUCAGAUUUGUGAAACAUCCAACUAUGAGCUGAGUGUUUACUCGGUAAUGGCGGUCACAUGGUGCCCCAACCAUUCCUUGUAAACCCCUAUACUGCCUUCACGUGAGGUCGUCACUGGGCAGUUCAUAGACCCUUUUGAGACCAGGUAGAAAACCUACCCAUGUUCACACAAUGAAUAGAACCUGUCCUUAGGUUGUAUGUGCUAUCAUUUAUUUGUAUCGGGAUGAACCCUUCUUGAAGCAUCUUGAACUCAAGAUUUGUGGGUGACACAUUGGUCGUCACUCGGAAAAUUUUCAUUGUAGAGUUCGGGCAAAAAUCAUGAUUUUUGUUCCAUCAUACAAGAGUACCAUGUUGUCACCCCUCGAAGGGCGAGUUCAUCAUAUAGACUUCAUGUUCAUACAUUUGUCAUGCAUGCACCAGAAUAAAAAGUAGGUCCCCUCUGAGUCUACAACACCUGAUUUUAAGAGAAAAAACAUUGGAGACAAAGAGCGUGCUCACCGCAGCAUCCAUUUCCAAGAAGAGUUAGAGUCUCUGAAAUCAAGUGUGGCUCGCCUCACUAGCUUACUUAAGCAUAUACUGAGAAAUGCCUCUGGUGAAGGUCCUUCCAAUCGGCCAAUUAUUUUUGUUCAGCCCCAACUCAACCCGAAGAAAUUAGGGGCCAACAUGAUCAAGAGCCUCAACACAAUCUGAAGGGGAAUUGCAUCACCGUUGCAAAAUAGAGCCUGUUCUUGCUCUGCCAAAAUCACUACCUCUGUUUGAUCAUGCCUCCAAAAACUUGAUUUUUUGUUUCAACCUAUUCUAGUUUUUGUUGGUAAUUUGGCUCAAAUUUCCACAAGACUUUCUCUGCCAAAUGAGCCUUUCCUGUUAAUAAAAUCGUGUUUUCUUUUUUUGUGUUCAUGCAAAUAACAUACUGAGCACACCUUUGUACUUACAAAACCAUUGCGCCAAGAAUCUUUGGGCGUGUUUCCCCUUUCUUCCAAAACUAUGCAUGUUUUCACAAGGAUUUUUGGGAAAUUAAAGUUUAGUACAAAAACAAAAAUCAUUUUGGUGUUUGUUCGAAACAAACAAGUUCUGGAAAUUAAGGUGAUUCCUUAGAGAGGUAAUCAUACACCUAGAAAACCAAAAAAAAACACCAUGAAGUGACUACAAAAGCUAAGUUUUGAUUGCAUGAAUAAUGAGAAAUCACUCUGCAUACUCGCAUGAAAGCAAGGCUUAUCGAUCCUAAAUGCAUGCAUUUGAGAUGAAGAAAGGCCAUCUUUGAUAAUCUUUUCACAAUGCUGAAAUAUAUCCUUUGCAAUCCCCUUUGGAGCCUAAUAAAUUUUUCUUGAAAAAUAACCUUGGCUAGGAUCACACCCUACACUAGGGGGCAAGUGCAAAAAAAAUCCAUAAUGAUUGAAAGUGCCCAAAUAACUCUUGGGGGCAUGAAAAAGUCUUCAACAAUGAAAGUGCCCAAACAAUACUGGGGGGCAUAAAAGAAAAUCUCAAUCAUCAAAGGUGCCCAUACAAAGCUAGGGGGCAUGAAAAAAAAUCCAAAGGAUCCAAAAUUUUGAGCAAAAAACAAGGCCAAUGCAAUGAUGCUCAAAAUCAAAUGAAGAAAAGAAAAACAAAGAGAAAGAGCCCAAGCCCAACAUUGGGGGGCACCGUGGACCAUUUUACAAAUAAAUUCCAAGGUCCAGAAAUGUAUGAACAAAAGAGUUUGGGAUAUAAGCACUAGUGAUCCUUAGUCUUAAAGUCCCAUAAACAAUUUUUAAGCCUACAUAUAUCCUUUUCUUCAUAGCCAAUAGCCCAAGCCUACAUUACGUGCCUAAUCAAGCCCUUUCUGAUCAAAGGCAAGCAAUCUGGAUCGAUAGGCAAUGCUUUCUCAUGCGAGAUAAAGUCAUUAUUCAUGCAAAUAAAAUGAAUGCUUUGACAACGGUUCUAAAUAACCCUCAAAUUGAAAUUUCAACCUUUUGUGACCAACCAAAUGUCACUUCAUAUUUUUCACCAAAAUCAAAACAAAAAGUUUUCAUCACUUCUGAAAACCUCUCCAUAGGAAUCACUUGAAUUUCUUCAGAAUGAGUUCGCUUUGAAUCGAUGUUAAAAUGAUUUCUGUGUCUGGAAUAGCUUUGAAAUUCCAAAAAUUCUGCAUGAAAACAACUCCUUGUCAAACCUUCCUUCACAUAGCCUCAUCCCGAAACCCGAAUUGAAUACUUGGGGGCAUGAUCAAGCUAGGGGGCAAUCAAAAACAUUUGGUAGAGCUGGCUCCAUGAUUCCCUUUCGAAGAAACUAUUGGGCAAAAUUGGCAACCCUUGAGAUAAAAGGGGCGGAGAACAAAGAAGUGAUGACAUCAACUUUCCUAGAGGCCAAGAUUGUAAGAUAUUUCUCGAGUAAGCAAGGGGACAAAAGCCAUCAAAGCUUACUAUCAGAGACUCAAACUUUUGAGAAAAGGAGAACUCCAUGAAGAAAAGGGGACCUAUACUUCUUAGGUAAGUAUACAUGCAUAUAUUGAUCAUGAUGCAUUUCUUUCAUCCUUAACAGAUCGAUGUCUCACCAUCACCUCUUUUUGAGCGGGUUGCUGAAGCCUUAACCCUCUUAGGUAGUGUGUUUUCCAACCCUGCCUCUUUUGGAGAGCUCCUUCGAGCACUCACUUCUUAGGUAGUGUGUUUUCUAACCCUACCUCCUUUUUUAGUGUGCCUUGGAGCCCUAACCUUCUUAGGUAGUGUGUUUUCCAACCCUACCUCCUUUUGAGAGCUCCUUCGAGCACUCAUUUCUUAGGUAGUGUGUUUUCUAACACUACCUCCUUUGUUAGUGUGCCUUUGAGCCCUAACCCCUUUUAGGUAGUGUGUUUUCCAACCCUACCUCCUUUUGAGAGCUCCUUCGAGCACUCAUUUCUUAGGUAGUGUGUUUUCUAACCUUACCUCCUUUUUUAGUGUACCUUUGAGCCCUCGAUCACCUUUAGGUAGUGUGUUUUCCAACCCUACCUCUUUUUGAGUGUCCCUUCGAGCACUCAUUUCUUAGGUAGUGUGUUUUCUAACCCUACCUCCUUUUUUAGUGUGCCUUUGAGCCCUAACCCCCUUUAGGUAGUGUGUUUUCCAACCCUACCUCUUUUUGAGUGCCCCUUCGAGCACUCACCCCUUAGGUAGUGUGUUUUCUAACCCUACCUCCUUUUUUAGUGUGACUUCGAGCCCUAACCCUCUUAGGUAGUGUGUUUUCUAACCCUACCUCCUUUUUUAGUGUGCCUUCGAGCCCUAACCCUCUUAGGUAGUGUGUUUUCCAACCCUACCUCUUUUUGAGUGCCCCUUGGAGCACUCACCUCUUUGAUAAUGUGUUUUCUAACCAUACCUCCUUUUGAAUGCUCAUUUGAGACCCCAAACAUCUUAGGUAGUGUGUUUUCUGACCCUACCUCCCCUUUUGAGUGCGCCUUAGAGCCUUCAACCCUUAGGUAGUGCGUUUUUCAACCCUAUCUCAUUUUAAGUGCGCCUUAGAGCCAUCAACCCUUUAGGUAGUGCGUUUUCCAACCCUAUCUCUUUUUAAGUGCGCCUUAGGGCCAUUAACCACCUUAGGUAGGGCAUUUUCCAACCUUACCUCCUUACCUCUUUUCGAGUGCACCUUUGAGCCCUCGAUCACCUUUAGGUAGUGUGUUUUCCAACCCUGCCUCCUUUUUUGGUACGCCUUCGAGCCUUAACCCUUUAGGUAGUGCGUUUUCCAACCCUGCCUCUUUUUUAGCGCGCCUUCGAGCUAACAACCCCUUUAGGUAGUGUGUUUUCUGACCCUACCUCCCCUUUUGAGUGCGCCUUAGAGCCUUCAACCACUUUAGGUAGUGCGUUUCCCAACCUUACCUCCUUUCGUAUGCUCCUUCGAGCCCUCACCACUUUAGGUAGUGAGUUUUCCAACCCUACCUCCUUUUGAAUGCUCCUUUGAACCCUUACCCCUUCGGUAGUGCGUUUUCCAACCUUGCCUCCUUUUUAGAGCUCCUUCGAGCCCUCACCUCUUGUGUAGUGUGCUUUCUAGCCCUAUUUGCCUCCUUUUGAGUGCGCCUUGGAGCACUCACCUCUUAGGUAGUGCGUUUUUCUAACCCUACCUCCUUUCGAGUGCGCUAACCUCCUUUAGAGUGCGCUCUUCAUCCCUCGUUCCCCAUCGAGUCCUAUCAUGUCAUCCCUUUCAGACAUUUUGCCUUUUCGCCCGGGUAGGUCACCCAUUAUAAUCAGACCUCUUUCAAGACUCUUUUCAUUUUCCAUUUGGGCCGGUUGCCCAUAACAAUAAAACCAUUUUGAGAAGUCCUUGCAUUUCUCCCCAUUUUCAAACUUCUUCCAUUUUGGGCCGGUUGCCUAUAACAAUGAAACCAUUUUGAGAAAUCCUUGCAUUUCUCCCUAUCUUCAAACUUCUUCCAUUUGGGCCGGUCGCCCAUAACAAUAAAACCAUUUUGAGAAAUCCUUGCAUUUCUCCUCAUCUUCAAACUUCUUCCAUUUGGGCCAGUCGCCCAUAACAAUGAAAUCAUUUUGAGAAAUCCUUGCAUUUCUCCCCAUCUUCAAACUUCUUCCAUUUGGGUCGGUCGCCCAUAACAAUGAAAUCAUUUUGAGAAAUCCUUGCAUUUCUCCCCAUCUUCAAACUUCUUCCAUUUGGGGCGGUCGCCCAUAACAAUGAAACCAUUUUGAGAAAUCUUCGCAUUUCUCAACCACUUUGAAAAAUCUUUGCAUUUUUCAUCACUUUUCAUCUGGGCCGGUUGCCCAUUACAACAAAACCAUUUUGAAAAAUCUUUGCAUUUUUCAUCAUUUUGAGAAAUCUUCGCAUUUCUCAUCACUUUGAAAAAUCUCUGCAUUUUUCACCUCUUUGAAAAAAAUCUUUGUAUUUUUCAAAAAUUUUCAUCUGGGCCGGUUGCCCAUUACAACAAAACCACUUUGAAAAAUCUUUGCAUUUCUCACCACCUUGAAAACUCUUUUUGUUUUCCAUCUUGGGCCGGUUGCCCAUUACAACAAAACCACUUUGAAAAAUCUUUGCAUUUUUCACUACUUUGAAAAAUCUCUGUAUUUUUCACGUCUUUGAAAAAUCUCUGUAUUUUUUACCACUUUAAAACAUCUUCGUGUUUUUCACCCGGGUAGGUCACCCAUGACAAUUCGACCAUUUCAAAAUCUUUGAAUUUUUUUUUAAAAAAAAUCUUCCUUUUUUUCUUCUUUACAACGCUUACUAUCUAAAGUCUCCUACGAGACUUUCUAUCAUAAGCAUUGUAAAGAGGGGGGCAACUGUCAUAACACAAUUUGGGUCAUUCCCCAAAAAUUUCUUUUUUUCAAAAUAAAAAUAAAAAAAUAAAAUAAAGGCUGCAACGUGGAGAAGGUAAAAAAAGCUGCAAAAAUGCAAAUCGAAGAAUACAAUGCAAAUUCAAGGUCAUAUUAAAUGAUUAUUGGACGAAUUCGCAUGAAAAUUAAGUCCAAGGACAUAAUUAAAUUUUUAAUAGGCCAAUUUGAUUUAAUCAUGGGCCAAAUUGAAUUUUAAUUAUGUUUAAGAAUUAAUUUGGGUCCAAUUGAAGGAUUUAAUUAAGUGCAAUGACUUAAUUAUACUUUAAAUGGGUCAAAUCAAUUUUAUUUGGGGCUUAAUUGGUGAAAAAUUAAGUUUGGGAGCUUAAUUGAGAAGAUUGGAAUUUUAAGAGACCAAAUUUAAUUUUUACCAAGUUGAUUGUUUGAAAUCAGGGAUCAAAUUGCAAGAAAAUUGAAGUUUUGGGGUCAAUUAGGGGUAAAAUUGACAAAAUCCAAAGACAAGGACCAACUUGCAAAAGGCGCCAAACUAUAGGGGUCUAAUUGACUGGAGGGCUAAAUUGCAAAUUGAAAGACAUUGAACGCUAGAGGGCUAAAUUGAAAAUCAGCAAAAAGCCCUAAUUUUUAUCCCAAACGGCGCCGUUUUUGUGUUGAGGGAAGGGACCAGGCGACGCGUCGCCCGGUUACUGUUCAUCGUCUUCCUCACAAAGCUGCCCGAGUGGCUGCUUUCCAGGCGCGUUUUCUCACUCGUUGGCCCCCAAAUCCGACAAGGCGUGCACCAACAUGUUCCCCUGAAACAUCUUUAUCUCGUAGAGUGGUCGGUCGGGUAACAACUUGGACAGCUCCGUUUAUUGGCCCAAAGUGGCACCCUCGGGCAGUCUGCAGCCUUGGAUUGCCAAAUUUGGCAGUUCGAGGUGCACACUUUGAACCAACGGCUUGGAUUCCUCGAGUCGAAUCAAGGCUGAGACUUUUUCCCCGUUGAACACAGAUUACCCUCUUUCCAUCCCUAUAAAUAGGAGCCAAUUUAAUGCUCAGAGGAGGAGAAACCUGAGCUCAAAGUUGGGAAAAAUCAGUUUUUCCUGCCCGGUUUUCCUGCAACCAGUCCUCUCUUUUUUUUUCUCUCCGCCGUGGCCUCUAGUUGCCACCACUGACCUCGCCACCAUCCUCUCCCUGAAACACCACAUCCAUCCAUCACCCAGCAACCUCACCGAAGCCUGCAACCUCCUCUCUCUCCUCUCUUUCUGCAAAACGUUUCUCUCUCUCACCACCGCAAUCCCAGCAGCAGCAGCGUAACCACCCUUUCCAGCGGCUUGCACUUCUAUCAGCAGCAUCUUGGGAAGCAUCUCCUCCUCAGCCACACCAACAACUCCAGCCGUGAGCUUUCCCUCUCCUCUGCAGGGCUUGUUUCCUUCUUCUUCCAGCCGGGACCAGUGCACGCUGCCGGCCUCGCCGCCUCCAGCUUCACCGCGCGCCACCAGUCGGGCCACCAACUCUCUCCACGCCAGGUAAUUCUCUCCUCCCUGCUCCACCAUUUUCGUUUUCGUUUCUGCAUGCAGUGGCUAAUUAAUUAGACACUUGUUUGGGCCGGGCCGGUUCUGGCCCAGCCCGGCCCAAAAAAAAAAAAAAAAAAUUUCAAAAAUAUUCAAAAAAAUCAUGUAAAAAUUUGUGGUUUUCUUAAAUAUUUUUCCACCAAGUUUUGCAUAAUAUCGGGUUGUAUAUUUACAUUGUAAAAUACAAAUUCGGUAUUAAAAUACCUGGUUUUCUCCAAAAUAUUUCAAAAAAAAAAAUCAAAACAUUUCCAAAAAGAAAAAAAAUAUUUCAUUGCAUACAGAAAAAAUCCAAAAACUUUUCCAAGCAUAUUCUUUGUAAAAACAAAAAUUGCAUCUUUUUCAUGUUUUUUAAAUGGAUAUCGUAACCAGAUUAUGAUUGUCCAUUAGGAUUUGGCCAAAAUGUCAAAAACCUUUUUUCAAUCUUUUUUCCUGGGAUCCGGAUGUAGACUUUAAUAUUGGUGGGGUGUAAAAUUACGCGAUAAUGUACAUCCUCGGGUAUUAAAGAUACAAGGUGUAAAUAAAAGCAAUUUUAAAAUUAAGACUUUAGAAUGGUUAGGAUUUAACCGAAUAAGGUAGAGACUUCCUCACGAGGGGAGAUCUGCCUUGAACCUUAGAAAAGACCAGCGAAUAGAAACCCGACCUAGAAAAACAAUCAAACAAUAAUGCAGUUUGCCUUAGGUAGGGUGCACUGGGGGUGAUGCGUCUUCCCCUUGCACAACCAGUCCUUACUCAGACUCUCGCAGACCUUAGGUUCGUAGUGACCAUAACACUAGGUGGCGACUCCCAACAAAACAAAUCAACACAACAACAAUGAGAGACAAAUCGCCAGCGGAUGUCGUGCGGAAUUUUUUGACGUGCGACAGUCAUUGUCAGAUGCUAAACAUAACUUUGAUGAACUUUGACAACUCAUCAUCGGAUCCUUUCUUUGACCCCAGCUGAUCAGAAUGUUGUUUGUUUUUCUUCUAAGGGUCCACUGUAUUGCCCCCAGGUGGUUAACAUUUCAAGGAGUGUCGGGAAAUUGAUGUCAUUUUUGUCAAGGAUUUUGCAAACUCAAUUGAUGUUCUUGUUUGAAAAUCUUUCUUGUUCUAGAAUCAAAUCUCAUAUUUCAAAGAUCAUGUUUAUUCAAAGUCUAGUUGUUGAGAUGAAAUCAGAGAGAUAUCAGUUUUUUUUGUUUUUUUAAAGUAUUUUUGAAAUUCAAGCUUCUUUGAUCAAAGACCCAACACACGUCAUUCAAUGUAGUCCUUCGAUUGUCUUGUAUUUUGAAAACAGAAAUCGACCCGUUGUAAGAUUAAAAAUGGUCUUUUCCAUGGUUCUUUGUGUCCACUUUAAACUCUGAUUUUGGGUAUAUCUUUUGAUGGUCUGCGAUGAGGUGACCUUCUGUGAAUUUCAAGGAAAACAACAGGCUCAAGUCAAAACUUGAGGAUUCAUGAAGGAAAAAUGUUUUGUUUUUUAGCAAUAAUUUUAUCAACAUGCAUAACGACCGGUAACUUAAUUCAUGAAGCCACGACUCUUAUGGAAAAACUCUUCAAGUUUUGAGAGCGCCAUUUAUCGGUUCAAGUUGCUUGCUUGAUUAAAAAGGGCUUUUAAAAAGCAUGUAAUGCAGGCUAUGGUUCAUGGCUAUGAAAGAAAGGAAUUUCAAAGGCUCAAAAGGUGUUUGAGGGUUUUAAAAACCUAGGAUCAACAUCAAUUAUUCAUCAACUCAUUUUCUAUUGUUGUCUUUGUAGAGGAAACGACAUAGAACCUUGUUAACCUCAAAGAUCAGACUUCUAUUAACAUAAGUCAUAAUGCAAAUCCAACUUUCUUUGAGGAAUAACCAACCUUAAUCAUCUGAUAACAUCGUAGGCUUUAUAAUGGAUACCAAAAGUCAACGCUUAUAGCUUAGUCUUUUUCCGGUAUUGACUUUUGUUGUACCUUUCCUUGAUUGAAAUUUCUUUGCUCUUUCUAGACUUGAUAGGCAUUUUCCUUCCUUUAUCUUUGACUUGUAUUUAAGUGAAGACAAUUUCAACUUCUUUUUUUUUUUUUUGUUUUCAUAGCCUUCCUCAAAACUUUCUUAUAUGCCCCUGUUGCUACCCAAUUUUUGACCCAUGUUUUUGAUAUAUUUUCAAAAAACAUCCAAAAAUUGAGAAAAACAAAGAAAGUCCAAAAAAAUAUGUUUUUAAUAUAUUUUCGUCAUUUUAGCAUUUUCAACGUCGUUUAAAAUUUUUUUUUUAAGGGUCUUUCGAACGCGUUCGACUUUUCACGCGUCAUUUUUAAAAUAAUUGAUUUUCCGUAUUUGAGUCGACGUUGAUAUUGCUCGUUUUCAAAAAAAUACAAAAAAACAAGAAAAAUCAAAUUUUACAAAAAAAUAAAAAUAAAAAUUAAGGGACCAAUUUUGAGGCCGAAACAAUAUUUUUGCCUAAGGGAAUUUUGAAUUUUGGAAGGAGGGGCAACCUAUCUGUAGAGGAGCCGAGCCGAAACGGAGAAAAAGAGAAACCGAAGCAGAUCUCAAAAAAACAAAGGAAAUAAAAUCUAAAAUCAACUGUUUGUGGCCUUUUGUUUGCGUUUCUUGUGGCAGGUGAAGUUAGCAGUCACCGCGGGCGAGGAAGAAGGGAGUAUCUCCCCUGUUGCUGUUCUUUUUUUUCGGCGGCGCGUGAACCCACGCGCCGCCAGUGACGGUGGGCGCGUGGGAAGACGCGCCGCCCGUGUUAGCUGCCCAGAAUAUGUUUCCAACACUGUUCCGGUGGUGCCCCAUAAAUUCCAGAUUGUGUUGGGGCUGUUUUUUUUUGUAAAUUUUAAAUAAUUAAUGUAAUUUUUUAUUUUGAUGUUUUGAAUUUGUAUUGUAUAAAUGUGAUGGAAAAGAAAAGAAAAAUAAAUAAUAAAAAAUUGUGCUGUGUGUUUGUAUUUUUUUCUUAUGACAUUGAAUUAUAAAAAAUAAAAAAAAGACAAAAAUAAUUAAUUGUUAAUUUAAAUAUGGUUAAAUAUCUUAAGGACCAAAAUAAAAUCAAGUUGUAUUUUCCACGAAAAUGUAAGAACAAGUUUUUUUUAACAUAUAUUCGGGGAUUUAAUAACUGAUUUAUUCAAGCCUUAGAAUUUAAUUAAUAUUUUAAAUUUUCUUAAGUAUGGUUAAAUAUCUCAAGGACAAAUAAAAUCAAGUUGUAUUUUCCAUGAAAAUGUAAGAACAAGUUUUACAUAUAUUCGGGGAUUUAAUAACUAAUUUAUUCAAGCCUUAGAAUUUAAUUAAUAUUUUUAAAUUUUCAAAUCACAUUAGAACACAAUGCAGCUUACCUCAGGUAGGGUGUGUUAGGGGUGCUAAAUACCUUCCCUAACCACAACCAGUCCCUUACCCGCGAUCUCUGACAAGACCAGUACAUCAGGUUUCCUAGUAGCCCUCAAUGAAUUACUAGGUGGCGACUCCAACGAACAAAUUCAAAGCAAACGCAACAAAACGAUGAAAAAUCGCCAGCCGAUGCCACGCGAUUUAGGAUUUUUUUUGGGGUGCGACAUGCCCCGAGUCUAUGUGUCUUCUUCUAGCUCUCUCAAUCAUUUGACUUUUGUUCUAAGCCUCCCCUUUAUCCAUUAAUUAUAUCGAUGCCUUCAAAAUAUCUCUCAUUUACCCCAAGUGUGGGGUGUGAUCCUAGUCAGGGUUUUUUUUGAAAGAAAAUAUUUUCAGGCUCAAAAUGGGACUGCAAGGGAUAUAAUUUUAGAAAGUGAAGGGAUAUCAAAGAUGGCCUUUUCUCAUUUCAAGCAAGGUCGGUUAGAACCGAUAAAUUUUGACCUCAUCCAGUGUAAUGAUUUGGACUUGUAAGAAUCAUGAUUCACGAGUCCAUAACUACCAAUCCACUACAUGUCAUUAUGCAUACUGCUAAAACUUAGCUAUAUGAUGUGUGGUUCAGUUUCAAGGUAUGAGUUCAAAAUUGUUUGUCACCUCAUGUCAUUUUCAAGCAUCGAGUCAUUUCUGUAAUCAAAACACUUUUAAUCUUCCGGAUUGAUUAACCUUUAUCGCAUGUUGGAGUUUGAUCAAAAUAUUUUGUCAGAAUAAAAUGUAAACAUCUGUUGAUUUCAAAACAACAAAAGACAAAAGCAAGGCAUGUUUCGUUGAAGGAUGAGAUGUGAUCCCAAAACAAAAUGCAGAAUUCCAAAACAAUAUGAUUGACUGUUCAUCACCAUUCUUGAAUCAGCUUUUCUGGCAAUAUUGUUUUGCCAAGCACUUUCGAUCAACAUGUCAUUCUGAAGAUGUUCGGGGACAAUAUAGCCAAUGACACCCUCCUUCACGACUCCACUUGUCUCUUGCUCACCAACUUUCAGCAAUUCUUGCAAAUGUUCACUUGAAAUGGUUGAGGACCCCACCAUGACAUCACAUCUCUUAUCUGGAUUAUACCACCUAGAAAUUGGUGGUUGCAUGGGAUUUGUCGGAGUCAAGCAAAAUUCUGGAAUCUGGCAGAUGCUGGUCGACAAACUUAAGGCAGAGGAAUGUCCCAUCUUGGCAAAGACAUUUGAGCAAUUGAUGCUACCGUGAGACCUGGCUAUACCACAUAAUUAAGGGUUCACACCGUCAAAGUCAUCUCCUGAUUCACCUCUCAUCAUUGUUCUAGAAUCCAUGGCAGAUCCUUCAAUCUUUCUCUCUCUUCAUAGCUUGUUCAAUUCUUCGGCAAAUCCUCACAACAUUAUUUCAAUCUUCCAAUGUUGCUAUGGUUGGUUGAGGAUUGUUAGAAAACUUUCUAACAGCUUGGUAAUCUUGGCAGCGCCCAGAAACUUGUAGUAUCGCCACUACCACGUGUGGAAUCACCUUAUCUCUUCUAUGGAGAAAACGAUGAACAUGAAUCUCCUCUUUUCUUCUUUCGAUUCCUGAAGUGCAGCAAACAAACACCUAUAGAGGAAGUUGCUCUGUUGAAGUUUCAGUCUUCUUCAUGUUUUUCAGUCUAGGCAUGUCUCUUCUCUCUACUUUUGCGUUUUAAUACUGACACUGUUGGAGGAAAAUCAUAGAUGAUCUGAAACUACUGUAUUCCUUCUUGGAUUUCCCACUUGCGGAUCCACAAACAGAUUCCUGCCGAGAGAGCUCUGCUACGUUGAAGUUUGAUGUCUGCUCAUAUUUUUCAGACCAGGUCUGGCUCUUCAACCUACUAAGUCUUCGUGCUGAAACUGAUGAGAGAAAUAUUUGUAGCAUAUGCAACUUAUAAAUCCCCUCUUGCACUUCCCAAUUUGCAGAGCCAUAAAUGGAUUUUUGUAGAGAGCUCUGCCACAUUGAAGUUCAGUGUUCAAUCAUGGUUUUUCAGACCAUCUUGUGCUGCUGAACUGGAAUAAUCGGGGUAACUUCAAAGCAGAUAAUGCACCAUGUACAGGAGGCUAGUAGUUGUUUGGUUCCAUUAGAUGAUGUGGAGGCGAUGAACACUUAACAGCAACUGACAGAAUCGAGUUGUCAUUAGUUGAUGACUGAAGGCAUUGUUGUUUGUUCAUGACGGAAAAGGAGAGAUACAACUUCAAUUGGAUGGAACAAGCAGUGUUCCCACAGAAACUGUGCAGACAUCUCUUUCCAUUUGAUGCUCAACACUUGUUCGAGCAGAUCUGAGUCCGCUACUUCACCUUGAUGCUCUCAACCUUAAUCUGAUAAUGAGCCUAUAUGACUCCUUUCUUCACUUCCAUUAUUUUCUUCAAUCACGUGCAGCACAGCUUGUGGGGGACCUACCUUUCACCCGGUACAUGCAUGAUAAAUGUAUGAACAUGUAAUCUAUAUGAUGAACUCACCCUUCGAGAGGUGACAAUAUGGUCGUAACUCUUGUAUGAUGGACAAGAAUCGUGAUUUUUGCCCAAACUCUACAAUGAAAAUUUUCGGAGCAACGGCCAAUGUGUCACCCACAAGUCUUGAGUUCAAGAUGCUUCAAGAAGGGUUUGCCCUUAUGCAAAAAACGAUAGCACAUACAACCUAAGGACAGGUUCUAUUCAUUAUGUGAACAUGGGUAGGUUUUCUAUCUGGUCUCAAAAGGGUCUCAUAUCUGCCCAGUGACGUUCUUCGUAAAGACAGUAUGGGGGCGUUGCAAGGAAUGGUUAAGGCACGUAUACCCACCAUUACCAAGCAGGCACUCAGAUAUGAGUUGGGUGUUUCACGCAUCUGAACCCUGACCAAUAGUCUUAGGGCAGAUCGCUAGUUCCCCACCUAACCUAGAAGCUUGUGUGUGCUUUCAAAAAUAAAUACAGGUGAUGCAUGAGACAAUUCUAUAAAAUGCAUGGAAAUAAAUAUUAACAAAAAAGAUAAAAAUGCAAAAACUUAAACACAUCAAAUACACAAAGCUUAGUCCAAUAAUGUCAGAAACAGUACCUUCCCCAGUGGAGUCUCCAUUUUGUCGCACCCCAAAAAAAAUCAGCGCGCGGCAUCGGCUGGCGAUUUUUCGUUGUUGCGUAAUGUUUGAAUUUGGUUCGUUGGAGUCGCCACCUAGUAAUUGAUUGCGGGCUACUAGGAAACCGGAUGUACUGGUCUCGUCAGAGGUUCGCGGGUAAGGGACUGGUUGCGGUUAGGGAAGGUAUUAGCACUCCUAACGCACCCUACCUGAGGUAAGCUGCUUCGCGAUUUUUGAUGUGUUAAAGAAGUUUUAAUAAUUGUCUUUUAAUCGGAAAUUAGAAAUAUCACUUACGUAUAAGUUAAUAAUUCUUAACCGUGAUCCAAUCAAAAUAUUAAAUUCUUCUUUAAUAUCUGCAAUUUUAUCAAUAAGAAAUAUAUUUAAAAAAUAAAACAAAUACAAUCACACACAUUCACUAUAUUUUUGUUCUUUCUUUUCUUUUCCUUGUUACAUUCACAUUUACAAUAUACAAAUAAAAAUCCAAAAACUAAAUAAAAAAAACAUCAAACAAUUUAAAAUUACAAAACAGCCUCUAAAACAUCCUAAGGCUUCUAGAACAUGCAGGAACAGUGCACGGGAACAGUACUAGGAGGCUUCUGGUGCAGAGAAUCAGUGGCGGCGUGUCUUCCCACGCGCCGCCGCCACUGGCGGCGCGUGGGUUCACGCGCCUCCACGAGAAAACGCAGCAACAAGGGGGAUCGGCUUCUUCCACUCAUCCUUUCGUCGUCGACAGUCACCUGCAAAGCAAACCUCAACACACAGCAAGCAAUUGAUUUUAGUUUUUUAUUCAUAUCUGCUUUUAAUUUUCUUCUGCCCGUUUCGGAUCUGCUCCUCUUUCUCUUCUUCUCCGUUGCAGAUUUGCUUUUAUCUGCAGAUCAGUCCGUGUGUUUCUUCUUCUUCUUCUCCUCUACUUCAGGCGGCCGAUCUGGUGGUUGCAAAGGGGAUCGCGGUUGUGGUCGCUGCUGCUGUCGUCCGUUCGGCGGCUGAAGCCGUAGCGGAGAUGGGCUUGCUGUCGAUGGUCGGUUGAAGGAGGAGAUCGGUGGUUGCUUGCUGCUGUGGUCGGGUCUGUUCGUUGACCCGGAGAGGGAGAAAGGGGGAGUGGCCAGCUGCUGUGGUGGCCGUCGCGGCUGUGGAGGGCGAUGGGUCGACUGUUGCCCGGUGGCUGAGGGAAGGGAGGCCUGAUCCGGUGUGAGGCUGAGCUCGGGCUGUUGAAGCUACGGUGGAGCUGGCGGCUGCUGGUCUGUGUUGUCGGCUGAGAAGAAAACCGGUGGUGAUGGAAACCGAAGGAGGAAGAAGAUAGGCCGGCUGUUGAAGGAAAUGAGGGGGCUGGGAGUGUCGCCGCUAGUGAGGGAGAAAGGAAGAAAAAAUCAAACUGGGGGGUUUGGGGGGGGGGGCUGUUUGGCCGGUGUUCAAAAAAUGCAACAAGGUGGGGGCGGCUGUGUUUUGGCUUCAGGAGAAGAAGGCUCGGAAAAAAAAUUCAAAGGGAGGGGGGGCGGCAGGCUUGGUAGAGAUAGGUUUAGGGUUAGGUUGUUUUUUUUUAUAUUUUUUUGUUAUUUCAAAAUUGCCCCCCUUUUUGAAUAUGAGUUGAAGACCAGUAUUUAUAGGCAAAAAAUGUUGCCAAGUUUUUCAACUUGGUCCCUCAACUUCUUUCUUUUUGUAAAUUUUGAUUUUUCUUAUUUUUUUGUAUUUUUUGAAAACGAGCAAUAUCAACGUCGACUCAAAUACGGAAAAUCAAUUAUUUUAAAAAUGACGCGCGCAAAGUCGAACGCGUUUGAAAAUCUUUUGAAAAAUUAAAUUCUUUUUAGACGACGCUGAAAAUGCUAAAAUGACGAGAAUAUAUUAAAAAAUAUAUUUUUUGGAUUUUCAUUGUUUUUCUCUAUUUUUGGAUUUUUUGAAAAUAUAUCAAAAACAUGGGUCAAAAAUUGGGUAGCAACAACAAAUAUAAAAAAAAACAAAAAAUAUUUAAAUUUGAGUCACUAAUUACCUUAUUUUGAUGAAUAAUGAAUUAAUCGACAGCUAUAUUUUAACCUUUCCGCAUUGCUUUGUAUUAUUUUUUUUUUUUUGUUAGGAUUCUAGAGAAGAAAGAUAAAAAAUUGGUAAAAAAAAUAAUUAAAUUUAACAAGUUAUAUAUUUUUUUUUACAACUUAGACGAAGAGAUAAUUUUAUAUUCAAAGAUAAUUAAUGAAAUAAUAAUUUAUUAUUAGAAAACCCAUUACUUAUUAUAUUUAAAUACUAAUAUAUAUAUAUAUAUAGGGGUGUUUUGCAGGGGCCCGGGCCCCUGCUUGCCACCCCUUUAUUCCGCCUCUGGACCCAAUAGCGGAGGGAGGAGGGGCUGGCAGGGGCCCCGGCCCUUGCAAAAAAAUACCCCUCCCUUAUAAAUAUUUAUAAUUUUAAUAAAAAUAACUGAAAUUUUUUCUAUCGGUAGGACGGUAAAAAAAACAAAAAACAAGGUUUUUAUAUCUAUUUAUCAUUCAUUAUAAUUUAUUUUUUAUUUUUUUAAUUUUCGAUUUUCUUUAUUUUUCGAUUUCUCAAUUAUAAUCUAUGGAAUAGAUUAUCACCCAAGAGUGAAAAACAACUUCUUCUUUUUUUACUAGUAUAAAUGGGGGUCACACUAUAAAACAAGGGAGAAAUUAGUUAGAGAGGAUUAGCAUAAAAAAAAUACUAAACAUUCUAUCUUAAAAAACCAAAAAAGAGAGUAAAAAAUCCAUGACCCAUAACACCCUCCAGUACACCCACAUUUAAAUAAAAAUAACAAGACCAACUCAUCAUCUUCAAGCUCCCACUGUCACCAAUAAAGAAAAAAAAAACCCAAUUUCCCAUAAAAAAAAUUAUGCCCUCCACUGCUGUAAAACAUUCAAAACUCCUUUUCUCUUUAUCAAGCAGCAAAAAAAAAAAAAAAAAAAAAACAUGACAGACCCAGUGGUAUAAGGAGGGGGGCUGGCAGGGGCCCCUGCCCUUGCAAGAAUAUACCCCUCCCUUAUAAAUAUUUAUAAUUUUUAUAAAAGUAACUGAAAUUUUUUCUUAACCUCUCUAAUUUAUAAUUUAGCCCCUCCUAAUUAUUGUUUCGUGCUCCGCCUUUGGACAGACUCCUCCCUUUCAUCUCUCUUUCUCUCACGAAGAAAAAAAGGCCACACCCUCUCUACACUCAAGUGCCUAAAUAGAUUAACUAAAGAAUUCAUGAGCACUUUUGAUAAUUAAAUAUUUUUAAAAUUCUUAAAGAAAUGAUCGUAUCUCUUAUUUAAAUAGAUGAUCUUUUAUUAAGAUUAUUCUAUUAUAUUAUAUUUAGUAUUUCAAUAAAUAAAAAAAGAGAGUAAAAAACCAUGACCCUCAGACCAUCCAGUACACACGCUUUUAAAUAAAAACAACAAGACAAACUCAUAAUCUUCAAGCUCCCACUGUAACCACUAAAGAAAAAAGAAAACCUAAAUUCCCUUAAAAAAAAAAUGCCCUCCACCACUACUGUAAAACAUUCAAACCUCCAUAACUAGCCAUCCUUUUCUCUCUAUCAAGCAACAAAUAAAAAAAACAAAAAAAAAAAACACUAAAAACCCCUCCCUUUUAUCUCUCUAUAUCAACACGCUUAUACACAAAGCUCUCCUCCACUCAAAUAUCCCAACUAAACCAAUAUAAUUUUAUAUUUUUUAAAACUCAUAAAAUCCAUUAGAUUUUAUUAAUUUUAUCAAAUUUCAUCAAGUUUAACUAAUUUUACUAAUUUUUUUAGUUUUUAAUUUUAAUUUUAUUUUAUAUAUUAGAUUCAUAUAAUUUUACUAGCCAACUUAAAAUUUAAAUGAGGAUUUCAUAUUAAAAAUUUUUCUAUGCCCAGCUAAUGGCUCUGCUGAAUGAUUUGACACAUCAUGAAAUGAAUAGAUUUUGUGACGUUGUCAGAAAAAUAAUAAUGUAAAUGAUUGAACCCAUGGAAAAGUAAAAAUGCAUUUGUAAAAUUUAUGGUCAAGUCUUUUGUUUAUCUUUGUCCGUGUUCAGCAUCAAUGAUUGGACCCACGGCAUGUAAACCGUGGGAAGUAAUAAAGGUAAUAUGCCUUCUAUGAUUGAACCUUGGGAUCUUUAAGAUUUAUGGUCAAGUGAUCUUUGUUCAGUAUAUAGCUUACCAAAAAAAAGAUCUUUGUUCAGUAUAUUGUGUUUAUCUUUUGCAUUUAAUAAAGCUAAAGCAUCAGUACGUAUGAUCAAGGCCAAAAGCUGACAGCAUACCCUACAUGUAACAUUGAGAAGCAAUAAUGCAUCUUUAAGAUUUAUGGCAAGUCUUUGUUCAUGUAAUUCAGCAUCUUUUGUUUCAUACACCAUGGAUAAUGAGCAAGACUCGAUUGAUUUGGCCGAUGACGUGGACACCUAUGGUGGUGGGGAAGAAGAAGAAGAAGACGUUGCAGAUGAUAAGGAUAGAGCAGGUGUGUUUCAGUCAGUCACAAGGACUUUUGGGGACGGCAGCAUCGGGUUGGAAAAAUCAGAUCUGGCAAAGGGUGGAGACAAUUAUCAGGUGGUGGGCUGCCUCAAUCAGAAGAUUUUCAUAAUUUUCAUAAUUUUUUAAUAAUUGAUAACGUGUAAGUUUAAGAUUAAUUUCACUAUUGUGUUUUAAUUUUUUUAUAAUCAUGAAUUAAUUAUUUUAAUUUGAUUAGUUACUAGUUAGUGGUGAAUAAAUAAUGUUUUUUUAAAUGCUAAAAUCAUAUUUAGAUUAGUCCAAUGAUUUAGAAAGGUUUAUUUACUUUGAUUUAUAUUAAAAUUUAUUUUCAUUUUUUAUUUUAUUUUAAAGUAUUAUAAAUUUUAUCAUCUUUAAUUUACAUUGAGAAAAUAUAACUUUGUAAUUAAACAAGAUUCUAAUAAUAUUUUAUUAAUUAAACAUGAUUUUUUUAAUAUACAUAUUUUCGAUACUUAACCUUUAGGCUAUGUUUGUAUAACAUCAUAAUUUAAAAAACCUUUACAAAUUAAAUAAGUGACUAAGCUUGCAUACAUACAUGUAUACAUUCCCAAUAAUAGUUUUAUACUAUUUCACUGACAAAAAAACAUAUAAUUAUACCCUAUUUCCGACCUAGGCAAUGGAGUAAUUAAAAAGAAAUUACGUAGACAUUUGCAGAUAAGCUUGCAUUAAUUGGAUGUUAAUCUAGUGUCUUACGCUGUAGGAUAAACAUGUGCCAUCGAGUUAUUGGUCCAGGUAGAAAGCCCAUUAACUCGUAAUAUCACGAAGCCCCAGUAAAAUCCAAUAUUUUAAUUUUUUUAUAUAUAUAUUAUAUAAAAAUUAGAUGAUAAUAAUAUUUUUUUCAUUUAAGGUUGAGUUAAAUUUUUUUAUUAAAACAUUUUUGUUUUUGUGUUUUAAAAAUUUAAUUUUUCAAGAUUCAAUAUUUUAAUCUAUAUUUGUCUAUCAAUUUUUCAAGCUUUACUUUUAGAUGUCAUUAAUAAUUUUUUAUUGAUUUAUUAAUGCACAUAAUUCUUAGUUUAUGUUACUAUAUAUGUGCAUAAACUUUUUGAUUUGUUAUAAUUUUUGAAAAAUUAAAAUGCAUUAAAAAAACAUGCAUAGAUAAGUUUUUAUAAAAAAUAAAAUCUCUCUCUCUCUCUCUCUCUCUCUAUAUAUAUAUAUAUAUAUAUAACAACUAUCAUCAUGACUAGAUUCCAUAAAUUACUAAAUAAACAAACAUUGAAUCUUAUAAUAUAGUUACUAAACUUAAUUUGAUAAUUGAUUUAGGAAAAAAUAUAUAUAAUCUAAAAUUUUACCUGAGCUGAGCUUCGUGUUUAACUAGAAAAAAAUAUUAAUUCAAUGAAGUCUAAUUAAUUUAUUUAGAUUUUUAGUGAUUUUAUUAAUUCAAUUAAACUAAAUCAGGUCAAUUUAAAGAAUUUUCUUUAACAAAAACAAAACUAUAUUAUUUUAACUAAAAGAAUUUAAAUUAAUGGGAUAUCUCGCAAAUUAAUUUGAUAAUUUAAAAUAUUAAUUCAAUGAAGUCUAAUUAAUUUAUUUAGAUUUUUAGUGAUUUUAUUAAUUCAAUUAAACUAAAUCAGGUCAAUUUAAAGAAUUUUCUUUAACAAAAACAAAACUAUAUUAUUUUAACUAAAAGAAUUUAAAUUAAUGGGAUAUCUCGCAAAUUAAUUUGAUAAUUUAAACUAUUUUUCAAAUUAGUUUUUGAUUUUGAAUAGAUAACUUAAAUCAUUCUACACCUACACACUGUCGGAAAAAAAUAAUGAUAUUCAUUUUUCUCUGGAAAAAGUAAUAACAUAUCUCAACCUGUAGAUUACUCCUAUUUGUCUAGCAAAACCAAGUGCAUAGAAAACUAUCAGUAACAAAAAUACAAGGCAUAUUCCUUCUGCUUCUUCUUCUCCUUCUUCUGGUUCGUUGAAUCUAACUUUCUAUCCAGAACAACGAUCACUUUUCUAAAGAGCCAAAUUAAUAUACUAAAUGAAAACAGUCACUUUUUUUAAAGAGCCAAAUUAAUGUAAUUAUUUCUUCUGGAUAAGGAUUAACAACCUAAAAAACGAAAUUUCGACAUGUUUUUGGGGUCCAUACGCCGGGAGCCACGUUCCCCAGGUCUCUUCUUGGGGUCCAUCGGCCGGGGACCAACGCAUCGAUUACCACGACGGUUAUGGCCGUGGAGAGGAGCGAGAGGGUGAGUGCGUGUCGUUUCACGGUAACAGUUUUGCCUGUUUCAGGGGUUCGAGGGAUUGUGGAGAGCGGAUGAGUGAUUUACUGUGGUGUGGUAUUUAUAGGGGGAUUUGAUUUUGACGCAGUGCGAAUUUAUUGUCUGGAGCACCGACAUGGGGGCCAUACUGGUUGAAAAACAAUUUUGGAAAGUAGCAUAAAAGAAUUGUUUUUUGGUUUUUCUUUUUCUAAAAAUAACACAGCAAAAGUGUUUUUGCAAUAGAGGUUUCUCUUAAAAUAAUUUUUUAAUUAAAAAAAAAAAUAAAAACUAAUCGAUGAUUUCAAAUUAAUGUGUAAAAAAAACUUAAGGCGUUAUUAAUAUAGAUGCAUAUUUAAAGCAAUGUGCAAUAAAAAGUAAUAAAAACGGAUUUAAAUAUACAUUCUAUUAUUUAAUUAAAAAUGGCCGAUAUGCUGCAUUAUUUUUUAGUUUGAUGAUGAAUGAUAAAAAUAAGGCCUGAUAUGAGUGUUUAAAUUUUAAUUUAAAAUAUGAUUCAAAUAAAAAUAUUUUAGUUUUUUUAUUACUAAAACAUGAUCCAAAUAUAAAUAUUCUUUAAAAUCAAGAACAAAAUAAAUUUUUAGAUAAAAAUUAAAUAUCCAGAAAACAUAUGGGCUGUAUUACAGGAGAAAGUACAAUCAAGAUAACUAAAAGCACUUUGCAAAUUUAAGACUAAUCAUGAAGUUUCUUUGUUUUUCACAUUUUGUUCCUUUCUCUUUCAAUUUAGAUUUUGAACUUAACAAAAAAUAUUUAGAUAGUAGAUAAUUUAUAUUAUUAUUAAAUCAGGCUAGUAGAUCAAUUUUAAACCCUCUCAAUAAUUUUAAACAGUGUGAGAGUUUUUUCAACAUGACUUAGUCAAUUUAACUGGUUCAAAUAUAAUCUAAUCGUGACUAGUAAAAAAGUUUGAAGAUAAAAUUAAAAAAAAAAAUUGAUAGAAAAAAAAAAGGAUGAAAAUUUUCAUUGUAAGAUUUAUUUAUAAUUUACAUAUCAAAGAUAAUCAAUUCAUACUGGGAUAAGAUAUAUUUUUUAAAAAAUAUAUUGUUGAUAGCUAAAUUUGUCCCUAUAAUGUUUCUCUAAUUUUUCCUUGCAUCUUUAAUUUGAUCAAUCUUAUCUUUAAAUACAUUAUUCAGUUCUAAUAAUUUAUCAUUCGGCAGGAGAUGUUUAGACAAGUCCACUAAAAUUAGUUGUGAAAUUGAUAAUAAAUGUAAUUUUGACAUGUUGAUUUAAAAAUCUCAUAAAUACAAAAUUAACAUAUUUAAAAAAUAAAAUAAAUCUCUAAUUUUAAGAUAAAUCAUCAAAGAAUAGCAAAAACAAAAAUAUAAAUAUAGGAAAAUAGAUACAAUGAUCACUAGAGAGCAUAAAUGAUCGCUAGAGAGCAUAAUUAUGAUGUAAAUGGAACAACACAGCAUUAACAACAAGUAUAAGCAAAAUAAAAUUCUACUAAAUAGGGUUAAUAUACAAAAACUCUCAAUUCAAAAUCUUAUUACUUAAUAUUUUCUUUCUAGUAUUCUCUUGAAAUUCAAGCUAACCAACUUUGUUUUGUCCCUUUCUAUACCUAAGCUCUUCACCGGCUUCGCCGGAUCUUGCUAAGACAAACCUUGGAUGUUGAUGGAGAGAAUCCUGCUUGAAACAGGAAGUUGGCAGAGGCAGAAUCGGCAUCUGUCCUGCCUGCUCGAAAGCCUGUCUUAGCAAUCCUGCUUUAGAUUGCUAAUAAAAAGGACUUAUUCCAUUCAAACUUCUUAGGUUUCGAAACAAUCUUUGGCAAAUUUAUUUUUAAUUAGUCUUAUUCAUAAAAGUAUCCUAAGACAAUAAUUUAGCUUCGACAUUGAUGCAAUAUUUAUAUCAAAAAAGUCUCUUUAGACGUUUAAUGUUUAUGUAUUGUAAAUUUAUUUGUAUUUAUUUUCGUUAUACAAAAAAGUAAGGUAUACCUUUUAUAUCUACCUAUGUAUCUAACUGGUCCAAGUUUAAGAGUUUUUCAUAAAUAGACAUUACAAUACUACUACGUGGAUUGAGCCUAUGGGUUGAUAUGAAAUAUAAUUAAUUUAGAAUCUGGAGCGGUUUAAAUUAAAUAAAUAAAUAAUUUAGUUGAUUUGAUAAAAAAAUUUAAGUUGAUCUACUGAUCAAUCAACAACCGGCUCUCAAUUUCUAGAAUUUUUUUUAUAAAAAAAUAUUGUUUUUAUUGUAUUAAAAAAACAUUUGAAAAUUGAUUCAGGAUGAUCUUUUUAACUCAUAACCUGUAUUUUAUCUUGAUCAACUCUAUAUCAAGUUUUACAAUUAUAUUAGAUUUAUUAAUCCUUACGGAAUUAUUUUGGAUCCAUAUCCAAUAUAAAAAUGUGAUCCAAUAUUUAAUAUUAAAAUUGUAGUUGCAUAAAUCUAAUGAGUUUGUAAAGUAGAUAAUAUCAUAAAAUUAUCCUUUACACAGGCUAUAUAUAAAUGAUGGCAAAUAAUAAUAUUAUUCAAUUCACGAUAUUACCAGCAGCCAUAACAGCACAAAUAAAUCAUUGCAGACAAAGCAAACACACAUAUUUUCUCAUGGAGUCUCUCACGCACACAUCAAUGUUCUCUUGACACCACCACAUAAUUAGACUCAAGCAAUUACAAAAUAAAAAAGAGGCAGAAGGUUUUCAUAACCAAACUUAACAUUACCAAUUAGCUAAGAAAUUGGCUCUAUUUCCAACACCCUGGAACACGCACCGCAUAGUCCUCCAAUACUUGCUGAUGGAGUAUCAUCGCCUUCAGAAAUCUCAUCAAUUCUUUUCUCACCUUCAAGUACACUAACGACUUCAGAUAUUUUAGGCCUGAGAGUAGGAGACAGAUUAACGCACUUCAUUGCUAACAGCAAAACAGUGAGAGCCUGCUUCCUGUUGUAACUGGAUGCUAAUUUCUUGUCCACCAAGUCAAGGAUUCCUCCCUUAUCGUGCAAAACACCAGCCUGCAAUUACAAAGCAAGAUUAGCUUAGCUCCGAGUAUUAAGGAAAUAAUCUAGUAAAUAUUUCUGAUUAUUUUCUAUUCAAUAAAAAACAAAUCAAGGAAUUAAAUAAUUCUAGGUAAUCAAGAAAUUAUUUCAAUCAUCCGAUACAAUCAACUAUAUUUCCUAUAUUUUAUUUUAUUUUAUUUACUUAUGUGUCUUGUUAUAUAAUUAUAUAAACUUCAUAUAGGUUGAAUAUAACACAUAUAUCAAAUUAUUGAAUAAUAAUAUCUUUUUUUAUUUUAAAUUUCUUCCUAGUAUAGCGAUCUCUAAAUAUUAGCUUUUGUAUUUUCAUGAGUUGAAUGUAACACAUAUAUCAAGUUAUUUUAUGUUGAUAGAAUAUGUUUGGUUUGAUAAUAACUAUGAAAAAAAAAAACAAAGGGUUUAUCCUGUAAGAUCCACCUACUUUAUCCAGAAGAAACUCAGCUUCUUGGUUUGGUGUGUAAUCUGCACUAAUUUUCCCGCUAACUAUUUCGAGUAGGACAAUUCCAAAACUAUAAACAUCAGCUUUAACAGUUAUUGCUUUUCCCAUUGAAUACUCAGGUGCCAUGUAAACUCUGCAAGAAGAGAUUAUUUAUUGGUUAGCUCUUAAUUAAAAGAAUGAAAGUAGUUGUCAAUCAAUGAUCAUAAUACUUACCGCGACCCUUUUGCUUUGAUGGCCAUAAAUGGAUCUUCCUCAUCACAAAGCGUUGCCAAUCCAAAGUCAGACAACUUGGCCGUAAGAGAGUUAUCAAGCAAAAUAUUACUAGGUUUUAUGUUUCCAUGAACAAUCUUGAACCUUUUCUCUUCAUGUAAAUACUUCAAACCUCUCGCUAUUCCCAGACAGAUACCAAAUCUAGCUUUCCAAUCAAGUUUUGUCGUGGAAUUUGGUU
rnacentral:lncRNA from 1 species